GUAAAUAAUUUUUGUAGCGUAAAAGUAAAAUAAAUUCAUACAUACAGUGGCACACGCAGCCAGGUAUACAAAACAUUCUACAAUGACAUGUGGGCCUCCUAAAUAACCGAAAUAUACAAGACUGUAGACCUUCAAUUUCUAAAGAUGCAAUCUAAAAGCAACCCUCGACAAAAUCGACUGUCUACAGACUGUCCUAAGCCUGAAAUGGAUAAAAAGAAGAGGUGAGUUUUUAUAAACCCAGUGAGUAAGCAAAUUUCAUCUAUAACAUCUAAAGCAGAGUAAAUGGAGACAAUUUAAAACAUCUCAGUAUAAUAUGAUUCAUAAUAUCAAAUUUCAUUUCAAUCCGUAUAAAUCAAUUACAUUUCAUCAAAAAUAAUUAACAAGGCUUAUGACUCUCUUAAAAACUUGGCUCAUGCCUAAAACUCGUACUCGGUGACACCUUGGCCCGGGGCAUCCAACCGAGUCUGCCAAGGCUGUUAAAAUAACAUAUGCACAUAAAACAAGUUUUUACGUUCAAAACACAGCCGUUCCUUGGCGUUGAAUGAGUUUCACCUUCACGUGGUGGUUCGGUGUGAAGUGAACUCUAAUGUUACCUUAGGAGAUACCCUCCGUGCCUCUCGUACCAAGGUAAAAUAUAACCGGGUUUACCGUGCCCCUCUAAUAGGUUGGUCCACGAAAACCCGCCCACUGUAGUAAGCUAAUCAAAUAACCCACCAAUUCAAUAAAUUUUUCGACAGCAUGACAUGGCUAAUAUAAUAUUACCAGCUUGUCAAGGCAAAGCAAAAUAGUUCAUAUAUUCCACACAAACACAAAUCCAGCCAUGCUUGCCAUCACAUUGUCAUAAGCCAUCAAUUCAAACCAUAUGUCAAAACAUAUAUAUAACACAAGUAUACAGUCUCCACUUACUCAAUUUCCAAAACUAAUAUUCAAUAUCAAAUCAAGUUAUAAAUCUCAUUUCGUUUAAUCAACACUUCAAUUAUAAAACAUAAUAGUUUGCAAUUUAAAUUCAUUUUUCUUUAAAACAUAAAAACGAGUAUAAACUACUUUAGAUAGUUAAGAUGAAAGUCUGAUUACUCACAAUAACGGGAGUAUGAAGUACUCCUAUUCUUGAUCCUCGGGUACGAUAUCCUUACCCUUACUAGAGGGCUCACCACCUAUACAUAAUACACGACACGUAAUUCAAUAUAUUUGUACCAAACUGUCAUAAAACUAUUUCAGGCUCUAUAUGAAUCCAUGAAAUUGAAUGAGAAAUGUUCGGAUAGUCACUUAAAGAUGGUGUUCUACGUAGGUUCAAUUGUGAUCGGAAUGAAUUUGUAUUUGACCUACUUCGAACUAUACACCAUUGAUUUAACCAAAACAUUCGAUUCAACUCCAAAUAUAUUCGUUACACUCCCAAUAAUCUGAUACACCAAAGCAUUACAAUGAACUUGAUUUUUUACUAACUUCACCAUUUUUCGAAAUUCAUUCCAAUUCCGAACUAACAUACUAAUCAAUGUCAACACAGUCUCGUAAAUCCAUCUAUAUAUCAUUAGGAAUCAAAUCCAAGUCCAUUUAUUAUGAUUUUCGCAUUUUCCAUCAAGCCAUUUUAUAAAGGAACUAUACUUUUCAAUAACCGAUUUUGAUAUCCAACAUCAUAAUUCAUCAAUUCCUAGCUAAAUAAUAUGAAUUACAACCAAAUCCAUCAUUAACAUGCCCUAUAGAAAAUUCGGCGAAAUGAGGGUGGUUAAAGAACAUGUGAUUUUCUUGCUUGUUUUUCCUUCCAAACAUCACAAAAUGACUAAAAACACUAGGAUAUUAUGAAAUCUAGCAAAAUUCAUCACCAAAACUUCUCUCUCUAGGUUUGGCCAGCAAAGGUUCCCUCUUGAAAACUUGAAUUUCAACCAUGGAGAAUGAAAAAGAAUACAUGGGAAAAAUAGAUCACAAGCUAAAAAAAAUCUUACCUUUACUUGCUUGAUUCCUUGAAAUCGAACAAUUUCUCUUGAAUUUUCCUUCCUAGGGUUUGCUCUUCUCUUUUUCUCUUUGUUCCCUUGCUUGGCUGGCCAUAAGAGUGUGAAUGUGAGGGUUUUAAGUGAGUUUAUAUAGGCAAUUAAAAUAAUAUUAAAGCUUGACAUUUGUCACCUUUUAAUUGGUCCAUGUUUAAAAACUUAAUAAUUAAGUAAUCUUUCACCACCACAUGUAAUCCCAUAAUUAUCCAAAGUAUAAAGUGAUAAUAGGUGAAAUUCACGGGUUUGACAAGUGUCAUGGUGGUGUAAAAUUUCAAUUACGUCCUCAUGGAUGCGUGAAAUGAUCGUUUUGCCCUUAUACUAGAAAAAUGUCGGAAUUGAAAUUUUUCACUCCACAAUUUCAAAUUAUGCUCCAAAUAGUCAAACUUGGUCAAAAUCUCAUCCAACAUUCCAAUUUUGCCCUUGGAUGGCAAAAUGACCAUUUUGCCCCUACAUUAUAAAAAUUUUCGUCUAAACUUCAAAUCAAUCCUCGAACUCCAAAUCACCAUAUUAAGACAUUUUAAGGUUCAAUAUCUCUCAAAUGUAUCUUAAAAUCUCUAUUUGGACUAGUUCGAGGCUUUAAUCAACUUAAUUAGACCACUAGGUAUAAUACCGACUUUUAACGAUUUUUCAAUACAUUCACUUAUGCAACAUUCUAUCAAGCACAUGAAUGACAUGACAAGUAUAUAAUAGAGUAGGGCUUGACAGAGAUUGCAUGGAGUUUCAAUCUCUAUCGUGUUAAAUCGAAACCCCUGGUUCACUUCUCGAUUCUGGCUGAAAUUCCAAGACGUUCUCGAAACUAAUUUGAGAUUUAACACUGCCUUUCAUCCACAGACAGAUGGUUAGUCUGAAAGAACCAUUCAAACUUUGGAAGAUAUGCUACGAGCUUGUGUCAUUGACUUUAUUGAGAGUUAGAAUAGACACUUGUCGUUGGUGGAGUUCACGUAUAACAACAGUUUUCAAUUUAGUAUUGGGAUGGCACCAUACGAGGCUCUGUAUGGGAGAACGUGCUGAACUCCACUCUGCUGGGAUGAAGUGGGUGAAAGGAAAUUGUUUAAUGUAGAGUUGAUUGAUUUAACUAAUGACAAGAUCAAGGUUAUUCGACAACGAUUAAAGAUAACUCAAGACAAGUAAAAAAGUUACUCUGAUAGACAGAGAAAAGACCUAAAAUUUGAAGUUGAUGAUAGAGUUUUUCUUAAGGUUUCUCCUUGGAAAGGUAAUGAUUUGAAUACUUUGAGGUAUUAAGUCUUAUUUGAUUAUACUAUUAUAGUAAAUUGUGGUAUCUUGGAUAAUAAAAGGUGUGAUUCGAUUUGCAAAGCGAGAAAAACUCAAUCCGAGAUACAUUGGACCCUUUCGUGUCAUUGAAAGGAUUGGGCCAGUGACAUAUAGACUAGAAUUACCCUCGGAGUUGGAUCGGAUUCACAAUGUCUUCCAUGUCUCAAUGCUGAAGAAGUAUGUACUUAAUCCCUCCCAUAUUCUCGAGGCACCUUGGAUUGAGUUGCAAAAAGAUUUAAAGUUCAAGGUACAGCCUAUACAUAUUCUAGAUCGAAAGGAUCAAGUGUUGAGGAAUAAGAGCAUCCCGAUGGUUAAGGUGUUGUGGAAGAAUGCUCGGAUGGAAGAGAUGACAUGGGAAGUUGAGCACCAGAUGAGAAGCCAAUAUCCCCAUUUUUUCUCAUAAUCCGGUAAGUAAAAUUUUGAGGUCAAAAUUUUAUUUUAAGGGGGGUAGUGCUGUUAAGCCCAACUCUAUAAUAUACUUGUCAUGUCAUUCAUGUACUUGAUAGCAUGUCUGCAUACUUGGAUGCCUCAAAAAAUCGUUAAAAGUCCGUAUUGUACUUAGUGGUACAAUUAAGUCGAUUAAAGCCUCGAACUAGUCCAAAUAGAGAUUUUGGGAUGUAUUUGAGAGUUAUUGAACCUUAGAAUGUCUUAAAAUGGUGAUUUGGAGUUCGAGGAUUAAUUUAGAAUCCAAUCGAGAAUUUUCAUAACGUAUGGGCAAAAUGGUCAUUUUGACACCCGAGGGCAAAAUUGGAAUGUUGGAUGAGAUUUUUGAUCAAGUUUGACUAGUUGGAACAUAAUUUGAAUUUAAGGAGUGAAAAAUUUCAAUUUUGAGCAUAAGGGCAAAGUGGUCAUUUCACGUGUCCACGAGGACGUAAUUGGAAUUUUUAAAAUUUUACACCACCAUGACACUUGUCAAGCCCAUGAAUUUCACCUAUUAUCAUUUUAUACUUUGGAUAAUUAUGGGAUUAUAUGUGGUGGAAAGGAAAAGCCUUAUUAGUUAAGUUUUAAAUGUGAACCAAUUAUAUGUUGCCAUGUGUCAAGUUUUUAUUAUUUUAUAAUUUCCUUUAUAAACUCAACAUAAACUCUCCCAUUCACUCUCUCAUUGCCGUUCAAACCAAAGAACAAAGGGGGAAAGAAUAGAAAAACCCUAAGGAGGAAAAAUUCAAGAGAAAUUCAUUGGAUUUUCGAAAAAUGAAGCGAUCGGAGGUAAGAUUUCGCGAUUUAGCUUAAGAUCUACCUUACCCAUGCUUUCUUUUUCAUUUUCUAUGGUUGAAACUCAAGUUUUCAUGAUGGAAGCAUGCUGGCCGAAUCAAGGGGGGAAGGUUUUGAUGAUGGUUUUUGAUAGAUUUUAGACUAUCUAGAUGUUUUUAGUGUUUUAUGAUAUUCGGUAUGAAAAACAAGCAAGAAAAUAACAUGUUCUUCAUCAAACCCUAAUUGGCCGAAUUCUAUAGGGAAUAUUUUGAAGAUAAAUUUUGUCAUAUUUCAUGUUAUCUAGCUUGUAUUUGAUGAUUCGUGAUGUCGGAUAUCGAAAACGAUUAUCGAAAAGUAUAGUUUCUUUAGUAAACGACUUGAACGAUAAUGAGAAAAUUAUAGUAAAUGGACUUAGAAUUGAUUUCUAAUGAGGUAUACGGACUUAUUGGAGUAUCGAAAGUGCAAUGAAUCUAUUUGGAGUUUAAUUGGAUGUUUUGGCUAAUUAAAUAGUGUAUAGUGCGAGUUAGGUCGAAUACCAUUUCAAUCCAACAAUAAUUGAACCUACGUAGAACACCAUCUUUAAGUGAUUAUUCGAACACUUCUCAUUCAAUUUCAUACAUUCAUAAAGAGCCUGAAAUAGUUUUAGAACAGUUUGGCACAAAUAUAUUGAAUUACUUGUUAUGUAUUAUGUAUAGGUGGUGAGUCCUCUGGUAAAGGUAAGGAUAUCGUACCCGAGGACCAAGUGUCACAACCCGGUACUCCCCUCAAGCCUGUGACAACCGUCGUAGUGUCCCAAUCGACACUCAUUACCCAAAAUGUCAAUCGAAACCCCGCAAGGCUUUAAUAUCUGUUUCUCAUUUCCCCUGUGAGUAACCGUUGCCAAAUAUCAUGUUCUAAAAGAUUUUAAGUUAUUUCCAACUUAAAUCAAUAAAAAAAUGAUUUCUGUCUCACAAGGGCAUUUUGGUCAUUUCUCUUCAAAAAUCUGGAAACCAGCUAAAACUAUAGUAUACAAGUGGAAAACACAUAUUUCAUAAUCAAAAAUAAGUUUAGAUAUCUAUAAUAUUCAUUGAAAGUGAAAUUAUAACUAUCUGAAUAUAAUAAAAAUAUUCAAUAAAAUAUUCUAUUUUAUUAUAAAACAAUAUUUAUAGAGUUAUCGGUAAAUAAUUUUUGUAGCGUAAAAGCUAAAUAAAUUCAUACAUACUGUAAUACAGAUAACCAAAGUGUAAAAUUUAAUUUACAGUGACACGUGGGCUCACGAACGACCAAAAAUAUCAAAAGCGGUAAACCUACAGUUUUUGAGGAUGCAAGUUCAAUUGUAGCCCUCAACAAAGUGAGCUAUCUACCGACUAUUCUGAGCCUGAAAUGGGUGAAAAGAAAAGUGGUGAGAUUAUAUAAUCCUAAUGAGUAAACAAAUACCAUCUAAAAUAUCUAAAGCUGAGUAAAUGGAGACAGAUAAAAUAGAUUCGCAUAAAAAUUAUUCUUAGUAUUUCGAACUCAUUUUAAUAAGAUAAAAUAGAUUCAUUUCACCAAAAUAAACAACGAGGCUUAUGAUUUCCUGAAAAGUUUGGCUCAUGGCAAAAUCAUUCUCAUACUCAGUUAUCAGGGAUACCUUGGCCGAAGGCUAUCCCAAUCGAGUCCGCCAAGGCUAUUAAAAAGUUAUGUACACAUAAAUCAUGUUUUUAUUUUGAAAACAUACCCGUUCCUUGGCAUUGGUUGAGUUCACCCUCACGUGGUGGUUUGGCGUGAAGUGAACUCUAAAGUUUUAACCUCAAGAGUUAUCCAACCGCGCCUCUCAUACUGAGGUAUGAAUAUAAUAGGGUUAUCGUGCCCCUCUAAUAAGCUGGUCCACGGAACCCGUCAACUGCAGCGACCAAUUAUAACCCACCAAUUCAACAAAAUUCAACAGCAUGACAUGGCAAUUAUUUCAUUUUACAGCCUCUCAAGGCAAAUCAACAGUUCAUACUUUUUCAGCACAUUUACCAAAUCCAACCAUUCAUGCCAAUAUUAUCAUAAGCCAUUCAAUUCAAACCAUGAUUUAUAACACAGCAAUUAGUCUCCAAUUACUCUAUUUUCAAACCAUCAUUUCAUUGCAAGACAAUGUUAUAAAAUCAUUUCAUUAAAUCACAUUUUAAUUACAAAAUGCAUAGAUUUACCAUUUAACUUAUUUUUCAUAAAAUCACAAAAUUGGAUAAAAACCACUUUAGAUAAUUAAGAUGAUAGUAAGGUUAUUCACUAUUUCGGGAGUCGAAUUUCGAGUACUCCGAUCUUGAUCCUCGGGUACUAUCUCUUUACUUUUGCCAGAAAGCUCACCACCUAGACAUAAUGCACAAUAAGCCAUUUACUACAUUUGUGCUAAACCGUUGUAAAACCAAUUUAGGCUUUAUACUAAUGCAUGAAAUGGGAUGUGAAAUACUCAGGUAACUAUCUAAAUACGGUGUUCAAUAUAAAUUCAAUUAUGUACCUAAAUAAAACGGUAUUGGCCUAAUUCGAUCUAUCACCCGAUUAAAUUGGCCAAUACGUCCAAUUCAACUCCAAAUAAUUCCAUUUUUCUCCCAAUACUCCAAAUCAUCAAACACAAAUUAAAUAACUUGAAAUAUGGCAAAAUCAUCCUCACAUUUUCUCUUGAAAAAUUCGGCCAUGGUGGAUGCAUCAACACUAUAAUUUUUCAAGCUUGAUUCUCUCACCAUAAAUCACUAAUUCCUAACCAAAUCACUUGAAAUAAAAUCAAAAUCAUCAUCAAUAUUCUACAUGGAGAAUUCGAUCAAUGAUGAGUGAUGGAAGAACAUGAAUUUUUCUUGCUUGAUUUUCAUGCUACACAUCACUAACUAACUAAAAACACUAAAAUAUCUUAAAAUAUAACCAAAUCAAGCAUCAAAAACUUCUCCCCCCAUGUCCAGCCAGCAAGGGUAUCCUCAUGCAAACUUGAUUCUCAACCAUGGAAAAUGAAAAAGAAUGCAUAGGAAAGGUAGAUCACAAGCUAGAAUUGAAAAAUCUUACCUUUUGUCACUUGAUUCUUUGAAUUUUCACACUUUUCCCUUGAAUUUUUCCACCUAGGGUUUUGUUCUUUCUUUUCUUCCUUUGUUCUUGCUUUGGCCAGCCAUAAGAAUGAGAAAUGGGCUGAUUUUGUGCUGAUUUAUAAGGAAAAUAAUAAAUGGAUGAAAAUUUGACACAUGUCACCAUUCCAUUGGUCCAUGUGUCAUACUUACCCAUUAAGAAAUCUCUCUCCACCACUUAAAUUUCCUCAAUUAUCCAUCAUAAUAUUGGGUAAAAUUCAUGUGCUGGACAAGUGUUGGGCGGUGUAAAAUUACAAUUUUGCCCUUGAGGUGGCAAAAUGACUAUUUUGCCCUUAUGCUCGAAAAAAUACCGAAAUUAAAAUUUUUCACUUCUCAAACUCAAAUUAUGUUCUAAAUAGUCAAUCUUGAUCAAAAAAUUCUUCCAACAUUCCAAUUUUAACCUCGGGUGGCAAAAUGACCAUUUUACCCCUAGGUCAUGAAAAUUCUAAUUUGACUCCAAAUCGGUCCUUGAACUCCGAAUCACCAUUUUAAGUCAUUCUGGGGUUUUAAAAUUCUCAAUUUCAUAUUAAAAUCUCUAUUUGGACUAGUUCGAGGCUUAAUUCAACUUAAUUGUACCAUUUUGUACAUUAUCGUCCUUUAACGAUUUUCGAAGUACCCAAGUAAGCAAACAUGCAUUCUUAUGUAGGAAUGGCAUAAUAAACAUAUUGUAGAGCUGGGCUUUACACCAGGAGUAGGAGUACUCCCGUUAUAGUGAGUAAUAGACUUUCAUCUUAACUAUCUAAAGUUGUUUUUACUCGUUUUUAUGUUUUAAAGAAUAAUGAGUUUAAAUUGUAAAUUAUUAUGUUUUAAAAUUGAAGUGUUGGUUAAACGAAAUGAGAUUUAUAACUUGCUUUGAAAUCGAAUACUGGUUUUGAAAAUUGCGUAAGUGGAGACUAUAUACUUGUGUUAUAUAUAUGUUUUGACAUAUGGUUUGAAUUGAUGGCUUAUGACAAUGUGAUGGCAUGAAUGGCUGGAUUUGUGUUUGUGUGGAAUAUAUGAAUUGUUUUGUUUUACCUUGACAAGCUGGGUAAUAUCAUAUUAUCCAUGUCAUGCUGUUGAAAUUUUUUUUGAUUUGGUGGGGUAAGUGAUUAGCUUACUGCAAUGGGCGAGUUUUCGUGGACCAGCCUAUUAGAGGGGUACGGUAAACCCUGUUAUAUUUUACCUAAGUAUGAGAGGCGCGAAGGGUUUCUCCUAAGGUAGUUUAGAGUUCACUUCACGUCGAACCACCACGUGAGGGUGAAACUCAGCCAACGCCAAGGAACGACUACGUUUUUAAACGUAAAAACAUAUUUUAUGUGUAUAUGUUAAUUUAACAGCCUUAGCGGACUCGAUUGGUUGCCCGGCUCAAGGUGUCACCGAGGAAGAGUUUUGGCACAAGCCAAGUUUUAAGAGAGUCAUAAGCCUUACUGAUUUUUUUUAUGAAAUGUAAUUGUUUUAUAUGGUUGAAAUGAGUUUUAAUGUUAUGAAUCAUAUUAUGAAGAGAUGUUUUAAUUCUCUCCAUUUACUUGGCUUUAGAUGUUAUAGAUGAACUUUGCUUACUCACUGGGUUUAUAAAAACUCACCCCCUUCUUUUCACCCAUUUCAGGUUCAGAGCAGUCUGUAGACAGUCGAUUUUGUCGAGGGUUUGCUUUUGGAUUUGCACCCUUAGAAAUCGUAGGUCUACAGUCCUGUUUAUUUUUGUUAUUUUGGGGCUCACAUGUCAUUGUAGAAUAUUUUUGUAUACCUUGGCGUAGUGUGCUAUUAUAUAUAUGAAUUUAUUUUGUUAUUACGUUACAGUAAUUGUUGACGUAGAAUUCUAUAAAUAUUAUUUUAUAUGAAAAUGAAAUAUUUUAUCCAAUAUUUUUAUUCAGUUCUAUUAGAUAAAAAUUCACUUUAAAUGGAUGAUUUAGAUACCUAAAUUUAUUUUUAGAUAUGAAAUGUAUAUUUUUCAUUUAUAUAUUAUAUUUUUAGCAAGUUUCAAAAUUUUUGGGUAAAAAUGAUCAAAAUACCCCUGUGCGGUAGAAAUUACUUUUUAAUUGUCUUUGAUUUGAAAAUAGUUUAUAUUAUUUUAAAACAUGAUAUUUAGUAACUGUUGCUCACAGGGAAGGCGAAAAAUUGAUGCUAGAGCCUUGCUAGGUUUCGGUUGACAUUCCGAGUAAGGUAUGUCUAUCGGGACAUAGCGACGGUUGUCACGGGCUCGAAAAGAGUACCGGACCGUGACAGAAUUUGAGAUGAAAGACCUUUGAAAAAUAAAGUUUCCUUUUGGGUUUUCAGAUUAAGCACUUUACAAAUUGAAUUUUUGUCCAUCAAUCAAAUUGUAUAACAAAAGUGUUAAAAUAAUUCUAUAUGAAUAAAGCACAUCGAUUUAGUUCACAAAUGAUUGUAAGGUCAUUAGAUGUGAAAAAGUACCAUUUCUGACCUCGUGGGAAUGAUAAAGAACUUCUUAGUCCUAAAGUACCAUAUCUUAGUACAAUUAGAGUACUAACAUAUCUUGCUAGCAAUAUACGACCUGAUAUAUCAUUUGCUAUAAAUUUAUUAGUAAGAUAUAGUUUUCCUCUAACUCAAAUAAAUUGGAAUGGAAUUAGCAUAUACUUCGAUACCUUUGAAUAACAAUGGAUAUGGGCUUAAUAUUAUUUAAAUAUAUUGGUUAUGCGAAUGCAGAAUAUUUAUUUGAUCCACAUAAAACUCGAUUCCAAAUAGAUUACUUAUUUACAUAUGGAGAUACAACUAUUUCAUAGUGUUUUGCAAAACAAACUACAGUUGUUACUUCUUCUAAUCAUGUAGAAAUUUUAACAAUUCAUGAGGCAAGUUGUGAAUAUGUCUUAUUAAGAUCUGUAACUCAACAUAUUCGAGAAACGUUUAGCUUGUCAACCAAGAAGGAAAUUCCAACAACAUUAUAUGUACAUAAUUCUUAAGAAAUUUAUUCAAUUAAAUUAAAUAAAUAUGCAUAUAGAUUAAAGCAAUCUGGACACAUAUGGUACAAUUGUCUAGGUGAAUAUUUAUUAAAAGAAGAUUAUAAAAAUGAUCCUAUAUGCUUAUGUGUUUUUAUAAAAAGAUUUAAAUAUGAAAUUGUCAUAAUUGUUGUUUAUGUUGAUGACAUAAACAUUAUUAGAACUAGUGAAAAGUUAUCCAAAGCCAUGACUUACAUAAAGAAAGAAUUUGAGAUGAAAGAUCUUUGAAAAAAAAAAAUUUGUUUGAGUCUUUAAAUUGAGUACUCGACAAAUAGAAUUUUUAUCCAUCAAUCAAAUUAUAUAACAAAAGUGCUAAAACAGUUCUAUAUGGACAAAGCGUAUCAAUUAAGUUCACCAAUGGUAUUAAGGUCAUUAGAUGUUAAAAAGUACUAUUUCUGACCUCAUGAGGAUGAUAAAAAACUUCUUAGUCUUGAAAUACCAUAUCUUAGUGUAAUUGGAGCACUAAUAUAUCUUGCUAGCAAUACAUGACCUAAUAUAUCAUUUGUUAUAAUUUUAUUAGUAAGAUAUAGUUUUUUUUUUUUCAACUCAAAGAAAUUAGAAUGGAAUUAACAUACUUUGAUAUCUCCGAAGAACAAUGGACAUGAGCUUAUAUUAUUCAAAUGCAUUGAUUAUGUAUAUGCAGAAUAUUUAUUUGAUCCACAUAAAGCUUGAUCCUAAAUAGAUUACUUAUUCACAUAUAGAGAUACAACUAUUUCGUAGUGUUUUGUAAAACAAACUAUAGUUGCUACUUAUUCUAAUCAUAUAAAAAUUUUAGCAAUUCAUGAGGUAAGUUAUAAAUGUGUUGAUUAAGAUUUGUAACUCAACAUAUUCAUAAAACAUGUGACUUGUUAAUCAAAAAGGAAAUACCAACAACAUUAUAUGUAGAUAAUACUAUUUGCAUAACCUAGGUAAAGGAAUGAUUCUUUAAAGGUGAUAGGACAAAACAUAUUUUGCUAAAGUUCUCCACUUACGAUUUCUAAGAAAAAUGUGAUAUUAGUGUUUAACAAAUUUGUCCAAGUGACAAUCUAAUAGAUUUAUUCAUCAAAGUCCUUCUUAUUGUAACGUUUUAAAAGUUGGUACGAAAGAUUGAAAUUCAUUGUUUUAAAGAUCUCAAAUAAUACAGUCAUUAAGGAGAGUAAAAUACGUACCGUACUCUUUUCCUUCAUUAAAAUUUUUCCCACUCGAUUUUUCUUGAUAAAGUUUAUAAUAAGGUAAUAUUUCAAAAGCGUAUUUGUCACAACCCAAUUCUCGGGCCAUGACCGGCGCAUGGGCCUAAUGGACGUAGCCCAUUAAGCCCAAGCAAACCUAUUUAUAUAAUCAUACUAAUUAUUCCGUCAACUAUUUUUACAUUUACAUCUCAUAAUCUCAACCCUUUAAGUACUUUAAUAGUAAAUUAUAACAAUCAAAACUGCAUUUAUAUUAUCCCAAAAUAACAUUAACUAUUGCCACCCAUGGUAGCUUUACCAAUCAAAAUGUACAUAUAUGGUCUAAUGUAUACAUCUUAGUACUUUACAUCACAAGUACGUAUUUACAACAAAAAUGACUUUGGGUUUCUAACGGAGUGACCAAGGUGAAGGUGCAGCUACGAAAUGCCAAGAUACCUACCAAGGAUACGAAUCUACGAGAACACCUCGACCUAGUUACCGGCUGCCUCUUGAUUUGAAAACAUGAAUUUGAAAAAUGUGAGUAUAAACUCAGUGAGUGAACAUAAGAAGAGAACAAGCAAUCAAUAGGAAGAAUUUGGAAAUCAUGAUGCACUUGUUUCAAAAACAAUGCAAUUGAUUUAAUUUCUUACUAAAAACCUCUCAUUUCAAACUUUGAUUAAUAACUUCAUAGUGUUAAAAAAACCCAUAAUCAAUCCAUGAAGUUAAAUGGGUGAAAAAUAUGUCAAAUCAAGCAAGGUAACAAGCAUGGCAGCAAGUUUCUCGCUGCAGCGAGAAAUAAUGUUAGUUUGCAUAUGUUUUAGUUUUUCUAUCAUAUCUCUCACUACAGAAGCACAAUUGACAUUAUUUUUAGACCAUUAGAAAGCUAAGAGGAAGGGCUACAACUUUUAUGUUUACCACUUUUCUUAGUUGGGACGAGAAAGUGGUCAAAAUCUUUAUUGAAGUGAAAGCACUGCAUUAGAACUAGAGAGUUUCAUGUUGCAGCGAGAAUCAGGCUAGUGUGACCCCCAAAACCAGAGAGUUUCUCACUGCAGUGAAAAUGAAUCUCGCUGCAACGAGAAACAGAGCAUUUUAAGUGAAAUGGGUCUUGUUACAUCAAAAGCCAUUUUCUUGUUGAAAUGAAAAGCAAUUUGGGAGCAAUUAACAACACCAACACACAACACAAUCACAAUUAUUUUCAUAAACUUUCUAUAACAUAUAUAUAUAUAUAUAUAUAUAUAUAUUUGUAUAUACAUACAUCAUCAUGCAUAUCAUCCCACCAUCAUCAGCUCAUGUGCCCUCCCACAAGCACAUAGCUGGGUCAUCAUCAGCUUAUGUGCACUCCUACACACACCUAGCUGGGUCAUCAUUAUCACAUAAAAAAAACAUCUAAUGCAUAUUAUACAUAUGAAUAUAUUGUGAUAACACAUGAACCAUUAUAUGGCACACUUUCACAAGAUAGAAACAUUCACCAAAGGCUUGUUCCCUAAGUAGAUUUUUAAGGAAAAGUUGGAUAAAAUCAUUCAAAUGUNUCAUUCAAAUACAUUACAUUUCCCAAAAAAAUUUUGAAAUGCAAGUUCACUCACCAGUCUUUAUUGAUGUUUUGGUGGGCUCUAGCUUCGACUAAUGUUCCGAAUGGAGGUGUAGGGUUUCGUUGGAACCUAUCACACACAACAACAUCACCAUCAACCUAACUUGGCAUUAUUACUAUUCCACAGCUAUUUUCUAAAUUGGGUUCUACUAGUCAUUCCUAACUAGUUUCCAACUACUAUUAAAUGGCUAUUAUUUGCACCAUCCUAAUCACUUUAAAAUGAAUAAACAACCUCAACUACAAAACAUUCCCAAGUCUUAUCACUAGCUAUUCUCAAUACUUAAAUAUCAAAUUCUAAUUCCCUACUCACCUUGGUAGCUUCGUAGUUGAAUCUCUUUCCAAAAAUUUCAAGCUAUUAUGGAAGCUCCCUCUUUCUCUCUCUAAACACUUAGCUAGUGAAAGAAAGUAUGGAAGUAAGAUUUUUUUUUUCAAGGGUUUUAAAGUGAGAGAGUAAAAGAGCAUAAAGGUUCAAUGAAAGGGUGUACAAAAGCAUGAAAAGUGGAGCUAGCUUGAAAGAGUUAUGGAAGCUUAAAGAAAACUCCCAUGGAGGAUGAAGAAACGUGAGAAGGAAGAAGGAAGAAAAAGAAGAAGCUACUGGAAAAUGUGAGAAGAAGUUGCUGGAAGAUGAUAUUUAUAGCUCAAGCUUAUCCAACUCCACUUAAAUUACGAAAAUACCCUUAGCAAAUUAGCUUAUUCUUUUUCAAUCCUUUAUGCAAUCUUUUUACUCUUUUGACACUGAGGUCAAGUUUAUAGUGGUCUAAAAAUAUUCGAGUUUAUGAAAAAUUAAAAUUUUGACCCGAGAUGAAAAAUGACCAUUUUGCCCAUAUUUUGGAAAUCAUCAUUAUUUUUAUUUCUUUCGUCAUUUAAUCCUUAUUUUCAUCAUUCAUUUAUGCUUUAGGCCUACUUAGGCCUUAAAAAUAUUUGAAAGCAUAUUUUCAGGGGCUCACUAAAGAAAUGACAAAAUUACCCUUGGCUCAAGUUAUCGUGUCAACACCUAGUUAUGAGGCUAUAGAGGUCGAGGUUUCACAGUAUUUUUUAAAAUAAUUAUGUAUUAUUUUUUCUUCAUUCAAACAUUUUUCCAUUAGGUUUUUUCCUAGUAAGUUGUUAACAAGACAUAUUCUUAAUACAAUGGACAUUGAAGAGGGAGUUUUAUGAAUAUAUGUGUGAAUAUCCAUUAUAUUAUGACCCAAGAAGUUUAGUCCAAGUCAAAUAGCCCAAUAGGCUAUAUACAAGAAGUGUAAUCUGAUUUGAACUCUUAGAUUUGAUUAUGUAUAUCUAAAUUUAGAUAUAAAUUAAAUUGGAUUAAAAUUAAAAUUUAAGGGAUUAUUGACUUAUAAAUUGACCCUCACUUCAUUUGUAAAUAUAUAUUUGAAUAAGAUUUUUUACUUUUUCUACAUAUUUUAUCUCAUAAUUGUUCUUUUAAAUUAUAUUUCAUAAUAAUUUUUUGAUUAUUAUGUUGGAAAUUCUUAUUAACUAAUUUGAGGGCAUACAAAUUUUUUGAACAUCUUUUUUAAAAAUUAAUAGUUUUUUUAUUUGAAUUAUUAUGCUAUGACCUUUUACUUUUAUUCUUACACAUUUAAGUCAAGUAUAUAAAAAGUCAAAUUUUAAAUAUAUUUAUUGUUAUCCUUAUGUUCAUACCCUUGCAUUAAAAUUUUAAAAAUAUUAAUUGUUUAACAUUAACAUUUUUAAUUUACCACUUAAUAAUUCUUGUUUGUUAAUUUGACAGAAUACGAAUUAGAUUAUAAUAUGUUAAAAAAAUAUAUGUAUAUAUAUAUAUUUAUUUUAAAUUUUUUACUGUUAUCAUUAUAGAUUCACUUAAAUAUUUUUAAGAAGAAGAAUUUCAACUUUACAUUCUUGGAGACAUUUUGCAAAUUUUGGAAUUAAGGUUUUUUUAAAUUUAUUUUUAAUUAAAAAAUACACAAAAAAAAGAAAAUACAGAAAUAAUACUACAAAGAGAUUAAACGUGCAGGAAAAUGAAAAAAUACAAAAAAAUAGAAAAUACAAAAAGUAAUAAAAAUUACUGAAAAUAAAAGACACAAAGAAAUUAAAAAUACAGAAAAAUGAAAAAAAAAAACAAAAAAGGGGGCAAGAUGAUUUUUCAAGUACAUCGAAAUAUUAAAAUUGAUAAUUUUUUUUUAGAUUUAUACAUUGAUAUUUAUCUCUUAAUUUCUUAGAUUUAUAAAUUAAUAAAUUUGAUUUUUAAUAAAAAUGCAAAUCUAAAUAAACGCAGCCAUUCAGAUAAUAAAAAAUCAAAUUCAAAAUUCUGGAAAAAAAAAAGAAAAAAAACAAAGAAACUCCACUAAACAACCAUUGUAUAACUGUGAGGAAGACAUUUACCUCAUUUGACGUUUGAACCGACUUUCCCGGUUCACCAACCGCAUCCUCCUUCCUUCCCUGUUUCUUUCACUUUACUCCUCUUUCCGUAUAUAAACACAGCCCUCGAGUUGGCUACAGCUUAGGACAUAUUGGGAGAUGGCUGCAAUGUCUUGGCCUACUCAGGAUGAGGUAGUAAUCUUCCUUCAUCCAUAGCCACGGCCAUUGCCUUACUAUUUUUAACUGCAUUUCUCUUUUCUCUCUUUUAAUUUGGUUGAAUUGGCUAAUAUUUCUGCAUCUAUCUGGGUUUUUAGUCUUUACUUGUGAUCUAUUUACAUCGAUACAGCGUCAUUUCCGUUUUUACAUCAGUGUCUGUGGCAUUGUUUAAUCAGUAUCUUCCAGUUGAUAUUAUUUCUUUUCAAAGCCAAAAAUAAGGGGAUAGAUUUGGCUCUUUAAUUCUGAUAAAACUAAUUUAAGAAUGAUUUAAUAAUCUGAUGUUGGGGGGAGGGGGGGGGGUCUUUGGAUGAUUGCCAUUGCCUCUGCAUUUUUUAUUUUAGUAAAUCUUGGGUUUCUUUCUCUUACAUUUUCCCACUUUGCAUUGGCUACUGUGCUCAUGUAAUAAUUGCGGAUGCCACUGGAUUGCAGUUAGAUAAAAUUAGAGGGAUAGUAUCUGAAAUGGCUGGGAAAGGUACAGAGGAUGUUCGAGUUGUUGUUUCUCCUUAUCGGAUUUGUCCAUUGGGAGCUCAUAUUGAUCAUCAGGUUAGAACAUUGCAGCUGUAUUUGCUCUGUGUUAUGUAUGAUGUCAGUGAUGUAAAUUUGUUUUUUGUUUAUUGCUGACCACUUUCUGUUUUCUAAUGCUUACAGGGUGGAAUUGUUUCUGCUAUGACAAUUAAUAAGGGGAUACUGCUGGGAUUUGUACCUUCUGGCAACACUCAGGUGAGGUUAAGAUAGAGUUUUUAUCUUGUAGGUUUUUCAGAACAGUGAUUAGAUUUCUGGAAGUUUUGUGGUCAUUUAUGCUCGAAUCUUAACAUUUUUUACAAAACUUCCUGAUCUCAGACAAUAAAAUUAAUAUAAGUUUGUGCUGUUGUACAUUGGUCUUGCGGUGGCUGAAUCUGCUUGUUUUGUUCCAGAUUGUUACCUGCCUGCUUCUCACCAAUCUUUUAGAAUUCUUACAAAUUGCGUGCAAAUAAAGUAGGUGGAAUAAAUCAAAUUUGCAUACGUGAAACACUGCACAAGCAUGCUUGUUGCUAGUAGUUUUUUCUCUUCAUUGAAUAAGUUUAUAGAAGACAGUGAACUCAAUUUUUGAACACCAUCUAGUUGCCCUGUGAACAUUUUGAUGCCUUGAGGUUGUCUUUAAUAUAAUCAUAAAAUUUAUGUUCCAGAAUGUCUAUCUUUAUAAUUUGAAUUUCAAUUGCUUGGACCUACCUUGAGGUUUAAAGAUCUUAUAAGAUUUCCCAUUGUAUAUUUAGUAGAAGGAGGGGUAGUGCGAACUAGGUUACUCUGCAAAGUAGUUGUAAGUGUUGCUAAAAAAAGCAGAUUUACUGAGCUGUUGCCAAGUAUCUUUCUCUUCUGAAGGAGCUUUUUUGGCCUAUCCCUGCAUUUCAUGAAAGAAAUUUAAAACUAAGAGGUUGUUUAGGACGUGAGCUUUCACCUGAGUUUUUUCCUUCAGCAGUUUUAAAAUGUCAUUUGGCUUGUGUAAUGCGCUUGAUACCUAGUAUAUCAUCAUGUGUCUGGCAGCAGUCUUUUUCACGCGUGUUGUAGCGAGACAGACUGCUGCCUGGUGUGUACUUCAGAUCAUAUUAGCAAGAUGUUCUCUCUCCCUCUCCCUCUCUCUGUUUUUUUUUUCCUCUUCUCUUGAUAAGUAAACAAGAUAUUGUCCUCUGAAAGAGUGGUAACUACGUAGGCAGCUGAACCAUUGCUAUUGUAUCAUAAAAUGAGAAGUUAAAAGGCUAUUGUAUAGUGCAAAGGUAAUGAAUUUGACUGAUCAAUCUAAGGAUGUUCUAAUCCCUGACUUGAGUACCAUUACUAUGUACAUCGCAAAAUGAGUUGUUCUUGGAUAGCAUUAUAAUACUCUCUCUCUCUCUCUCUCUCACACACACACACACACACAUGAAGGCCUUUGACUUUUUUCUUAAUGCUUGAGGGUAUAAAAGAAAAAGCAACCACAAUUCAAAAAUUUUAACAGAAUGUGAGCAAUCAUUUUCCUAUUCUGCUAUUGUUAUUUUUUUCAUUUCAUCUUCUGCUGAAUGGACUUUGGAAUGCUUGGUAUAGGUUGCAUUACGUUCAGGUCAGUUUAAAGGAGAAGUUAGGUUCAGGUAUGAGGAUUAUGAUAAUCCUCCUUCCCUUAUGCAUUGCUCUUCAAUAAUGUCCUUUUUUCAUUUUUUUUAUCUGAUUAGUCUUUUAUAUUUCCAAGUCUAAUAAGGAUUUUGUGAUUUUUCAUUUCAUUUGCAGCAUUUUUUGUUUUCUUUUACUUCUUUUGUCAGUGGAAACUGUCCUCUCCUCUCUCAGGCAUUAAAUCAUUGUUGGUUAAACGAAGAAAUAUGCUUGUUAAUACAGAACCAUCGCUAGCCCUUCUUUUGUGAGGAUUGCUUGUGAAACAUGAUAGCCAUCUUUCUAGAUUUUUCAAAUGAACCAUGGACUGUAUUUGCAGUUAGAUAUAACUUGUGUGCCAAUGUCAAAUAUCUAUAAAUUGAGUUGCCUAAGUGAUACAUCUCAAACCAUUGAGUUUACGUUCUUCUUUCUUUCUACCCUUCCCCACUCAACCUCCACUUACCGCCACUUACCUCUUGGUUAAUACUCUUCUACAUUAAAAAGCCUGUUAUUGGUAGGGAUCUUCAACUAUUAUAAAUAGGAAAUCACUAAUUACAUUGGAAAUUCACUGGCUGCUGUUAAAGAUGAAUCAUUACAUCACACAAUUCAAAUAGGAUGCUCUAUACAAUAGUACUACCAUCUUAUUUCUAGGGUAUUUGCAUAUACUGUGUGUAUGACUUUCUUCUUUCUGCUUCAAACAAGAUUAAUCUGUUGUGAUGAGUCACAUCUUUUGCAUUAUGAUUACACAACUAUGCCAUGUUUAACUUGAUUCUUUGGCAUCACUGGUUUUAUAGAGUUAAUGAAACCCAACAGCCGAGACACAGGAUUAGCAAGGGUGAAGAGAUUAAAGUAGAUAAAUCUUCUCCUUCACCACAAGAAUGUUACUGGGGCAGAUAUGCUAUAGGAGCCUUGUAUGCGUUACAGAGCAGAGGGAACCAUCUUGCUCAGGUAAGAGUUAUUUCCCUGUAUUUUCAUGCAAGUAAAAAACUAUCUAAAUUAUUAUGACCACGCAGAAAGAAAAUAAAAUUAUCAGUCGACGGUAAGCUGUAAUACAUUCUAAAACCCGUAAUGAAGAUCAUAAUGAGAGGGAAUCUGUUCACAGUCUAGAAAAAUAUGCAAAAUCUAUUAAUGAAAGAUAAUCACAGCCAAGUUUCUUUUCUCAUUUCUUUCUUUAGGACCUGAGCAUCCUUUUCAAGUUUAUGCAUUGUGAGAUUGAGGAAAACUGGUUUUUAUUUGUAUUGGGUUAUCAAUCAUCAUCUUCAGAUUCCUAAUCUGAUGGCUAUGUCCGUCAAAAUGCUGAGUAGGAAACUAACUUUUUACAAACUGUGAAAGCAAAUGCUUUUUCUUAGUUUUUUUCACAUUUAAUCAUUUUUGAAAAUAUGCAGGUUUUCAAUAAAUUCCACUCAUAUUUGCAGGGAAUCAUUGGCUACAUCUGUGGAUCUGAGGGUCUGGACAGUUCAGGCCUUAGCUCUUCAGCUGCUGUAUGUUUAUGUUUUUUCUCGCCUUCAUUACAGCAUAUAGACAGCUAAGGUGACACUAUGUUGUAAAGGAAAGAAAAGCUCAUGCACUCACAUCUUUGAGAUGAAGCAGCUCACUGCUCCAAGAAAAUCUAUCCCAGAGAUAAAAUUUCGCAUAAUAUGCUUUUCUAUACGUUAUUUGCAGAUGCAUAGACCAGUGUUGGAACAGUUUUCUACUAUAGGAUACAAUAAAAAUUAUGUUUCCUGGAAAUACUAGUGAAUAAGCCCCAAAACUAAGUUCAUCUCAUUCUAGACAUAGGGAACACAAAUAAUUGGAAGCUAAAAGUUGCCCUCCUGAUCCAAUUAAACAGACAUAAGCUCAAUAAAAUUCCAAUACCAGCAUGGUUUGAGGCAUUAGAAACUAGAAAAAUAUGCUUACUCACCAUAUAUAUGGCAUGUAUAAUUAAUCCUGUUUUUUAUUUGUCCUGGACAUGAUUAAUCCUUAUUGACCCACAUAGAGUUAAAGCUCAAAACUAACCAAUGUUUUAUAGAACUUCAUUAGUUUGAAGCAUCAGAUGGAACCACAUAGGUUCCUUACUUGCUAGGUUGAAUAAGCAGCACUCCUACUCUCUUCUGGCAGCACCCACAAGUCCAUCCUUUUUCUUGCCUUCUUCAUUUAGAAUGUGAAAUUGAUGUUUAUGACGUCCAAAUUAAGUUGGUAAGCUAAGUCAGCUUAUUUUAUGCAAUGGCAGUUUAAGUAGAGCAUGAUUUAUACAGACUGCUACAGCUUAGCAGCAAAGUUAGGAGAAGAUGAAGCAUUAGAUGGCAUUACAAAAUAGGUUAAAAGAAUUCUUGGUAGACUGCAUAAAUGGGGAAAAUAUGGCUUGAAAUUUUUCAAGAGUGGCAGAAACUCAAAGUCUGAAUUUUUGAGAAGAAUUAAUAGGUUGAUAUUUGGUGAUCACUUAUAAAGAGAUCCUAUUUUUCUCUCAUUAUAUUCCCUUCCUACUCAGAAUACCCACGGAUUAACUCCAAAAUAAAUAAAUUCAAAAUGGCUCUGGUUUGUGCAAAGAAAUUAGGCAUAACUUGAUAAAGACCACUAUCAAGUAAGAGAGAAAAAAAAAGAAAAAGACAAUCCUGAAACCAUUCCUUAAGGUAUGAAUGUUCUAUGAAGAAGGAGCCUUAGUUCUGCAAAACUUCUUCCAUUUGCAUAUAACGUAUUAAAAGGUAACAAGAUAAGAAAACUCGAAACAAAAGGAAGAAGAGGAAGCGGAUGAAUCACCCAGAAAUGACAAUAUGUACCGUUCUCAAAAUAGGAGUAGAUAGAGGUUGUGAUUGAGUUUCAGCCAUCUUAAAGUUGCACAAAUUUCUGAAUUUCACAAUAUAUUAAUUUUAGAGAAAUUUUUAUGUGCUGAUAGAUGCCUCUGGCUUUCAAAGGAUUAGUGAAGAUGAAACAGAAGAGGUCCAAAUAUUGGCAGAGAAAGAUAGGCUCAGUAUGUUUUCAUAAGGAGGAAACUGAUUCAAGCUGUACCUUCUCAACCUUGGGAGGAUGAGAACUAACUUUUCAUUAGAAAAUAGGCUAUAUAUGCUCAAGCCGUCUUUUGAAAAGAGUAUAUCUGUUUUGGUGAAAUCUGAGGCUAUUGGAAUUUUUUAACCAGGCAAGAGAGGUACCAUUCUCCAUGUCUUGCUUAACUUGGUGGGAAGUCUUAGGAAGAGAUAUAUUGCAUUUUUUAUUUUUUAAUUUUUACCACGAAAUUCAUUACAUAUCAUUGAAACUAUGGUGUUUAGUGCUUGUGUUUGUUUAUCUUUAAUAAUCAAAGUAAAAAUCAAUAAAUCUAGUACCUUAAUUGUUGGUAACUUUCGUUUUGGGAGUCUGCAAAGAAAACAUAGGCAGAGGAAGUGUAGCAUUCAAUGUUUCUUAGGAAUUGAUCUGCACCAUUCAUAUAGCAUUUUUCUUGAAAACUCAGGGAUUAAAUUAAAUUGUAAUUAUAGUUUCAGGCCAAUAUAUGUAACUUUUAUCAGUAAUUGUCUUGUUUCAUAGUUAUUUUCUAAAACUUUAAGGCCAACCUGAGGCAUGCUUUUUUUCUAAGUGAAUUUCCUCUUUUCUGCUUACCAUGUAGUUAAUUUAUGUUUGACAGGUUGGCAUAGCUUACCUGCUGGCUUUGGAAAGUGCAAAUAAUUUAACUGUAUCUCCCACAGAAAAUAUUGAAUAUGACAGGUAUUUUUGUUCAUGUUGAAAUACUUUAGUGUGUAUGCAUUUUACUUUAGUGGUAAUACCAUCCAAAUUUUAAAACUGUGUUUUAUGCUUAACAUUUGAAAUUUACUGGUGAAUGUUGUCAAAUUUUAAUCACCAAAAGUUAUGUUUAGUUUUAGAGGCAAAUUGCAUAUCUGUUGCUUAUAAGUAUGCUUCAGGACCACAUUUAUAAAAAAGUCAUUAUGUUGAAUAAAGAGGGGAAAAGAUAUAGGGAAUAGGAAUCAAAGAGAAAAAUAGGGAUAGAUAUAGAAAUAUGGGACUAACAAAUGGAAUUGGGGGAGAAAUAGAGGUAGUAAGGGUAGAAAAUCAGAGAGAAAUAAAAAAGGAAAAUCUCAAUACUCCAUUUCAAAACUUGCACUUUAAUAUUUAACUCAAUGGUAUGUGAAUGUAUUUUCUUGCGCAAAGAGUGGGUUCAAAUCCUCUUUCUCCAAUAAAAAAGGGAUGUGUAUGUGCAAGCUGAUGUAAUAUAUUGUCUCACAUAAUUUACAAAUAAGGAUGAGAUUGUCCUUUGGAAAAAUGUAGUGAAGUGGUGUGUUUCUGGGUAAAAUCCUACAAGUAAGCAGCACAAUUUGCCAUAAUUAUUUUGAAGCAAUUUUUAUAGCAAGCAACUUCUGUGUGAUCAUUUGUAACUUAGUAUCUACUUUGCCUUGUCCAUGACUCUCUACACAUGUCAAGAAGUGCAUGUGCAUGAUUGUCUUAUUUGUGUGUCUCCUUGCAUGUGUGCGUUCAUUUAUGAGAACUGGGGGGUAGGGGGGAAGGACGUAAUAGAACUGAAUAAGGUCCACCAUGUACCAUAGCUGAGUAAGUCUAGUAUAAUAGUACUUGACUCCUUGUUGGUUGGACUUGGGAGUAAGUUGUCAGACAUGAGUGUGUGUCUAACACAAUUGUGUUAAAAUUUUUUCCAAGUUUUUCCUUAUUGAGGGUCAAUACCUCAUACUCAUGUCCACUUUGAGGUGUCAGAUAAGUGUCCAACAUGGGUAAUUGAGGAAUAUGAAGAAUUGGAAUAUCAUAGGUUUGUACUGUCUUGGUAGCAGUGGUUUUGUGGUCUGUAUAGGUGGGGCCAGUUUGGAUUUAACUCGAAGAGGUUUGAUCACUGUUCACUCCAGUGCUUUAUUUUAGUUUCCAUUCUCUUUACUGUUGCUUAGGAAUGCUUCUAUAGAGGUCAGGAUAUUUUGAAAUCUGGGAAGAUGUUCAAUCCAUUCAAACCUAAAAUUCUGUCAUGAAAAGAAAAAAAUGAAAUGCAAGGUGUUAUAUAGAGUAAUUAGGGAUUUACAUGAUCUUGGAGAUGGACUGAUACUUAAAACUUGAAAGAGGGGAUCUUCAUUUUUAAUUUUCUUUUUUUUUUCCAUUGGCUAAAUAACUCACCCAAUCCCUAGACUGAAAUCUAGAAUCAUUUUGAAUAAAGGAGAGUGGAAAUAUUUUAAAGUAGAGGGGGGGGGGGGGGGGGGGGNNNNNNNNNNNNNNNNNNNNNNNNNGGGGGGGGGGGCGGGUCCUGGCUUAAGUUGGAGUUGGUCAUUGGUGUUGAAUGGGGAACUGGUUUGAGAGUGGAAACUGAAUUGUAGGUUUUGCUUGAUUCAAGGAGGUUAAGACAUACAAAGUAAGUGUUUCUGGAGCAGGUUGCUAAUUUCUUGGUGGAUAUACCUAGAAAGGAUAUAUGGAGCUUGGGAAAUCAUGAUCAAUAUGGUGCCUACUGUUGCACUUGAUAUUAAAUAUUGUUCCCUUUGUUGCAAAGUUAUUGUCCUCUGAAAAGCUCAAAGAUUUUUUUUUUUUCUGAAAAGUUAAAAGCUCAAAGAUUAAGGAAUUACAUUAAAUGCAGCCACAUUAAUUGUAGAGCAUAGCUUAACUUUGACCUUACAUUAGUCAGUAGCUUUCUUGUCUUCGUUGUCCUUAUUAGGUAAAAUUUAUGAGGGUGAAGGAUGUUUUCGGAAUCAGCCUUCAAUUCAUAUUGUGGGCGAUUUUCUUUGGGUAAUUUCAAUGUAUAAUUACUAAUAUCUCAUAAAUAAGCAACAAGCUUUACUCUUGUUUUAAAUACCUCUAAUAAGUGAUCAUAAGGAAUUAUUAGAAUUUAUUAAUUAAGUGCUCCCUUUGUCCCAAUUUGUUUGGACUUGCAAAAACUUAAAAAAAAAACUUUUAAGUUUAUUUGUCUUUCUCAAUAAUAUUUCUUCUUUGCCCUAAAAGGUUUUGACAUAUAACAUAACAAAAACUAAUAUUAAAUAUAUAUCUGUUUUGCAACAGCAGACUUAGAAUAUACAAAAAGGUAUGAGAAUAUUGAAAAUUAGAUGGAGAGAAUAGAUAAUUUGGAUGAUCGCUUGCAAUGUUUUUCAUGAUAAGUGGUUCCAUUUAGCUGGCAAUGAAGUUUCUUUGAAUUUUAAAUGUUAAAUCCUUUUUGGGAUAAGAUCCAAAUUUACCACUCUACUUAGGGUGAUGGACCAAAUUUAAUCCCAGUUUUGAGCGGGUGCAUUUUGACUUUUAAUUUGGUAGAAAAAUGGUCAGCAGUUAAUGGUAAAAAAAAAAAAUAUUUUGUGAGGGAGCAAAGGAAUAUUCCAUGUAAUAUGCUACGAAAUAUUCCUUUACCAUUAACUUUGGACCAUUUUUGACAAAAUUUAAAAAGUACAGUGUUGAAAUUGCAUCAAUUUAAAAAUAAGUGGUAAAUUUGGUCUAUCACUCUAAGUAAAGUGGUUCAUUUAGACUUUAUCCCAAUCCUCUUCAUCUCAAAGUUACUUCACUGAUCAGAGAAUGCACAUUGUUAGGGUUACAUGAUUGCCUCUUUAUUGUUACAUGUGAAACCUUUUCUGAAUCUGAUGCUAUGGCACAUGUAGGGUGAUUGAAAAUGAGUACUUAGGCCUGAGAAAUGGCAUAUUGGAUCAAUCAGCUAUACUGCUUUCAAGCCAUGGUUGUCUAACCUACAUGAACUGCAAAGUAAGUCACUAUUGAUAAUAAUUUCAGAAAUAAAUUAUCCAAAAAAAAUUCAGAAAUAACAGAUCCUUCUUUGUUUUAAUGUGGUUUAACUUUGUUACUUUUGCACUGCUUAAUUAGUCUGAUGGACUUCCUGUAAUUUAGUUAUCACGCAGAUCUAUGGCUAUAUUUUACUCUCAUAUUUGUAUAUAUGUUUGAAAUCAUUAAUUCUAUGUCUUUGUUGCUCCUCAGUUCUACUGAAUUAUUCUAUCAUUGCAUAAACAUAUAUGUACAAUAUCAUUUUUUUUUAUUAUUGCCAGUUGUACUACCAAAUUAAAUUGACAAAAAGAUGCACUUUAUUUAACUGUAAAGCAUCACCUGUUAAAGUUUUUGCUAAUUAAUUGAGAGGCACAAGAAAUAAAAGAUCUUUUUUUUCUCUAUCAUAGGCUAUGUUUGUGAGUUAGAAGAAUACUAGGACAUCGAAAAUAUUUCAUUUUUGGACCUUUCAAUAAUUGCUUGUCUACCAUAUUGCUUGAGCUGUCUACAUUUGGUCAGAUGCUUCUCCCUAAGCCACUGUCUACAUUCAUUUAUUACUCUUUUACAAGAUUUCCUUUCUCUAUAAAUUGAUAAACCUGGGUCUUAUCUACAAACGGAUGAUGUUUUGCUUCAAAAUAAAUUUGCUUUUAGAGAAUUUGCUGUACUUCUCACUCACUUUGAUUGUUAAUGUUUUCUUUGCAAUAUAAUUAUGAUCAAAUUAUUAAUGUUUACUUUUAUUCUUAUAUUAUUUUUGUAAAGUCAAGGCUGAAUUUAUUUAACUUGUUCAAGCAACAUGGUAUCUCAUUAAAUGUAGACUACAGAACACAAGCUUAUACACCCACUGAAUUUUCUAAAGGAUCAUGAGACUGAACCACAGAAAGGCUACAAAAUAUUACUAGCAUUUUCAGGACUGAGGCAAGCUUUGACCAGCAACCCUGGAUACAAUUCUCGUGUUGCAGAAUGUCAAGAAGCCGCCAAAAUUCUUCUGCAGUAUGACUCUUGUUCCCUCUAAUUGAGAACCCUGGAAAUUUUCAACUAUGAUUUUGGUUUUUUGGUUGCACAUAUCUUCACCUUGUCCUCUUAGCUUGUGAGACAGUUGUGUUCAUGUUAAUUUCAAUAUUGAAUCACUUUUUGAUUGAAUGAUUAUGAACGGAGAGCAUUUGAAUUGUUUCCUUGAUAGUGUUGACUGGGGGGAGUUAAUAUAUUGUUUAAAACUUCAGAGAUAUUUCAUAUCCCCUGUUAAAUGUUCCAACUUGUUAUGAACAGAAUGCAUAAAGAUGUUCAAUGCAUGGCACUAUUCCUCCUUUUCUUACAAAACCGAAAGUUGUCUGGGUCCACACUCUGCAGGGAAAAAUUUACACAACUAAUAGCAUUAAAUGAAAUCAACAUCUUUUGUAGCCUUGUUUCUGACUUCACACAUAUCUUUCACUAAGAUAAACAUGAUAUUUCCAUUUUUCAAUAGACUUUAACAUUGUGCACCAUAUGUGUAAUAUUACUGUUUAUGAGGAUCAUGUCCUGGUUCAUAUUGUUUCAUCCUUUUCUUUUGUUCUCUGUUUUCUGUUUUGCAGUGCUGCUGGAAAUGGUGAACUGGAGCCGUUCCUUUGCAAUGGCUAGUACUUGACCCAAUUUUCUCUGUGAAUUUGAACUUCCUUUCAAUUUUUUGAUUUGCACAAUGAAUUAAAUUUCUUUCUUCCCCUCUUUUGAACAGUUGAACCAGAAUCUUAUGAAGCUUACAAGGUAAACAUCAAACAUAUAAACUCUGAUUUUUGAAGCUGAGAAUUUUUGCUCCAUUUCUUUUUAUCAGUUAAAUAGUUAUGUUUUGAAUGUAUUCUAUUUAAUUGCUUAUCCUAUUAGAAGAGUAAACUUUAAGUUCAAUACUUCAAUUCACUAAAUAAGAUUUCUAUUUCUCACUAUUAAAUAGUUAGAGGAGUGCAGAGUGCAUAGAUUCAUGACUAUAUUACUAUUAAUAAACAUUGCAGUUUGUCGUAAAUGAGGUGUCUAUUCACCUCAUCCUUGAAUAUAAACUUAUGAUGUAGCACACAGACAGGACAAAAUAGAGUAUGAGAGAGAAAAGAGUAAAAGAGAGAGAAUGAGAUAUAAAGAAUUAAAAGAGAAAAGAUUUGAAGAAAUUUCUCAACUGGAUAAUCUAUCAAAAGCUCCCUGGAUAUGAAAAUUACAUAAGCAUUUACGUAGAUCCUAAAUACUCUUCUUAGGAUUAAACUUCAACAAAGAAGACUAAUUAACUUAGACUAUGAGCAAAAUAAGCCUAAUAAUCUGAUAGCCAAGAAAUAAUAAACCUAGCUUAAAGUACCUGAAAUAACAUACUUUCCCUUGUGAAUGAAAACUCAGAUUACAUAACAAAGGAAAAGAAACAGCAAUUCUCCAUGUCUAAAUCAACCUUCUACCUCAUCAGUAGAUUGGUUAUCCAUUUUCCUUUUUGGUAGAAGAGAUCACUAUGUCUCAAACAUAAGAUCUCUACCUAAUCCCGACAAGGUGGUAGAUAGGUUAUAUUUGAUGUAUAUAAUGCUAAGCAUCCAUUUGUUGACUUAACAUGCUAAGUUUGUUCACAAUUUUGUUUCUAUAUCAGUAUCUCCUUUCCUUUGCAGGUCAAACUGGAACCAAAUCUAGCCAGAAGAGCAGAGCAUUAUUUUUCAGAGAAUAUGAGAGUUAGUAAAGGUACAACUGUGUUAUCACACUUUCAUAAAUUUUUCUGAUCUAUGUAAUGGUCUCAUGUAGAUAUCCAUGUUGUUAUAAGGCUUAUCAACUACUAUGGCAUUGGUGUAAUGGUUAUUCCAGGAUUAGAGGCUUGGGCUUCAGGAGAAUUGAGGCAGUUUGGACAGCUAAUGUCGGCUUCUGGUCUAAGUUCUAUUAAAAACUAUGAAUGUGGUAUGGCAUACCUCUUUUGUUCCAUAGUUGCAUCACCCUGCCCCUAAAAUUCCUAAAAGUUGCCAAGAAAGCACAAAAACAAUAAAGAACUCAUAUUCAUAUUUGCCAUUGAAGCCCAUUUGAGAAGACACAAUAAUCAUACCUUGAGAAACCUUUAUCUCAUUUUCAUAUAUAAUAAUAUAAAUAGGCUUUUCUACCAUUCUCAGUUUCGAUACUUUUGUAGUUAAUUAAUUAUAUUAUUCUUAACUGGCUUGGUGAGGUGGGUGUUAUAGACACCUGAUGGUUGAAUUAUUUCAAGUUCUAAUACAUGCUCUGAUACUGGUUCUAAAGGACAUGAAAAUUUUGUGUUUGACGAUUGCCGUAAUAUAUGAAAUGCUGCAACCAUUUCCUGUGUCCCUUCCCAUGGUCCAAUUACCAAGAAUAUUUUUUGUUCAACUCAAAUGCAUUUAUGACUAUUAUUUAAGUUUAAAUUUGAAUUUAAAGCUUAUACUAUUUCAGACUUGAGAGUUUUACUUGUAUUUUUCACGGAGUCAAUUACAGCUUUAAAACCUUGAACCGUCAAUUUUCCCUUCACUGUCUCGAUAAAAUGUGGAAAGAGUGAAGUGCUGAUGGAAUUUCCUAUUGACUAUAAAGCAGUUUAUUUAUUUUUUAUCUUUUAGGUUUGAGUUUGUGACUCUGCUAAAAUGCCUACUUAAAAUUAUUCAACUAUUAACUUGGAUGAAUAUAUGAAUGUCAAGGUUGUGAGCCACUAAUUCAACUAUAUGAGGUCCUAUUGAGGGCCCCUGGUGUAUUUGGAGCUCGGUUCAGUGGUGCUGGAUUUAGGGGUUGCUGUGUUGCAUUGGUAGAUACUGAUUGUGUAGCAGAAGCUGCAAAAUUUGUCAGGGAAGAAUAUCCAAAGCUCCAGCCUGUGUUGGCCAGCCAAUUGAACCCAGAUACUGCUGUCUUGAUUUGUGAAGCAGGUGACUCUGCUCGUGUAAUCUGAUUAACUAGUCACUUUUCAUCUUUUAACACUAUAUGUUGUUUUAUUCAUUGAUUUAAUCAUACUCAAUCCUCUUUAUCAUCUCAAACUACGAGUUUGCAUGAAAUAUAACACGAAUUUUGAUUUAUAUUGCAAUGUUAUAUCCUCUGCUAGACUACCAAGGUUGAUUCACUUUGACACUCUGAAUUUUUCUGUUCUCAGUUAACAACUUUAACUUUUAGUUUUUAUCUUUAUAAACUUAGGAUCUGUUUGUUACACUUUUGUACUGUUUUCUGAGUUUUGUUUUUUUGUUGUCAAAAUUUUUAUUUUUCCUUUUCUUUUCAAAAAUAUUUAAAAGAAGAAGGUAAAUAAUGUUGUUAAAUGUCGCAAAAAUAAUAACGAAGUUAUCAUAAGCAUAAUAGUUAAGAAAUAAACAUAGUUUUAACAAAUUAAAAAUAAUACACUAUAUUUUAGAGGUGGCAAACCUGACACAACUAGACAAACUCGCUUGAACCCUAACUCGAUGGAACCCGAUUAUAAAAAAAAGUCAAUAAUUAAAUCAGUCUAAAUCUAAUUUGAAAUGAUUUGAACUUGCAUUGAUCUGAAUAUGAAAUGACUUGAAAUUGAAUGAUUCUAAAAAAUAAUUUGAAAUGAUCCGAAUUCGAAUAAUUUGUCCAAAUUCAAUUGAAUUUAAAAUGAACUGCACUUGAAGAACUAGAGUGUCAAACUCGAAUGAGAUGACCCUGCGAUGAUGCAAAAUCAAAACAAUUCGUACCCAAAAUGACCUAAAACUAAAAUGAUCCAAAUUCGAAAAUGAUCCAAAUUGCCACCUCUAAUUAUAUGAAAGGGUGAAUUACCCCUACCCUUUAUGUUUUGAUUAUAAUUCAUUUUUGAUCGACUAGUGUCAAAAAUGGACACUCUGUCACAAAUUGCUGGACACAAAAGUCUUACUGUUAGUCCAUCUUUAGAGUUUCUAUUUAUUUAAUGACAUAGCAUUAAUUUUUGAACAAUUUUAUCCUUUUCGCAUCAUAAAAACAGGAAGUGUAGGUUUUGAAGUUAAAAUUCACAGUCUAAAGCUCCUCUAAAGUCAGAUUUCAUUGCUUAGAAUAUAAUAAAUAAAUGUAUUAGUUGUAGUAAAAUGCAUUAUUAAUGUAAAAACUGAGUUUGAAAAUUACCUUUUUAUUACUUCCCACAAGAACUCUAGGGUAGGUUCUUUUAUUCUGGCCAAGCUUAGAGCAAAAAGUGCAUCUGAUACUGCUCUUCCUUCUAGCAUUCUAGUCUCCAAUUAAUGCUUCCUAAAGUUCCAUUUUUCAUGUCUAUCAAGCAUACGACGAAGUAAUGGAGGUUCCACUGGAUCAACUUGACCUCAAAACUCAGCCAUGGUGAUAUCAGGUAUAAGGUGAAUGAACUCAUUAUAUGCCAACAUGAAAUUUUCUUUGGAGUAAUAAUUAUCACAAUAGAGCUCAAUAUCACCCUUCUUGUAAGUAAUGCAUGCUGUUGCAUACUUACGAGCUUGAAAUCUGCCAAAACCUUACAUGGACAAGUCCAAAUUCCUUGUUGCAAGUUCACCACAAAAGUCCUUCCACCUUCAAAUACAAUAAACUCACUCUCACUAGCAAGCACAACUUUGCAAAACCUAACACUGUACUUAACUCAAUCUAGUUUCUUCCUAAUUGCUGGAGUCAUCAUCAUGUCCCAUGUACAAGCCUUCACAUUUUUGUCAUGAAUCCUUUUGAUCAGCUUCAGUGCAGUACCCUUUAAUAGUGGACUAUCUUGCUUCUAACACUAUUAAUCCACUAAUUGAAGCUCUCAGUUAUGUUGCUGGUUACAUAAUCACUUUUUACAUUAGGAUCAAAUGUAUGCCUAGCCCUUAAUGUGUGUGGUUUUUCCAUCAACCACUUACAUGCCUCACCAUUUUAAGCCUUAAUCUUCAUCAUUACUUCAUUCCAGUCCCAUUGAUUAGAAGCUUUAACAAGUUUCUAGAAGUUUUUCUUCAAAUCCAAACCCAUAAACUUUUACUUAAAAUUAUUGGACAAAUGCCUACCACACCUUCUUUGACUUGCAUGUGCCAUGACUUCUAUGAUGAUUUCAUCUAGCCUUAACUAUAUAACAAAAUUGAAAAAAUUAAUUAUUCAAAUCACUAAAAUAAUUAGUGAAAAAUAAUAUAUGGAAUCAGUUUACCUUUUGACCAUCACUCAUUAAUGUCAAAGGUUUGUUGAAGUUCCUAAUGACAAUAUUCAAUAUUUGCAAAAACUAUGCCCGUGCAUCACCAUUUUCUAGUUCCAUAAUAGCAAUAGCAAUAGGUAAAAGUCCACAAUUCCCAUCAACGGUUAUAGCUGGUAACAGAGUUCUUCCGUAAGAUCCUUUUAGGUGGCAUCCAUCAACAUCAAUAAAAGACCUAUUUCCAUUAGUGAACCAUUUCUUCAUGGCUUCAAAAAAGAAAAAAAAAACUUUUAAAUGUAGGGUUGACUCUAAUUUCAAACCUUUCUAAGUACAUGAUGACAAUGCUACUAAGAUUAGUAUCCAUCACCAUUUGAGCAUUUAAAAUAAAAGAAUUUGUAUAACCUAGCAUGAUUUCCUUGAGAUUCUUCUCUGACUUUUUUUUAACCAUCUAAAUCUUCUUAGGAUUCAUUAUCACACCAUACUUCUUAGUUAAUUCAUGCUGCAUUAAGUUGUAAGACAUAUUGGGUUUAGAAUGCACCUGAGAACCUAACUUCUAGCUAUUUGAACAUUUGUUGCUACAACAUGGUUAUUACUCACUUUUAUCCAAGUGUGUUCACCUUCUAGUUUUAUGUCUUCCUAUACAAAAUAAUUGAUCAUGUGCUUCAAUUACAACCAUUCCCGUUAUAGUACGUUGUAUACUUAGUCUUGUCAUUUUUAGCCUUAUCUAAGUCAAUUCCUUCUUAAAUCAUAUAGUCUGUCAUGACUUCCCUAGAAUGAGUAACAUUGUUAAACAACAUAUUCUGGACUAGCCUCACAUUUCCAAACUCAUUAGGUACAUAAGGAAUACUAGUCAUAUAUCGAUCAAUAGCUUUACCCUCCCAAUCAGAAUUAGAACUUCCUUGAUUCUGCUCUUUAACAUUAUGAAUGAUUUUUUUCUUUUUCAUUCCUAGCCUCAAGUAUCAAAUCAAUAUCCAUACUUGAGACAUUAAUUCCUUUUUCCUUAUUUGUGUCCCUUGAAUGAUUUUUACUCAUUUUCACAAUUUUUUUCCAUGAAAUUCUUUCCUAAUAAGGUUUUAAUAAGAUAUAUUCUUAAUACAAUAGAUAUUCAAGGGAGAGUUUUAUGAAUAUAAGCGUGAAUGUCCAUUAUGUUAUGACCUUAGAAGUUUAGAUCAAGUCAAAUAGCCUAACAUGCUAAAUACAAGAAGUGUAAUCUGAUUUAAACUCUUAGAUUUGAUUAUAUAUAUCAAAAUUUAGAUAUAGGUUAAAUUGGAUUAAGAUUAAGAUUUAAGGGGUUAUUAACUUAUAAAUAAGCCCCUCACUUCAUUUGUAAAGACAGACUUGAAUUAGAUUGUCUUUUUUCCUCUAAAUACUUUCUCUCAUAAUUGUUCUUUCAAAUUAUAUUUCAUAACAAUUUUUAGUUUAUUAGUUAGAAAUUCUUAUUAGCUAGCUUGAGAGGAUACAAAUUUUUUUAACAUCUUUUUAAAAAAUUAAUACUUUGUUUUUUCAUUUAAAUUAUUAUGAUAUAACUUUUUACUUUUAUUCUUACACAUUUAAGUCAAGGAUAUAAAAAGUGACAUUUCAAAUAUAUUUAUUGUUAUCCUUAUUUUCAUACACUUACAUUAAAAUUUUAAAAAUAUUAAUUGCUUAACAUUAACAUUUUUAAUUUACCACUUAAUAGUUCUUGCUUACUAAUUUGAGGGAAUAUGAAUUAGAUUACAAUGUGUUAAAAAAAACUUAUAUUAUAUUAUAUAUAAUANNNNNNNNNNNNNNNNNNNNNNNNNNNNNNNNNNNNNNNNNNNNNNNNNNNNNNNNNNNNNNNNNNNNNNNNNNNNNNNNNNNNNNNNNNNNNNNNNNNNNNNNNNNNNNNNNNNNNNNNNNNNNNNNNNNNNNNNNNNNNNNNNNNNNNNNNNNNNNNNNNNNNNNNNNNCUUAAGGUUUUUUUUAUAAUUAAAAAAAUUAAUAAUACAAAAAAUAAAAAAAUUAAAAAUUAAAAGUAUAGGAAAAUGAAAAAACAUACUAAAAAAUAAAGAAAUACAAAAAAUAAUAAAAAUACAAAAAAAUAAAAAAUACAAAAAAUACUAUUCUUCUUGACAAUGUUGAUGAAUUUACAUAUUAAGCCUUUAAUGAAUAUUGCAUAUUAGUUGGAAUAAUUGUUGAAUAACCUGUUGCUUAUGUUGAUACACAAAAUAGUCUAACAGAAUUAUUUAUUAAACACUUCCAACUGAUUGCAAAGCCAUUACUUAUGAAAUUCAAACUCCAAAUUUCUACUUGGGAGCAUUCCAUUUUGCACACAACAACACAUACACAUUAGACCGACGAGUUAUUAUAAAUUCUCCUCUACAUUAUUAGUUUAUGGUCAGGAACCAAAUAUUUUCCAUUUAAAAAUUUUUGGAUGUGUAGUAUAUCUCUCAAUUGUUCCACCAUUACCAAUAAAACAAGCUUUUUUUGACGAAAUUUUUCGUUGAAAAAAAUUAAAAUUCUAUUAGAAAUGCCUUUUCCCAAUGAAUUUCCAACUAAAAAAUUCGUUGAAAAUUUUGUCGAUAAAAGCUUUGUUAGAAAUACUUUUUGUUGGAAUAUUCCAUAGGAAAAAAUACAUAAUUCGUUAGUUGUACUGUUUUGUAAGAAAUUUAGGGUUGAAUUUUUUGUUGGAAAAGCAUUUCCAAUGGAAUUCCAUUGAAAAUUUUUGACGGAAUUUUCCCUUGGUGAUGUAUUUCCAACGGAAAUUCUUUUACUAAUUUUUGAUGGUAUGUUCUGUCGGUAAUGCCUUUUAAACAAAAGUUACCAAUUAAAAUUUUGAUAAUAAGUUAUCAAUUGACAUUCAAAAUUUAUGAGAGAAACACGCAUUAAAAUUUAAAAUUCAAAGUCAAGGUCAUACAAUUAAAAAUCGUUAUAAACACACAAUAUCUAAAAAUGUCAAACACAUAUGAAUAUAAAGCUAAAUGUGCUAUUAUAUGUCCAUACUAAAAAAGUAUCUCAGUCUAACAACAAAAAAGAGACAUCAUAUCAUGAAAUGUUGCAUUCUUAUUUACCAAGAUUUAAGCUUGAAGUACUCGCAUUUCCUUUGUCACGACCCAAAACUCCCAUCGGGCUCGUGACAACCGCCGCGACGUCUCGAUAGGCACUCAUUAUCCCGAAUGCUGAUCAAAAUCUCCCAAGGCUUAGCAUUAGCUUCCGCAUCUCCCCGGUGAGCGACAGUUAUUAAAUCUCACAUUUCAAGAAAUUAUAAAUUGUUUCCAAAUCAAAAUAAUAAAAUAUUAUUUUUUUGGCUCACAAGGGCAUUUUUGUCAUUUUUCUUCAAAAAUACUGAAACCUGCCAAAAAUAUGGUGUAAAAGAUAAAUAUGUUCAUACAUACUUUAAAUCAGAUAACUGAAGUAUAAAAUUAUUUUUACAGUGACACGUGGGCCCUCAAUUGACCAAGAAGGUGUAGGGCUACGAACCCUUACUUUCUAGGAUGCAACUCCGAGAUUAAUUCUCGUCUUAAUCAACUAUCAACAAACUGUCCUGAGUCUGAAAAAUGGAUAGGAAGAGGGGUGAGAUUAUGAUUACAUAAUCCCAAUGAGUAAAUAGACACCAUCUAAACUAUUGAAAGGCGAGUAAAGGGAGACAAUUAAAAAUAGUUCAUUUCAGUAAAUUUUUCACAACACGAAUAUUCAUUUCAACCAAAUAAUCAAUAUGGCUCGUGAAUUUCUCAAAACUUGGCUCCUACCAAAAUCAUUCUCGCGGGUACCUUCGUCAAGGUAUCCCACUGAGACCGCUAAGGCUGUUAAAUGUACCAUACCCAUAAACAUGUUUUCGCAUCUGACACACAGCCGUUCCUUGACGUUGGCUGAGUCUCACUCUCACGCGGUGGUUAAUGUGAAGUGCACUCAAAAAGCCCACCUCAGGAGAUACCCUACGCGCCUCUAUGACCGAGGUGAGAAUAUAAAAGAGUUUAUUGUGCCCCUCUAAUAGGCUGGUCCACAGAACCCCCCACUACUGCAGUAGCUAAUCUUUAAUCCACCAAUUGAUCAAAUCUCAAUGGCAUAGCAUGGCAAUUACAUUACUAACCAAUUUAUCAAGGCAAAACAGACAGUUCAUAUUUUUCAACACAGGUAUAAAUUCAUCCAAUCAUGCCAAUUUAUCACAAGUCAUUUAAUUCAAAUCAUAAUUUAAAAUAACUCACAUGGUUUCCAAUUACUCAAAUUUUCAAAGCCAUCAUUCAAUUUCAAGACAAUUUUAUGAAAUCAUUUUAUUAAAUCACAUUUUGUUUAUAAAACAUAAAGAUUUACCAUUUAAACUCAUUUUUCAUAAAAUCAUAAAAUCGGAUAAAAACCACUUUAGAUAAUUAAGACGAUAAUAGGUUUACUCACAGUUCUAGGAGUAGAAAUACUCCUAUUUUCAGUCCGCGGGUACAGUCUUUUACCCGUAUCCAAUGGCUUAACACCUAGCCAUAAUCCAUGACACAUAUUCCAAUUAAAUUGUGUCUAACAGUCAUAAGCUAUUUCAGGCUCGAUAUAUAUAUGCAUGAAAUGAAAUGAAAAAUGCACGGGUAGCCACCUAGAUCCGGUAUUGGCCUAAGUCGAUUUUUCAUAUGAUAAAUUGGCCAAUGCGUCCAAUUUCACUCCAACUUGCUCCAUUUCUUUUCCAAUCCCUCAAUUCACCAAGCACAACUAAUUAACACACAAUUAGGCAAAAUUUAUCUUCACUUUUCUUCUUGGAACUUUCGGCCAAUAAUGGUACACUAACUCCGUGAUUUCUCCUACUUAAUUUUCUCUACAUAAUUCAUUAAUUCCUACACCAAAAACUAUUAUUUCUUAAUCAAAUUACCUAGAAUAACAUCCCAUUCUUCCUCAUUAUUCAAUUAGAGAAUUCGGCUAUUGAUGGGUUCCAAACCUUUGGUGGUUUUCUUCACUUGUUUUCAUGCUACACAUCAUUAAUCACCUAAAAACACUAACAUACCUAAAAAUCAAACCAAUCCAAGAUCAUUCUCUCUCCAUACCCAUUUUGACCAGCCAUGAAUUCAUCAUGAAAACAUGUAAUUUAACCACGAAAAAUAAGGAAAAAUGUAUGGGUAAGGUAAAUCACUAGCAAAAUCAAAGAAAAUUUACCUUUGCUUGAUCAAAUCCUUGAAUUCCAACACUUUCUCUUUGAUUUUUCCCACCUAGGGCUUGUUCUUCCUUGGUUUCUCUUCUCUUCUGGUUUGGCUGAUCACUAUGGGAGAAAUGGGCUGAUUUUUUUGCCUUUUUAUAGAGAAAUAAUAAAAUAAUAAAAAUAUGACACAUGACAUUUCCUUAUUGGUUCAUAUUUUAAAUAUUUGACUUUUAAUUCUUUAAUUCUCCACCACACAUUUCUCAUGUUUAUCCAUUUCCAUGAUGAAUAAAAUCCCUUGGUCUUGACAAGUGUCGGGGGUGAAAAUUUACCGAUUUGCCCCCGAGGUGGCAAAAUUAUCAUUUCACCCCUAUACUCUAAAUUAUACUAGAAUUAAAAUUUUUCACUUCUAAACUUCAAAUCAUACUCCAAUACUCAAAUCGUACUCCAAUAAGUCAAAUGGGGUCAAAAAAAAUCUUUUUUUAAAAUUUUCAUUUUAUCCCCAAGUGGCAAAUGACCAUUUUGCCCCUAGAUAGUGAAAAUUUCGGUUUGACUCCAAAUUGAUCCUCGAACUCCGAAUUACCAUUUUGAGUCAUCCCUAAACUGUGAAACUCAUAAUUUCACCUUAAAAUUCCUAUUUGAACUAGUUCGAGGCUUAAUCGACUUAAUGGUACCAUUAGGGGCAAUAUCGUCUUUUAACGAUUCCUCAAACUUCCUAAAUAUGCAAACAUUCUAUUGAGCAUGUAAAUGACGUCGUAAUUAUUUUAUAGAACAGGGUUUGACAUCCUUGUUUUGAAAGUGCAUUAGUCACGAUCAUUGUUUCCAUACGUGCCAUAAAUUUACUCAUGCUUUCCGCCAUUGCGUUCUUAAUUUCUUCACGUAUUUCCUCACGUAUUUUACCCAAGGUUUUUGAUAGAUUUUUCGCUUUUGCUUCCAGUGCAAUUGUGGGACUAGUAGUGUUUGAGUUGAUAGGGCCACACUCAAAUUUAGAUAUUGUUGCAUUGUUGUGUGUUCCACUAAGUAGAACUGUAACAGGCACCCGAGUACUAAACCCAUACACGUGAGUGCAUGUAGUCUCCAUCCCUCUAAUUGGUUCAGUCUAAGCAUGCAGAUCGAAUUUUGGCUAAGAGAAUGAGUCUUCACCAUACUUUUGCAAUAAUACAGAAUUAUACAUUUCCUACAUAAAAAAUUAAAAAAGAUUAGUAUUCAAUUAUAUCGUCAACUUUGAAGUAAAAAUUAAUCAAUUUUGUACAUACACUAGUAUAUUUAGCCUUGUUAUCUAUAAAAUUAUCGUGACCUGCUAAACAUUUAUGGGUGUGGUUGAACACUUUCAAAAAGUUAACAUCUCAUUCCAUCUCAAUUGCCUGAAUUUAUUUACAACUAUAUAUACUCAAUCAUAAUCCAUUUAUAUAAAUAACAUGUAAAAAAAGUCAAAGUCAAACUACUAAAUAUAAAAUUUAAAUUUAGUUUCAAAGAAAACCAUACAUAUAAAUGCCAAGAUUAAUUCAUACCAUCCUUUUUCCUGAACAACAAAUGGAACUGAACCAUCAAUGUGCUUUGGAAUGCUUCUUUUUUUUGGCGUUAAAUGAUUUUGCCUUGCUUUCUCGAUUUGUUUUGCCAUUCUUCUGUACCUCAUACUGUAUCGCCCUAUACUGUAUCGAUAAGGACAUCCCAGAUUUCAUUUAUGAUCCAUUCCCUUGACAUACCUUUGCAAUCCCUAUUGUUGUUUGUUUUAGUAUCUGUCAUUACUUUAUUCUUCUUUUUUGAAAGCAUGUCUCUUAACCGAUUGGAACAAAUUUUAUCUCAUAUUCAUCGAACCAAAACAUAUUGAUUUGUAGGCCAAACACAUUUUUCCUACAUCAAAAUAAUAGAGUAACUAAAAAAAUUGAUACAAAUUAAUUGAAAACAAAAAGUUAUAAUUUAAUUGAAUAACAAAUAUAGAACUUGAAAAUUUUUAAACAUUAACCCCUUUACAUCAUUAGGGACUUUCCUCCAUGUUGACCAUGGACUGUGGAAGUGAUUUUUUAUGAUACUUGUUAUCGUAGCCAUUAACCCUAGCUCAGAAAAAAAAUAUUUGUAUAAGAUAAAAGAAAAUUAUUGCAUAGUAAAAUAUAUAACAAAUAUAACUAUCUCAUUAUAAUACAAGAUAACAUACGUCUCUCCAAUAGAAGUUAUACAUAAUCUUUCGAAUGGAUUUAUAGGAGUUUGUAAUCUUAUAGAAAGCCCCUUACCCUUUGACCUUGAGGAUGUACCAUCUUACACUUGCACCUAAAUCAAUAGAUUUGGAUCUAGGAGAAUCGUGAGUAGAUAUCUCAUUAUCUACUUGUUAUGCAGAGACACCCAACAAAGAGGGUAGCUCAAAGGGCACAUUGUUGACUUGCUACAUCUGUGGUUGAGUGGAUGGAUCAAUAAAUGUGCUAGCAUUUGUAGGCAAUGACAUAAUUCCAAAGGUAUUUGUUGCUCUAGGUCUCGGUUUUGAAUACUUCCCUUUAAGCAUUUUUUUGUAAUAUUUUUAGUUAAAAUUCAUACACAAAUUAAAAAAAUUUGAAACAAACUAUAAAAACCACCAAAUUACAACAACCAAGAGUAAUUCUUAAUAAUGUGUACAAUAAAAGAUGCCAUUAUAAAGUAUUCAUUUCAACAAUUAUAAAUAAAAACUAUAAUAAAUUUAUAACAUGUCAAGAUCUUUCAAUAUUAUAAAAGUCUAAGUUAAACAAUUGUAUAACAAAAUAUACAAAACCAAUAUCAUAUAUGUCUACCAUCAUCAAUCACUUUCAGAAUAAGCGAACUCGUGUUUUUCAUUAUUAUCACUAUCAUCACUAAAAGUUGCUUUGUCUUUGUCUUCAUCUUCAUCUCCUUGUAUGUCAUCCACUUCAUCCUCAAUUAAGAGAUUAACCUCUUCAUAAUCACCAUAUGCUAAAACUAUAAAGUUAUUAAAACAUAUAGCUCAGCAGCAUAAAACUCACCUUCGUCUAAAAAUCAAGAUUUAUCCAAUGGACCAAAAGCUCGCCCAAUAUGAGUGAAAAUUGAAAGACGAUAAAAAAAGUCCACGUCUCCUUCAUCAUCAUUACGUGGCACUCAAUUUAAUCUUGUUCGCACAAUAGGUUCAAAAUACAAUGACCAAAAUGAGGAGAUUUCCUCGAUCAUAUAAGCCUCACAUAUAGAUCUUUCAACAAAGGCUCGAGUUUUUACUUUCUUCUUCAAAUGUUGCGAAAACUUAAAAUUCAUAAUAUUCAUAAAACUUAAUAAGUACCUUAAACUCUUCUAAUAUACUAUUUGAAUAUAAAUAACAAAUAUAGUAUCUCCCAAAUUAAUAUAUCCAUCGAUACUGGAUGGGUUCACCAGCCUUUGCCUCAUAAGGUAAAUGAAUCAGCAAAUGCUCCAUAGAGUCAAAGAAGCUAGGAAAAAAGAUCUUGUCUAGUUUGCAUAUAGUUUCACAUAUUUUUCCUUUCAAAGCUUCCAUGUGAUCUACAAGUAUUUCAGUUUAGCAUAAAUCUCUAGAAAAAAUGAGAUAUCUAAGUAAUUGCAUCCCAAAUUGAGUGAAGCAUCAUAUCAUGAAAGACAAUUGGGAACAAUUGUUGUAAAAAAAAGUGACAAUCAUGACUUUUCAUCUCAUAAAAUUUGCAAUUGAUCUUAUUAACACACUGAGAUAUAUUCGAUGCAAAGCUAUCAGGUAAUCUCAAUUGUUUCACCCAGGCACAAAUAAUUUUUAUUUCCUCCUUAUUUAAAGUGUACGAAGCCUUAGGCUUGAAAAUUUUUUCAUUAUUUUCCUCUAAUUCCAAUUCUGGAUGCUUGCAAUACACUUUCAAAUCUUAUUGUGCCUUUAAGUUGUCUUUCGUCUUCCCCUUAACAUCCAUCAUUGUGUUGAAUAUAUUCUCAAAUACAUUAUGUUCAAUAUACAUCACAUCUAGAUUGUGGUGAAUAAGAACCGUAUGCCAAUAAGAUAAAUCCCAAAAUAUACUAUUUUUUACCCAAUUAUGACUUACACUAUAACCCUGAAAUCCUCUACUCACCAUAUUUUGUUUCAAAUGGGGUAUGAGGAAGUGAAUUCGAAUGUGACAAUAUUUCUUCACUUGAUAAUCGAGGAAAUGAGAAGUCGUGCUCACUUUUUUUUAAAGAAAUUUAUCUCUCUACCUCCUAAAAGGAUGAUUAGGUGGCAAGAAUUGCCGAUGACAAUAAGAAAAAAAGGUUUCCUACCGUGAUCCAAUAUUAAAGACUUAAAAUAUUCCAUGCAAUAGGGAUAUGAUAAUCGUCCAUGAGUACUCCACCCUGACAACAUAUUAUAAGCAGGAAAAUCUUUAAUUGUCCAUAAUAAUGUUGCCCUUCGUUGAAAAUUUUGUUUCCUAUAUGCAUUAUACAUGAAAACAGCCUCGAUCCAUAAUACUUUUAAUUCAUCUAUCAAAAGCCUCAAGAAAACAUCUAUGUUUUGGCUUGGAUUUUUCUUCCCCGGAAUGACCAUAUUAAGAAAUAUAUAUGGUUACUUCAUACACAUCCAUAAGGGUAAAUUAUACACAUAGAGCAUAACUGGCUAAAAAGAAUAAGGUUUCGCAGUUGGUUCGAAAGGAUUGAAAUCAUUGGCACAUAACCUUAGUCUGACAUUUCGAGGUUUUGUUGCAAAUAACUCAUGUGUGCGGUUGAAGCCUCACCAUCAAUAGGGUGUUUAAGGACUCUAUCAUGACUUUGGUUUUGCAUACCACGUCAUAUGUUUAGCAGUUUUGCUUGACAUAUAAAGCCUUUAAAGCCUUGAUAUAAAUGGUAAGUAAUGUAAAAUUUUGUAAGGUAUUUUCUUUUACCUUUUCACACUUGAUUUUCUCAAUUUAUAUCGAGGAUGCCCGCAUAUCAUACAAUGCUCCAAAUUAGCAGCUUCCUCAUAAAAUAAGAUGCAAUUGUUUUUGCAAGCAUGAAUUCCAAGUCCAAGUUUCGCUACCCUUUUUUUCAUUCUAUAGAAGUUAGUAGGUAAAAUUUCAUCUGAUAGCAACAUAUUCUUUAUUAUCUCCAACAGUAGAUCAAAAAUCGAUUCACUCAAAUUAAACUUUGACUUAACAUUUAAAAGUUGCAAUAUAGCUGAAAACAUUGUGUGCUUUUUGCAACUUGACCACAAAGAGUCAUUUGCAUUACUAAAUAAAGAGUAAAAGCUAGCUGCAUUUGGAUUUGGAUAUUCUUCCACAAACCUUGACUCAUUAUCAUGAUUAUAAUUGAAAGCAACUUAUGGACCUUUAGCAUCCUUGACCAUUCUAGCAUAUGGAUUUUCUAUUUCCUCUUCAUAUAUAGGUUCCCCAUGACUAGCAUAUGGUUCAACUUGAUCUCUACUUCUUGAUGAUUGUCCAACAUCAUGUUUCCCAUGUAAACUCCAUAUUGUGUAAGCACCAGCAAAACAUUUUUAAGGAUAUGCUUUGCCAUUUUUUUGGAAUUUAAAAACUUGUUGUUGCUACACCAAGAGUAAGGGCAUCUAAUCUUAUUCUCCCACAUAUAUGAAGGGUUAGAAAAUGCAAAAUCAAUGACUUCUUUAACUCCUUUAUAAAUUCAUCUCUAAUAAAUCAAUUAGAAUUUAAGCAGCAGUACAUCCAAAAUUGAUCUCCCACCAUUUUGUAACCCUAAGUGUCAUAGAAUAUAACAAUCAAAAGUAAUUCCCAUUCAUGUGUACAAUUAAAAUUGUUAACAAAUACAUGCCAUUGUGAAAUACAUUUAAACAUUUUAAAAUAUAAAUUAAAAUAAUAUAAUAAUAUGUCACGAUAGUAAAAAUGAUUUCAUACAAUUGCCUAGUGUCAAGUACCAUUCCAAUUCAAUAACAUAUUAAUAAAUAUAAGAUGACCAAAAAUACAUAUUAUAUUAUGAAGACUCAUAUAAUUUCAGUGACCAAGUUAAACACAUUUUGACAAUGCAUCUUAUUAGUAAUACAUCUAAUGUUUUUAGUGCAUAAAAGACUAGUUUCCUGCUUUUGGAUGUUUUGUUUUAUAAGGUAUUCUUCCUCUUCUUUAGCUAUUUGGGAAGUAACGUGAGCAAACUGACCCUCGAUAGUUUUUGUAGCAAUUUCAGUAACUUCAUUCUUUACAAAUUUAUGGCCUUGUUUUGAAGCAAGAGUAAACGUUCCUUUAGUUUUUUAUAACAUGGAAAGAUAAGACAGGGAAAAAAGAAAGAGGUCAGAAGUUGAAGAGAUCAGUUACAUAAAAUAAACAUGUUUACUUUUUAUUCAUAUUUAUCAAAUUAUUAUUGAUAUAUUCUUUCAAUUUAUUCAUUUGUAACCAAUGAAAUUACUAUUUACCCAAUUGCAUAUUAUUUUUAUUUGUUAUAAAAUAUUAUCCUCUAAAAAUAAUCAAAACAUUUUCACCUACUUUACCAAUCACCUAUAUAUUUUAUUUUCUUUUCUUUUUUUUUAUCCCAUGUUUUUCCUCUAUUUACUACAACAAUAAUUUAAUUAUUUUUUAUAAUCAAGAUUUUGAAUAAAACAAAAGAAAUAAUAAGUAGAAUAAGUACAACAAAUCAAAUGAUAAAAAAUCAUCAAAAUAUUUUUUUGACCUAACAUUCUAAUUGCCGAUGUUCUUUUCCUUUACUUUCCUUUCUUUUUUUGUCCAAAUGGCCCAUCAACACAAAACCAACCCAACAUUGUAAGGCUGAAAUAGAUAGUCUCAGCCCAUAACAUAAUAAACCUACCCAAACAGAAAGGUCGAAAAAAGAUUAAAAAAGCUCAACCCAAAUCUCAUCACACCCAAAUUAACCCUUAGCUCCACACUAAUCAACUGCCAAUCUUUAAAUUAUUAUUACUUGAAAACGUGGCCAUCUUCUUAGUUGAUAGGUGGUUGAAUAAGGAAGCUUCUUUGGAGCUUCCUUUUAAUUAUGUAAUAGAUAAUUUUUUUAUCUUGAUAUAAUUAUUAUGAAAUGAUAUUUUAUAAUUAAAUGAUAAUGCAAAAGUAUUAUAUAUAUUACGGUAAAUCAAAUAAACGCAAAUUAUAAAUUUUCUCAUCCUUUUUCUUUAGUUUUCUUUGGUGUUGCAUAUUUUCACCACAGAAUAUAUCUAAAUGUUACUAUAAAUAGAAGUAGUCCUGGCCUUAUUUAUGGUAAGUGGGAUAUACACUGCGACAACACACCCAACAGCUCAAAAUUCUUCUCUUGGUCCACUAUUAUAUCAAUGGUCCUACAAGAAGAAACAUCGAAAGAUUAUAGAGUGAAUUGAAAUUUACAAAAUCUCCUUGUUAAGAAAAUUGUAUAAAUUGAUUUUCAAAAAAUAAAAAAUAUAAUUAUACAAACUAUUUCUAUUAAGAUAAUUAUACAAAUUGAAAUUUAAAAAAUAAAAAAAUAUCAUUAUAUAAUAAACUAUUUAAUUAAAGUUAUUAUAUAAUAUUAUUAUGUAAUUAGUUAAAGUUAGAUUAUGAUUCUAGAAGGAAAAACUAAAACCAAGGAAAGAAAGGCUAGUAGUUAGCUGUGAGUGUGGAACACAAAUCCUUUACCUCUUGUAGUGCAAGAAUGAGGAAGUGACCAAGAGCAGAACCUAGUAAAAUAAUCGAUCUAGAUCAACAAAGGAAAGGCAUUUUAGUUUGCCAUAUGAACUAUUAUCAUGGAAAGUAUACAAAUGAAGCAAUUGCAGAUGAUAAGCCAGUGAUUGUAAAUAUUCUAUAGUUUGUUUCCUUUUCAUAAUAAGUCUUGCAGAGUGGUGCAAGUACAUGAAAGAGGUAAAAGAUAAAAUUGCAUUUAUGAGUGGUGCAAGUACAUUUAUGAGUGGUUAGCUAGACUUUGCUCCUAUCCCUGAAAGCUAUAAUACUAUCAAAUUGCAUCAACUACAAUAACAAAGCAUUUUGCUAGCUUUUCUUUUUAACUUUGUUUAACAUGCAACAUAAAAAUGCAGUAGAGUAAUCUUCAUUAUUUUGAUCCAAAUAGAUUUCCAAAUAAUACAUAGUUCUAAUAAUUUCAAAGUGAAAUUAUAGGAACUCGGGGUUAUGCAGCAAAGUUUAUCCUCAAAUUCGCUGAUCUCAAUUUUGUCAUAGUUAAAUAUAUUUCUCAUUUAUGGACUAUAGGAAUUUCAAAAUACAUUAGAUCCUUUGACAAGCUUACCAACAGCAAAGAUAAGAGCAUUGCCUAUUAAGAAAUAUAAAAGCUCAAAUUAUGUAGCAAAGGCAAAAGGAAGAAUUCAAGAAAUCUCAACCAUUGUAAGCAUUUCAAACUUAAUCAUAAAACAUCUACUGAGAUGUAGUGUCAAGCCCAGCCCUAAAUUAUCUGUCAGGUCAUACAUAUAGUUGACAUCAUGCUUGUGUGCUAGAAUAUCUCGGUAAAAUAAGUAAAAACUGGUAUUGUACUUAAAAGUACAACUAAGUUGAUUUAUACCUCAAACUAAAUAAAAUAGGAAUUUUAAGAUGAAAUUUCAAAUUUGCACAGCCUAGGGAUUUCUCAAAACAGUGAUUCGGAGUUCGAGGUCCAGUUUGGAGUCAAUCGGGAGAAUUGACUAAUUAGAGAGAAAACGAUCAUUUUGCCAUUUAAGGACAAAAUGGGAAAUUUUGAUCAAGAUUAAUUAUUUAGAUUAUUUAGAACAUAAUUGGAGUUUGAGGAGUGAGAAAUUUUCAAUUCCUGGUAUUUUUUAAGUAUAGAGGCAAAACGGUAAUUUUGCCAUACCGAGGGCAAAAUGGUAAUUUUGCCAUACCGAGGGCAAAAUGGUAAUUUUGCACCACCAACACUUGUCAAAUUUGUGGAAUUUAAUUAUGGUGGGAAUGGAUAAAGAUGGAAUAAAGGUGUGGUGGAAAAUUAAAAUGAAAAGUCAAAAUAAAAAAAGGGCCAAUGACAUGAUGCCAUGUGUUAUGCCUUUAUUAAUUUAUUAUUUUUCCUUUUUAAAAGGCACAAAAUCAGCCCAUCUUCUACCCCAUGGUCGGCCAAACCAGCAAGAAGAGAGAGAAAACAAAAAUCAAACCCUAGAGAGAGAAAAUCAAAGAAAAAGUGUGAAUUUUCAAGGAAAUUAAGUGAAAAAGGUGAGUUUUUUCUAUUAAGCUUGAGUUUUCUUAUUCCCAAGCAUUUCUCUUUAUUUUCCAUGAUUAAAUUACAUGUUUUCAUGAUGAAUUNNNNNNNNNNNNNNNNNNNNNNNNNNNNNNNNNNNNNNNNNNNNNNNNNNNNNNNNNNNNNNNNNNNNNNNNNNNNNNNNNNNNNNNNNNNNNNNNNNNNNNNNNNNNNNNNNNNNNNNNNNNNNNNNNNNNNNNNNNNNNNNNNNNNNNNNNNNNNNNNNNNNNNNNNNNNNNNNNNNNNNNNNNNNNNNNNNNNNNNNNNNNNNNNNNNNNNNNNNNNNNNNNNNNNNNNNNNNNNNNNNNNNNNNNNNNNNNNNNNNNNNNNNNNNNNNNNNNNNNNNNNNNNNNNNNNNNNNNNNNNNNNNNNNNNNNNNNNNNNNNNNNNNNNNNNNNNNNNNNNNNNNNNNNNNNNNNNNNNNNNNNNNNNNNNNNNNNNNNNNNNNNNNNNNNNNNNNNNNNNNNGUAAAAGACCGAAAUAGGUCAAUACGGUGUUUAGGCAAAAUUUAGACCUUUUGCAUUUCAUACCAUGCAUUAGUGAUCUAAAUUAGUUAUUUCAAUUUAAGGGCAACGUAGUAAAUUCCUUGAUUUUAUACUGUGUCAAGGUGGUGUGCCCUUCGACAAAGGCAAGGAAAUUACGCUUGGGGAUCACUAAGCUGAGUACACCCGAAAUCUGAACUUUUGAAACUUGUGAGUGAACUUAUUAUCGUCUUAAUUAUCUAGAGUAGUUUUACACAAUUGUGUGAUUUUAUGAAAAAUGGGUUUAAAUGGUAAAUUGCUAUGUUUUAGGAGAAAUUGUGAUUUUAUAAAAUGAUUUUAUAAAUUUUAUGAAAAAUUGAAUACUGGUUUUGAAAAUUGAGUAAUUGGAGACUGCCUGCUUGUGUUGUAAAUUUAUGGUUUUAAAUUAAAUGGCUUGUGAUAAAUUGGCAUUAUUGGCUGAAUUUAUACUUGUGUUGAAAAAUAUGAACUGAUUGUUUUACCUUGAUAAAUUGGUUAGUAAUGUAAUUGCCAUAAUAUGCCAUUGAGAUUUGAUCAAUUGGUGGAUUAAAGAUUAGCUACUGCAAUGGUGGGGGGUUUCGUGGACUAGCCUAUUAGAGGGGCACGGUAAACUCCUUUAUAUUCUCACCUCGGUCAUAGAAGCGCGUAGGGUAUCUCCCGAGGUGGGCUUUUUGAGUGCACUUCACGUUAACCACCACGUGAGAGUGAGACUCAGCCAACGUUAAGGAAUGACUAUGAUGUUCAGUGUAAAAUAUGUUUUAUGAGAAAUAUGAAUUUUUAACAGCCUUGGCAGACUUGGUUGGAUGCCCUACGCAAGGUAUCAUCGAGUAUGAGUUUUGGCACGAGCCAAAGUUUUAAGAAAUUCAUAAGCCAAGUUGAUUACUCGAUUUAUAUGGAUUGAUUUUAUUUAGUUGAAAUGAGUUGAAAGGUAAUGAAAUUACAAUAUGAUGACUUAUUUUAAUUCGUCUCCAUUUACUCGCCUUUAGAUAGUUUAGAUGGUGUUUGUUUACUCACUGGGAUUUUAUAAUCUCACCACCCUCAUUUCCCCACAUUUCAGACUCGGGAUAGUCGGUAGAUAGCCGAUUGCAUCAAGGACUUCAUUUAGCCUUGCAUAGACAAAAUUGUAAGUUCACAGACUUGCACCUUAUUGGUUAGUUAUGGGCUCACAUGUCAUUGUAAAAGCAAUUUUAUACUUCAGUUAUCUGAUUUAAAGUAUGUAUGAACAUAUUUAGCUUUUACACUAUGCUUUUGGCGAGUUUCGGCAUUUUGAAGAAAAAUGAUGAAAAUGCCCCUGUGAGCCAAAAAAUAAUAUUUUAUUGUUUUGAUUUGGAAACGACUUAUGAUUUCUUGAAAUGCGAGAUUUAAUAACUGUCGCUCACCGGGGAGAUGCGGAAGCUGAUGCUAAUCCUUGCGGGGUUUUGAUCAGCAUUUGGGGUAAUGAGUGCUUAUCGGGACGUCGCGGCUGUUGUCAUGAGCCCGAUGAGAGCUCCGGGUCGUGACAUGUAGCUUUUAGCAUAUACCUUUGCCCUCUAUAUAAAAUCAAGUUUAAUUAGAAUGCAAGUCCAUCUCACUUAAUUCACUUGUUUACACGUUUUGAUGGCCUAAGUAUGCAUAUUGAUUUGAUAUUUGGCAAAUUAAAAUACCUUAAUCUUAUUCAAACAACUAAAUUUAAAUUAUUAAAAAACAAAAUUAAAUCUAACAAAUUAACAUUAAAACCAAUUUAAAAUUCAUAAGCAAAUUUGUUUAAAAAAAAACUCAAUUAACUACCAGACCUAAGAUUAUGAUAUCCCUUAAUACGACAUCUGAAUAUUGUAUCUCUUUUUUAUAUUAACUUACUUCAAUAUAUUAAGUAUUUUUUUAUGCUAGAAGUUCCCACAGGGCUCAACUACCUUAUUUAAAUUUUAUUGAUGAAAAUAACGGUACAAAAUGGAGGGAGACAUAAACCGUACCUCCAAAAUUACAUGAAAAAUAUGAUAAAGAAAAGGAUAAAGCUCACCUAUUAAAGAUAUUACUUCCCAUGCAUAAUGAUUUAGAAUGCAACCGGAAAGUAAUAUUACUUCAAAACAAGAUUCUAUGAAAAAGAAAGAACAGUAAAUUAAGAGUACUACUUCUUUACAUUUAUUUAAAAUGAACAAAAGGUAAAUUUAAUUUGUGUAAUCUAAGGAUUCCUCAGAGCUCACCUUGUGCUUGGGAAAAUACUUGAAGAUUUUGGAGCGUAUACCCAUGAUUAGAGAGAUAGUUUGCAACUUGGUUCCCUUUUCUAUGAAUGUGUGAAAUGCGGAAAGACAUGACACUCAAACAUUUUUUGAUAGAUCAAACAAAUAGCGAAUUUGGGAGGAACUUUAUGCCUUUCUUGGAUCAUUUGUACAACCACCUUAGCAUCCAUUUCUAUCCAUACUCGAGACACAUUGUACUCAAUGCAUAAGAGUAAAUCGCAAUGAAAUGCCAUUAAUUUUGCCUGCAAUGAGUUAUGUGGUCUAACAUUUUUAGAAAAGCCAAAAAUAAUAGUACCUGUAUGGUCCUUAAGAAUUCCUCAUCCAACAGCAUUCUAAAAGGCAUCUUUGGAGCUACCAUCAACAUUCAACCUUAAUUCUCUUAUCGGUGGUUCAGUCCAAUAAAUAACUUUUGCUGGUUCAUGGUUCUCCUAUUCAAACCAAAAACCCUAAUGUGUAGCAAUGUCAAGAUCUCCUUUCCAUUGCCAUUUACGUAAUAAGUUCCCAUAAAAGAGCUGCCUCAACAUUUUCAUAAUUCAUCAUAUCACUCUAUCAGAAAACAUUCCAAGUCCCUUAUGCUUUGCAUCAUUUCUUUCAACCCAUUAGAACCAAAAAAUUAGUAAAGGCAAUAAUAUCCGAAUAUGACCAGGUUUAGUAUAAUCCUUUGAGUUGUACCAAGAGUGGAGAACAUGUAUAACAUUUUGAGGAUUAUGAACAUAGAUUUGAAAGAAUUUUGCAAAAAAAUUCCAAACCUUUUGUGCAAUUGGACUUUCCCAUAGGACAUGUAUUAUUGUUUCCUCUUAUUGGCAACAAAAACACUUAUAAGCUAAAUGGAAGCCUUUUGUUUUCAUCCGUAACUCCACAGGAAUCUAAUUAUGCCUUAAGCACCAUAAGAAAAAAGACACAGUCAGUGGAAUGCUCUUGUGCCAAAUAAACUUACUCAAUGGAUUUGUAGGUUGUCUUGGCGAAGUAGUUCCCAUGCACUUUUAGUAGUGAAUUCCCCAUUUGGUGUGAGAGCCUAGUAUGCCAAAUCUUCCUUGCUGCUGCUAAUAGGAAUCCUCAAGGUCUCAUCAACAAUCAUGUCUGGUAAUACAACUUUGAGCUUAUCCAUAUCCCAUUCAUUAUCUUGAAAAAAAUAAUUAACUUUAAUCAUGGAAUGAUGAUAUGAAGGGAAAGAAUUUACUAGAGGCUCGUCACCCAUCCAAGCGUUAUGCUAGAAGAACAAUUCUCCCUUACCUAACCUCCAUCGAAUUUUCUACCCGGUUAUAUCUCGACCAUCAAUAAGUCAUUUCCAUGUUGGGGAAUCAUGCGGCUUAGUAGUUAUUGUAUGAGGAAUUUGCCCAGUGCAAUAUUUGACUCACAUAUAUUAUGCCCACAAGCUUUUGCAUGUUUGAAAUCUCCACCAAAGCUUUGUAGUAAAAGCCUCAAAAACAUCUUUCAAAUUGCGAAUGUCUAGACCACUUUCUGAGCUAGGAAAAGUAAUUUUAUUCCAAGAUGUCCGGUGUAUUCGUUUGCUGUUCGUGGAACCUCCCCAUGAAAAACUGUUAAAAAGUCUGUCUAUUUUUUCAAUAACACCCAUUGGGGGCUUGAGAACUUGCAGCAGGUAUAUUGGCAAAGAAGCAAGAACACUCUACAAUAGUGUGACAUGGCCUCCAGGAGAAAGAACUUUAUUUUCCCAACUAGUGAUCCGCUCACGGAUUUUAGUAAUGAGUAAGUCAAAAAGCAUUACUUUUUUAGGACCUUUGUAAAGAAGUGCACCCAAAUAUAUAAUUGGAAAAAGUCUUGUGAAAAAACCCCAUGGUUUGAGAAAUAAUUUAUGGAAUGGCUGGAAUGAAAGUGUAAGGAACCAUAUUCAGCAAAUAAAGAAUUGAGGCCUCUAGAUAAAUCUUUAGCAGCCAAUAUAAACAAUAAAGGCGAGAUGGAAUCACCUUGUCUUAAAUCUUUCUCUGAUUUGAAGUAAUUGACCGAAUGCCCAUUAAUUAAUAAAGAAAACCAACAAUUAAAAAUGCACCUCUUGAUCAUGUCAAUCCAAUGAGAGUCGAAUCCAAAUGUCUCCAAGAUUAAGUAUAGAAAAUCCCAAUUCAAUCUGUCAUAGGCCUUCAUCAUAUCAAGCUUCAAAAUCACAUUGCCACCUCCAACUUUGUAGUCGAUUUUGCCGACUAACUCUUAAGCUAACAGAGUAUUGUCACUGAUUAAUUUGCCACUCACAAGGCCACUUUGAUUAUCCGAAAUUAAGGAAGGUAAAACUUUAGCUAAUCGGUUUGCCAAUAGUUUAGUAAUUAUUUUAUUUAAUACAGUACAUAAACUUAUUGGAUGAAAAUCACCCUAGGAAUUUUUAUCUGGUUUCUUAGCUAAAAGAACUAAAGUUGUAGAAGUUACCCCCUUAAAAGCGUUGCUCCAUUGAAGAAAUCUCUCACAGUUGUCAAAAGAUCACUUGCAAUUAUAUGCCAACAUUGUUAGUAAACAAAUGAUGAAAAACCAUCAGGCCUUGCAACAUUGUCCUUUUCAAUAUCAAAAACCGCUACCUUCACUUUUGCCAUCGUAGGUUUUUCACAAAAGACAUGAUUAUCAUUUUCAGAGAUUAAAUGAGAAAUUAAAUCAGCAUUAAACCUGAUAGUAUUGGUAGAUUCAGCCUUCAAAAGAUUUGCAAAAUAAUAUACUAUUGAAGAUUCAAUCUACUUUAGUUCCUUAAGAAUAAUUCUUUCACUAUUCAUAGUUUUGAAAAUGAAGUUUUCACAUUUUUUUUUGCAUCCACAUAUGAAAAAACCUUGUAUUUCAUUCUCCCUCUACCAGCUAACAAAUGCCUGAUUUUUGCUGCCAAUACAUCUUUUCUUACUUAGCAGGUGGUUAAGCUUAGCAUAUGAUAAUUGUAGGUGCUUCUAGUUUGUAGGUGACUGCUCCUGUUGAAAUAACUUUUCACUUUCUUCUGCAUGUUUUUCUACUGCCUUGAGAUUACUGAAAAUAUCACCAAACACAUGUUUAUUCCACCCUUUCAGACUCUUUUUCAAAUGUUGUUGUUUGAGCUAAAAAGUCAUCAAGCCAGUUCCCUGCACUGGAUGUUUCCAGCUUUGUUCUACAAAGCCAACUGUGAGACUCUGUCAAGCUCGAUUAAAAGACGGUAUUGUACUGAGUGGUACAACUAAGUUAAAUCGAGCCUUGAACUAGUUAAAAUAGAAAUUCUAAAAGGAAUUUGAAAAUUUUAAAACCCACAUAAUGGCUUAGAAUAGUGAUUCGGAGUUCAAGGUCCAGUUUGGAGUCCAUCAAGAAAAUUGACCGAUUAGGGACAAAACGGUCAUUUUACCAUUUGAUGAUAAAAUGGAGAUUUUUAGCCAAGAUUUAAUCACAUUUGACCAAGAAUAAUUAUAUGAAAUAUAAUGAUGAUUAUUGGAGUAUAAAAUGAUUAGCAGUGAAAAAUUGUGAUUCCCGAUAUUUUUGGAACACAAGGGUAAAAUGGUAAUUUGACACUAGAGGACUAAACGAAAAUUUUUAUAAAAUGAUUUUUUACCCCAUUUGGUUAAUAUUGAUCAAUAUUAGUGUUAUUUGAGGUUGAAAAGUAGAAAUAAUGUGAUUUUGGUACAUUUCGGAGUAUAAGGGCAAAAUCAUAAUUUUUUCACCUCGAGGGCAAAUCGGUAAAUUGUUUCGCCCCAGCACUUGUCAAGACCAAGGGAUUUUAAUUGUGGUAGGAUUGGAUAAGUACCAGAAUAUUUGUGAUGGAAAAUUAAGAAGAAAAAGUCAAAAAGUUAAAAAAAUUAGGCCAAUAAGCAUGUGACACGUGGCAUGAUUGAUUAUUUUAUUAUUUUCUAUAGAAAUCAGCCCAUUAAAUCCCCAAUUCUCUCACCAUAUUCUGCCUAGGCAACCAGCAACAAGAACAAAGGAAAAACAAAGGGAAAAAAAGAAAACCUAGGUAAAAAUUCAAAGAAAAAGUGAAGAAAUCAAGGAAACAAGCUAGGUAAGUUAGAAUUUCUUUAAUUCUCCUUGAUAACUAGCUUACCCAUGCUUUUGUUCUUGAUUUCCAUGGUUGAAUAUUGAGUUAUCAUGAUGAAUUCAAUUCUGAAAAAUGGGUAUGGAAGAGGAAUCGUUGUUGGAAUAAUUUGAUUUUAGACUAUGUUAGUGUUUAGGGAUAGUUAAGCAUGGUUAUGAACAAAAACACAAAAGAAAUAUUCAAUUUCUCUAUGGUUCCUUGUUGGUCGAACCAUGAGGGCUGAAUAUCAAUGGGGCAUUGUUUUUAUUGCAAGGAAAAAGGCUUGAAAAAUGAUGAAUUAAGGUGAAACGGUUAUGUAGAAAAAAUUUCGGUGCUAGUGCACCAAAUGACCAAAUUUUUCUAUAAGGAACUGUGAGGGUUCUAAUGCUGAAUUUGGCUUUAUUUAAAUGGUAUGUGGUAAAUUAAGGUAUUAGAGGAGAAAUGGAUUAAUUUGGAGGUGAUUUGGACACAAUUGCCAAUUAAUCAGGUGAUCGGUCGAAUUUAAUCGAUACCGCAAUGAAGCGGUAAUCGGACGUAUUUUUGCAUUUACAUAUCAAGCAUUAGUAAUUUAAAUUAGUUUAUAUCAAUUUAUGGGCAAUAUAGUAAAUUCUUCGACUUUAUUAUUUGACAAGGUAGUGAGACGUCCGAAAAAGGCAAAGGAAUUAUGCCUGAGGACUAUUAGUUCGAGUGCACCUGGAAUCCGAAUUUUCGACACCUGUGAAUGAAUUUGCAUUUCAAAAUUUAUUUGGGAAUUCUAAUUAAGUUGAAAUGAAAUGCGUGAAUGAUUAUAUCUAAUUCCCAUUUAAAAAUGAAUCUCGGGAACAAGCCUUUAGUGAAAAUAUUUCUGUGAUGUUAAAUAUGAUUGCGAUGCAUCUGUGUAUAUCUGUAUGAUGCCUACAUGUAUUAUUGAGAAAUUGUGUGAAAUUAAGUGUACUGAAUCUGUGUACCCUUGUAUUAUGCUGAUAUGCAUUAUUAAUAAAUUAUGGUGAAAUUGAUGCGACCGUGCAUGUGCGGAGUGGGAAGUGCAAUGCCAGUUGAAUGACAAAGGAUGUGUUAAUUACGAUCGUGCAUGUGCGGAGUGGGAAAUGCAAUGCCGGUUUAAUGAUAAAGGUUGUGGGGAUGGCGAUACGUAACGCCCAUAAUUUCCUAGAAAUUCAGAGGUGUGCAAACAGGGAUACUGAGUGAUACCCCUUACCGAGUACUCCGAUUGUUAUUUCUUUGUACCACCAAGAAUAGUAAAGACUUGGCGGUGUAUAUAAUUGUUCAUAUCUUUGUGUAUAUAUGUUUGAUUGUGUGGUAUGUGAAACCCUUGUUUGUGACGGUUUGUGAUAAACCGUUAAUUUUGCUAUCUUGCUUGAUAGAACAAUUGGUGAAUGAAAUUGUACGUGAUACAUAUGCAUAUAUGAAUCGUACGGGUUAUGAAACCCUUAUUGUGUGACAAUUUGUAAAUAACCGUAAGUUUUACUACUUUGCUAGAAGGAUCGGUGUAAAUUCAAGGAUGUUUAAUCCUUGAAUGCGUAAUAAAUUUCUAGGUAAAGGAAAAAGGGUUUGGAAUAGUAGUUAGAUGAAAAUGGCUUUAUUUUCAACCGGUGCAUCAUGAUUGUCAAAUUUCCUGGUUGAGAUUGCUUGUUCCCUUCUAAUAUUCACUCACUGAGUAUUGUACUCACGUUUUAUAAAAAUUCAUAUUUUCAGAUCAAGUGACUGUUGGACCUUAGAUCGAGGAGUCCCCGUAGUGCAUCUCUUGGGUAUGUGUCUGGCAUUCGAUAGUAAUCCCUUUUAUUGUAAAUGUCUCACAGGAAGUCAUGGGUCCUUUUGUAUUGUGAAUACAAUCUAACAGUGUGAAUAUGUGUAUGCAAUGUAAAUUGCUAAAUACAUGACUGGUAUAGUGCAUGUAUAUUAUUAUCGAUAAUGCCAUUGUGUUUUGGCUAUGUUCACACUCGAGAAAAGGUAUGUGUGUGUAUGCAUGAUAUGAUAAAUUUGUUAAGGAAAGGUAAAUGGAUAGGCUUGCUUGGGCUUAGUGAGCUAUGCUCAUUGAGCUCAUGCACCGGUCAUGGCCCGAAAAAUUGGGUCGUGACACCAAAGACGUCAUGAUGUUUCAUCCAAGCAUGAAGAAACCAAAAAGAUGAAGACCUUUUAAGAGAAGAAUUUGAACAAGAAACCAAUAAUGGACAAUGAUCCGAUCCAUCUUUGUUUAAAUGUUGGAUUCUUGCACUAGAAAAUUGAGUUCCCCAUUGCAUGUUAUAAAUGACCCAAUCAAGCCACUAAAACAUAUGAGAGUUGGUCCAAGUGUAACUAUUUCCUUCAAAACCUGCAUCUAUCAAUCUAUAAUCAAGGAGAGUAUGUGCAAAAUCCUUCAUAGAGCCAGCAUGAGGUUCUGCACCAAAAAGUCUUUCAUCCCUGUUUAAAAUAACAUUGAAAUCACCUCAUGCCUGCCACGGUUCUUGUAUUCCCACUGCUAUACCUCUUAAACAAUCCCAUAAGUCUUGCCUUUCAAGCCUAGUGCACUUAGCAUAAAUACUUGAGGGUUGAAAAGAAAAAGGCAACCAUGGAAAAGAUAUUUUAACGUGUAAGCAUUGUGGGUGAUCAAACCUGGUUAUACAAGAUACUUCAUGAGUCUAUAAUAGACAAAUUUUUUUGGAGCAGUUGUAAACAGCACCUUCAAACCCAAGCUUUUUCCUGAAGAAAUCAAGCUGAGAAAGAUGCACCAUUGGUUCUAAAAUGGCCUAAAUUUUAAUUUUAUGUAUUAGCUGUAACUUUUUUAUUCUUUUUGGGAUAGUUUUGCCAGCUACAUCCCUUACAUUCCAUAUCAAAGCACUGAUCAUGGAUAAUUUUGUGUAGUAAAUUGCAUGAAGACAAAAUCACAUGUUCCAUCUGUCAUUAACAUAUCUUUUUUCUCUAAGGAUCUAUCAUCAACGGGGUCAAAGGAGACUGCACUGUCAGAUUUCUUAGGUUUUGAAACUGCAGGAUGAACCUUAAGUCUUUGGCUCCCAGAACCCUAUACAGAAGCCACUAGAAGAGUUUUUUCAUUGAAACCAUUGGUUUUCAUUGUAUCUUCUCACCUUUGAUCCAUAUUUUCCUAAUGAAUGCCAUCCCUAUGCUGUAGUUACCACUCCGGAUACCUUUCCUUAUGUGCAUAGGGAUCUAAAUGAGAAGGAACCAAACUGGUUUCUUUAUCAAAACCACACCGACCUUGUGAGUUUGGAUAUGUUCACCACUACCUUCCAUCAACUUUUUACCCGUGCAUGCAGUUGGGGGCUUGGUCAACUUCUCCUCUAAUGGUUGGGUCUUAUCCGGCAACUAGUGGUCUCCACUUUUUAUCACCGACCCCGGUAACUGUUCUAUUGGCUUUUAUGGUUUUCUUUCUUUUUAUCCUUUCAGACUGUGACAGUAUAUGCAUUCUUCACUGCCUAUUGGACAUAGUCAUGGUGUCUAGUAUUUUCCACACUAUCACACGAGCCAUGGCCAACAGUAAACUUCCACCGCCCUAGCAUGGGUGGACCCUCAAGAAGAGAAAACUGCAGCUUGGUCCUUAUCCAUUGCUUCUAAGGCCAGAAACCCUUCUUGAAUUCCUUUGAUCUCACCCUUAAUGUCCCACUAUCUGUCAAUACAUUUGGUUAAUCGUUGAGAGCCAUUACCGAACCUUGAAAGUCGUCAACGACAUCCGGUUGCUGUUUCUCUUGCACAGUAGCACCUGUGCCCUUAAAAAAUCACUUAUUUGUGCUAAAUAUCCCACCAUGAUCAGUCAUUUGAUACCCUAUGAUCGCUUGCCCUAGUUAAAUGGCUGCAUGAGGCUUUAAAAUAUUUUUUGAGAUUAAGUGAUUACUGUUCACCAUCUCUGUUCUGCCAUGUUCCAUAUGAUCACUAUCUCUUAUUGCACCAAUCACUCCAAACCUGUUAGAGAUCAUCACCAAUUCUUUUUUCUUGAUAUAGGGAGAUUAUUUUCUUCUCUUGGGAGUCCUUGGCACCACUUUUACAUUCCUUCCCCAUCAUUUGCCAUUUCAUACUUUGUUUCUAGUGUUUCAAACGAAUCAGUUCUUUUCUUUUUUCUCUUUUAGGCGAUGGAUCUCUUUUUUCUUCCCUCUCCCUUCUCUUCUAAUUAGCAGUCACAAGCUUUUCAUCCCUUAGAGGCUUCUGCCGGAUAGCACCCCACUUUUUCAAUUGUGCCUCAUCACUAGACAUGUUGAGACACUAUGCCCCACAUGGUAGUAGUGCAUGCAAUAUUCUAGUAUCUUUGCAAACUCCACUUUUUGUGUACAACCACUAGUGAUGGUCCUAGUUUGUCGAUCACAAGUAACAAUCCAUACUUGAUUCAAUGAAGGUGUUUGGUAGUCAUACUCAAUGCAGACUCGUGCCACACUCGGCCAUGAGCCAUUCGCCAUGGCUUCAUCCAUGAAUAAGGAUGUCUUAUUGUCUUGGCAAUCAUCAACACGGCUGAUUUCUUAAAAAAAUAAGCUUGCAGGUUAGGAAAUGAGAUCUAAACAGGCACCAAUGAUGACUCUUUCUCUGGUUGUAAAUUUGAGGACCAUUUAAAAGCUCUCAUCUUUUGGUUAGCUAUAAACCAUAAUUGUCUCAUCCAAAGUUGGUUGAGGUCAUGCUUAUUAGUGAGAUGAAUCAAAAUGUGUUUGUAAUCUACCCACCAGAUCUUAGAGGCACCCACGAGUCCUAUACCUUUGAAAGCAACCCGGAUCUCAUUCAAGCGCGGCAUCUUGGAGAAUUUCCUAACCAUGGAGUGUUUCAGCAGCUGGGCUAAGGUUGCGAUGUCAUCGACAAAAAAGGAAGUAGCUAGCUGAUCUUUAUACCAAAAGGGUUCAAGGGUUGGAAGGAUUAUAGGGGCUUUGUCUCUUACCAUUACAGACAAAAAUGAUUUUUUCUAUGCACAGGGUGAAAUAGGAUGUUGUUUACAACUCUUUAUCGAGUUUCUUGUAAAAAUAUUUCUCUUAAUGAACUUACUAUAUGCCUAUGCAAAUUAAAUUGAAAAAAGAUUCACUAAGUUCAUGCUCUAAUCUUUGCUACGUAUGGCAUAUAGGUGUAUGUCUACCUUAUAUGCAAAUUAAACCACCUAAUCAACUAAGUGCAUUCGAACAUAUGCUAUUCUAUUCAAAGUCUACUCUAAAUUUCCUUGGUCAAGGUUUAACUUAAGUUUCCAAUUCAAUCAAAUUGGUAAUCAGGCAAUUAGAAGCAUUAAAAAUAGAAUACAAUAAAAACCUUAAAACCAUCAAACAUAAGCAAAAGAAUGAUAAAUAAUUCAAACUACUUAUUGAGUUCAAACAUAAUCUUAGAUUACUAACUUAGUUUCCCAUAAUGUCACAAAUCAUCAUCAAAUAAAGUCUAAACAUUGAAACCAAACCAAGAAAAAUAAAGAAUAACAAAAAGAAUAAAGAAACUCCAAGAAAUGAUAUCUUGAUCUCUAAAUCUUCUUGAAUCCUUCAAUUUCUUCUCAAAUCCAAUAAGACUUUUUUUCAAUGAUUUUGUGGCUGAAUAUUAUCUCUAAAUCUUUUGCUUUUCAUCCUCCAAAAGUUAUCUAAAAGGUUGCAUCAAUAGGGUUCGAGUUCGCGUCAAGAAAUAAAAUAUGAAUCAAUAGGGAUUUCUAAUCAACAACUGGUGCGUGAUGACCUACCUCUUCCUAGGCCACUACCUUGACCAUUUAAUGGUGAAAAAAACAAGGAAUUCAUGUCGAGGCACCGUGGCCUACCUUCUCCAAGGUCAUGGCCUCACUUCCUCUGUGUUGGACUAUUGAAAUGCUUCAAAUAUGACAAUGUUUUUGACCACCUUUAGGCUGACCAAAGCAACAUGGUAAAAAUGAGAGUUGUAGUGUUUUCUUGUAGCUUUCUUGAAAUACCCCAUACUUUGAUAUAGUGAUAAAUAAAGUUGAUCGAAUGCAAAUUGAGGUCAAUUAAAAUGUUUAAAAGUGAUAAAAGACGAAAGGAGUAGUUUAGGAUAAAAUAUUUCGCAAGUGAGAAAAUAAUAAUAAAAUAAUAAUAAUUUUAUCGGAGGAGAAUUUGUGAGAUAAAAGGCGAUUCGGAAGUCAAGUGAGGCAUAAUAAGGUAUUUCACGUACCAAGGAGACAAGAUAAAAUUUUUUAAAAUAUUAAUAUUUAGCCGGAUGUCGAAAUCAGUCAUGAAGAAGGAUCAUAUGGUUGAUCCAAGUGGGGGAGAAGAUGACAAGCCCGACUCUAUAAAAAUAAUUGUCAUGACAUACAUGUGAUGGAUAGCAUGUUUGCAUGCUAAGAGAGUCCCGAAAAUUUUUUUUUACAAAAGUCGGUAUUAUACCUAGACGUACAACAAAGUUGAUUUAAGCCUCGAACUAGAUCAAAUAGAGAAUUCACAAUGAAAUUAAGAAUUUUAAAGUCCCAGAAUGGUUUAAUAUGGUGAUUCGGAGUUUGAGGAUUAAUUUGGAGUCAAACCGGAAUUUUCGCUAUCUAGGGGCAAAAUCGUCAUUUGCCACUUGGGGAUAAAAUGAAAAUUUUUAGAAAAGAUUUUUGGCCCCAUUUGACUUAUUGGAGUAAGAAUUGAGGUUGAGAAGUGAAAAAUUUUAAUUUCGGUAUAAUUUGGAGUAAAAGGGUAAAAUGGUAAUUUUACCACCCGAAAUCAAAAAUUUAAUUUUUGAAAGGAUUUUGAUCAAAUUUAAUUAUUUGGAGUGUGAAAUGAGUAUGAGGAGUGCAAAUUAUGCAUUAUGGCAAAUUUUCAAUUUUUGGGGCAAAAAUGUAAUUUUUGAAAAGUUCGGGGGCAAAAGUGUAAUUUUGAAGAAUUUGCUCCACCAAAACUUUGGAAAAAUCUGAAAAUUUCACUUAAGACUUGGAUAGAUCAAAGGGAAUGCAUGGUGGAAAAAGUAGGACAAAUGGAUGGCUAGAAAAAAAAAUGAAUUAAUAAAAUAUUUAAAAUAUGAAUAAAAUAAUAUUAUUUCAUUAAACAAUAAAAAAGGCAUAAAAAAAUCAGCCCACCCAUUCUUCUUCUUCAACAUUCGGCCAAGCAAGAAACAAGAGAGAGAAAGGAGAAAAUAAAACCCUAGCUAAGAAAUUUAAAGGGAAAAUAGGUGGAAAUUCAAAAAUCAAGUGAAAAAAGGUAACAUUUCUUAAAUUUGUCUUGUGCUUUACCUUUCCCAUGCAUUUUCCAUCAUUUUUCAUGGUUGAAUCAUGUGAUUUGAGGAUGAUUUGAAUUCUGGUCAUAUGGGUUUAGAGAGAGAAAGUUGUUAGAUAAAUUUGAUUUUGAGCUAUGUUAGUGUUUAGUGUUAGUUUAGCAUGUUUAUGAGUAAAACAACAAGAAAAAUAUUUAUCUUCUCCAUGAAUUUCCCUAGGCCGAAUCUAGCCAAUGGUAUGUGAGGAUGAGGUUGACUUUAUUUUAAGAGAAUUGGGUGGAAAAAUGAUGAAUUAUGAGGUUGGAAAUUAAAUGGGAAUUUUCGGUGCAAUAAAUUGAAAUUUUUACCCACUAGGGGUAAAAGCGUAAUUUAUAGUCCGGACUGAUAAAUUGGACCAAAUUCACAGUCAUUGAGGUAUUGUGGAUAUAAUUGGAUAAUUGAAAUUGAAAUGGAUGGAAUUGGAGUCGAAUUGGGGAUUUUAGGAAUUUACACCGUGUAUAGGCGAGUUAGGUCGGACACCGCAAUUAAGCGAUUGUCUAGACAUUUCAAAUCCUAUCUAGUGCAUACGCAUGGAUAAGAGCCUGAAAUAAUUUAUGAUAAAUUGACACAAUUUAUUGAAUUUUGUGUCAUGGAUUAUGGAUAGGUGGUGAGUCAAUUGUUUCGGGUAAGAGACUGCACCCGAGGGCGGAAGAUAGGAGUAUUUCUACUCCUAAUACUGUGAGUAAACUUAUUAUCGUCUUAAUUAUCUAGAGUAGUUUUAUACAAUUGUGUGAUUUUAAUAAAAAAUGAGUUUAAAUGGUAAAUUGCUAUGUUUUAAGAGAAAUUGUGAUUUUAUAAAAUGAUUUUAUAAAUUUUCUGAAAAAUCGAAUAUUGGUUUUGAAAAUAGAGUAAUUGGAGACUGCCUGCUUGUGUUGUAAAUUUAUGGUUUUAAAUUGAAUGGCUUAUGACAAUAUAUGAGCAUGAAUGGCUAAACUGAUUUUGGUGUCAGAAUUAUUUAUAUUGUGUAUUCAGCCUUGAGAGGCUAGAUUGCGAUAAAUUGCCAUGCCAUGCUAGAAUGAAUUUUAUUGAAUUGGUGGAGUAUAUAUUAAUUAUUUACUGCAGAGGGGGUUCCGUGGACCAGCCUAUUAGAGGGGCACGGUAAACUCCAUUAUAUUAUUACCUCGAACGGAGAGGCGCGUAGGGUAUCUCCUGGGGUAAAGCUUAGGGUUCACUUCACGCCAAACCACCACGUGAAGGGGAACUCAGCCAACGCCAAGGAACGGCUGUAUUUUUCUCAAACAAAAAUAUAUUUUAAGUGUAUACAAAAUUUUAACAGCCUUGGCGGACUCGGUUAGAUGCCCUGCGCAAGGUAUCACCGAGUAUGAGUUUUGGCACGAGCCAAAGUUUUAAGAAAUUCAUAAGCCAAGUUGAUUACUCGAUUUAUAUGGAUUGAUUUUAUUUGGUUGAAAUGAACUGAAAGGUAAUGAAAUUACGGUAUGAUGACUUAUUUUAAUUGUCUCCAUUUACUCGGCUUUAGAUACUUUAGAUGGUAUCUGUUUACUCACUGGGAUUAUAAAAUCUCACCCCUUCUUCCUAUACAUUUUUCAGGCUCAGGACAGUUUGUAGAUAGUCGAGUAGGACGAGAACUAAGCUCGGAACUGCAUUAUAGAAAGUAAGAGUUCACAGUCUUACAUCCUCUUGGUCAAUUGGAGCCCACGUGUCAUUGCAGAUCAAAACUUAUAUUUUGGUUAUCUGUAUUUCUAUUCAUACAAUUUUUACUUUACUUUCAUGUGCGAAAAAUUAUUUACGAAUAUUUCUAUAAAAAUUUAUUUUAUGAGAAAAUAGAAUAUUUUAUUUAUUAUUUUUGAAUAGUACUAGUUGUUAACAAUUUGCUUUCAAAUGAACGUUUUAGAUACUUAAUUGUUUUUAAAUCAUUAAAUAUAUAUUUUCUGCUUACCUACUACAUUUUUAGCAAGUUUUGAGAUUUUUGACGAAAAAUUACGAAAAUACCCCUGUGAGCCAGAAAAUAAUAUUUUAUUGUUCUUAUUUGAAAAUAACUUAUGAUUUUUUUGAAAUGCGAGAUUUAAUAACUGUUGCUCACCGAGGAGAUGCGAAAGUUGAUGCUAAGCCUUGCGGGGUUUCAAUCGACAUUCGGGGUGAAGAAUGUCUGUCGAGGCCUCGCGGCGGUUGUCACGGGCCCGAUGGGGAGUUUCGGGUCGUGACAUUUCUAAUGGUCUAAGAAUCACUUCAUUUUGAGUUUGGUAGAAAAUGUUAUGGUCAAAAUACCGAGACAUGUGCAGUGAAGGUCUACAUGUCAUGAAUACUUAUUGUGGCAACUUUUAACCCAUUUCAUUGCACAUCUACAAAAUUAGCAAAUUAAUCAAUAAUAACAUAUAUUAGGCACAUUAACACCAAUUUAAGCAUAAUUUUAACUAAGAUUAGAUUGACUAAUCUAAUUAACUAACUUAAAAUAAUUAAAUAAUACCAAGCAAUCUUAUUCUUAAUUCAAACUUUCUUUUUCUUUUUUCUUUCAAGUAUUUUCAAUCAUUGUACGCAAAGAGUGAGAAGUUUGGAAGUUGUUCCUUUUGAUCCAGAAAUCGAAAAGACUCUUUGAAGACUUUGAAAAGAAAAUUCACAAGCUUCAACAAGAAGAAAACAAGUCUUUACGAGAUUAUGUUGUGCCUCUCAUUUAAGGUUUUCAUUCUAGCAUUCGUAGACCUGCAAUCCAAGCCAAUAACUUUAAGAUUAAGCCAGCAAUCAUUCAUAUGAUUCAAACUUCAGUUCAGUUUAAGGGAUGGUCGAAUGAUGAUCUUAAUGCACAUAUUGUGAAUUUCUUAGAGAUUUGCGAUCCUUUCAAGACCAAUGGUAUUUCUAAUGAUGCCAUUAGAUUAAGGUUUUUCCUGUUUUCACUGAGAAACAAGGCAAAGAGUAGGUUGAAUUCGCUUCCAGCUAGUUCCAUUAGUACUUGGGAUGAUUCGGCUUAGAAAUUCUAGGUUAUGUUCUUUCCACUAGCUAAGGCAGCUAAGUGGCGAAAUGACAUCACCUUUUUUACAGAGAGGUAUAAUGAUUUGCUUAAGAGAUAUCCUCACCAUGGGUUACCUAAAUGGUUGCAAGUUCAAACUUUCUAUAAUGGUUUGCUGGGACAAAUUAGAACCACCAUUGAUGCUACAAUUGAAGGUGAUCUUAUAAGUAAAUCUAUUGAUGAGGCUUAUGACUUGUUAGAGGAGAUGGCUUCCAAUAAUUAUCAAAGGCCAUCUAAAAAAUUGAGUUCAAGUAAAUUUUUGGUAUUCAUGAGCUUGAUGCAAUUAAUGCCUUAACUUCACAAUUGGUUGCUUUCACCAAAAAAAUUGAUACAAUGGGUGUCCAUGUUGUUUAGAGUCAUUUUUUGACAUGUGAGUUAUGUGAAGAUAGGCAUUCCAGUGAUCAGUGUCCUAUUAAUGCUGAAUCUGUACAAUUUGUUGAAAUUUUAAUAGGUAGCAGAAUAAUCCACAUUUCAACAACUACAAUCUUGGUUGGAAAAAUCAUCAUAAUUUCUCUUGGAGCAACAACCAAGAAUCUACAUCAGCACCUAAGCCAAACUUUCCUUUGGGUUUUCCACCACAAGCUAGAGCUCCAAUGCCUAAAAAUAAGCCUUUUGUUGAAGAUAUGUUCAUGCAAAACACUGCAAAAACUGAUACCAUCAUUCAAAGAUAAGCAGCAUCGCUCUGAACUUUGGAGACACAAUUGGGUCAAUUUACCAAUGCCAUCAAUAACAGGCUUAAGGAACCUUACCAAGUGCCGUUAAGAUUAAUCCCAAAAGUCAAGGAAAGAAGCAAUGCAAUGCAAUUUCUUUAAAGAGUGGUAAGCAGCUUGAUGAGGUAAAACAUAAGGAAAUGGUAGAUGUUGAAGAUAGAGUUGAUCAAGAUAAUACUUCUAGCAAGCAAGCCAUACCACAACAAGUUGAUGGAGAUAAGCAAAGGAAGGAAGUAUCCACACCACCACAAGUCAAGCCAUAUGUGCCUCUUGUUUCUUUUUCUCAAGCAUUGAAGCAAAAGAAAAUAGAUAAGUAAUUUGAAAAGUUUUUGAAUGUUUUCUAGCCACUUUAUAUUAAAAUUCCUUUUACAGAUGCUUUGGCACAAAUACCUUCUUAUGCGAAGUUCCUUAAAGAGGUCAUGUCUAGAAAGAAGAAAUUGGAUGAGUUUGAGACAGUUGCACUUAUUGAGGAGUGCAGUGCUACAAUCCAAAAUAAGCUUCCACCAAAGCUUAAGGAUCCAGGGUGUUUUUAUAUUCCUUGGACUAUUGGUAGUUUUAAAAUUUCUAAAGCUUUGUGUGAUUUGGGUGCUAGUGUUUCAAUAAUACCUUUGUCUAUUGCCAAGAAACUUGGAUUUAAAGAGAUACAGCCUACUACAGUUACCUUAUAGUUUAUAGAUAGAUCAAUUAGGCACCUGUUCGAAUUAUAGAGGAUUUUUUAGUUAAAGUUGGGCAUUUAUACAAUCUGGUGGACUUCAUUGUGGUUGAAAUGGAAGAUGAUGUUGAAAUUCCUCUUAUUUUGGGAUGACCAUUCUUGGCUACAGUAGGGGCAAUGAUGGAUGUGAAGAAUGGCAACAUAACUUUUAAAAUUGGAAAGGAAGAAGUAAUGUUUAAUUUGUUCAAUGCAACUAAGUGUUCUUAUACAGAUAGUUGCUAUAGAGUGGAUUCGGUUGAUGAGUUAGCUAAAGAAGAAUUUGACGAGUAUUAUCCUCCAACAACAAGUGCAAUAAAUUUUAAGGUUGGACAACAAGGUUUGUUACUUUCCAAUCCACGCUUCAAUAAUUUUCCAUGGAAAUGCAAAUCAAGAUGGUUGGGUCUUUUCAAAGUGUUUAGGGUCUAUCCUUGUGGUAUCAUAGAAAUUGCUAGUGAGGCUGCUAGAACAUUCAUGGUUAAUGAAAUAAGCCCUAAGCCUUAUUACGGUGGUGAAGAAGUGAAAACGGGAGUACCAUAAUCAAGCUUGUGACUAUAAAAAAAAAAAGCUUCUUGGGAGGCAACCCAAGCUUUUGAAACUCAUAUUUUCUCUUUUCAAUUAUUUUUAUUUUAUUUAUUUAUAUUUUUACUUUAAUCUCUAUUAAUUUUCUUUUUUUAGUAAAAAGCAAAGAACCUCCCACAAGACUUGGUGAUAAUAAUAAAGAUAAGGAAGAGGAGUAAAGCUUCUCUAAAUCUUCCAAUUGUCAGGGAAGUUCUACUUAUUUUUCUCUUUAUUUAUUUCCAACAUUAAGGAUAAUGUUGAAUUUAUUUUUGGGGGUGAGAGAAUUAUUUUCUUGAAAGUUGAUUUUUUAAUGAAAAUUGAAACUUUAUUUAGUUAUUUGUAUGCAUGUUUUGGGUUAGUUUAUCAUUUACUUUUCAUUAUGCUUAUCUGAAGUUUUUAAAAUAUAAAGUAAUUAGUGCCAAAUUUUUGAUGAUUUCCUUGUUCAAUGAUGAGAACUAAAUUUUCUUGUAAUGUUAGCUCUUGGUAAAUAAGGAUAUUGUUUGGUUUAUGCUAAAUUCUUUUGCUAAGUAUUGUUGUUAGAAUGUGAUUUUCACAUAUUAAGCACCUUGUCUUUUGCUUUGAAUUAUUAUGCAUACCUAGAUAAAGUUUAUAUUAAUGUGAACUUUGAAUUAUGUCAUGAAUUCUAGAAUUUGCUUGAUUCUUUCUUAUGGCGAAAUCAUAGGCAAUACUUAGUUAGGGAGAUGAUUUAAGCUAUCUUUGGAUCCUUUAAGCUUUUGAAGCCUACCUUGUUAUAUUUUUAUCCUUAGUAUACCAUUUUGAGCCUAAUUUCCCUUCUUUUUUUUUGUUUAAACACAAAAUAAUUAAGUCUAGCCUUUUAAAUAAAUUUCAAUUUUGCAUCCCAUACUCCUAAGUAUGCAUAUCAUUUUAGGAAGUGUACUAAGCUAGUUGUUGAAAAAGGUAAAAAAGAUGAAGUUGUUGAAAAAUUGAAAAAUUCAAAAAUUAGUGAUAAAAGUCAUCCCACUAUUUACAAUAUAGAGAAAUAAGUUUGGGGGUGUGAAAUUGUGAUGAAAAAAAAUAAGAGAAAAAGAAGAAUAAAGUGUUGAACAAAAGAAAAGUUCAAAGUUGAAGAAAGGGCGUAUGUGGAGAUUAUGAAUAAGAGUUCUUUAUUGGUCCUAGAAUGAUUAUGUGCUUAAGGUGAUUUGAGCCACAUUAAUGGCCUUUAUCCUAUCUUGACCCUAGCCAUACAUUACAAGCUUAAUAAAGACCUAAUAAUCUUCAACUUAGUAUUAAUCUACAUCAGUGGAGAGACAAAUGAAAGGCAAACCUAUGAAUUUUAGUACUAAUUUGAAAUUUUGCAUUGGUAUAAACUCAUCUAGAUAAGUACCAAGUUCUUUGUAAAAGAUUGCACAUACACACGGAGAUCCAUUUGAGAAUGAGCUUGCAUUUGAAUUAAAACAUGAAAUUAAAUGAUAUCUAUAUUUUAUCUUGAGCUGGAAAUUUAUAGAUAUACUUUUGAGGAAAUUAUGGAGAUAAUUGAUUUGGUGUUAUUUGUCUCUAGUUAGUUAGUUAGUUUAUUUAUUUAUGAUUGUUUUCAUUAUUUAAGUUGUUUUCGUUUUAAUUUUUCUUUUAUAUUUUGCUCGAUGACUAGCAAAUCUUAUGUUUGAGGGUGUGAUAACUCUAUUUAUAGAGUUAUUUGGUCACAAUUUUGGGUGAUUUUUCUAAAUUCUUGAAAUUUAAUCUAAGUAUUAGGAGUUUUUAGUCAGUUAUUUAAGUUUUAGUAAAUUAUAUUGGGUUCAAUUGCUUUAAGUUAUUUUAUGAUAUUUUACUUUAAGUUUAGUUAUUAUUUAAGCUAGCUUAUUGCUUUUGUAGGUAUGCUAUGAAAUGGGUGAUAUUUUGUGAAGAAAAAUGCAUUCAAGGUGCAAACUUUCACUAUACAUGUUGCAAUAAUUUGAGCAUAUCUAUCUCUAUAAGAGUUCAAAUGAUGUGAUUCUUAUACCAUUAAAAAGCUAAGAGGCAAAGAUACAACUUCCAUGUUUACCACUUCACCAGUUCAGCCUUGAAGCAAGAGAAAAUCACAUCGGAAGUUGAAAUAGUGUAGUAGAGCCUGAAAAUUCAAAGUACACAUUUGAUGGCCACAACAUUCACCACUUCAUGGUUGCAGCCCCUAGACUACACCAUCACACUUUGGACUUUCAAGAGGUUUCUGGCCGUGGCCCCCACUUGCCAUGGCUGCGACCUUUGACAAGGAAAUUUAAAAAAUAAAAGUCAAGCUUCGUGGCCAUGACCACCUAGCACCAUGGCCAUGGCCCCCAACAUAGAGACUAGAAUUUGAGUUGUUUUUUAAUUCUAUUCUCAUUCAAUUUUGAAGCCUAUUUAAACCACCCUUCCAUAGCAUGAUUUAAGCAAUAAUUAAGCAAGGUUUUUUGAAGAAAAAAAGGCACCGAAGCUACCAAGACAACAAGGAAAGUAAGGAAGAUCGCGAAUUGAAGGCUUGAUAACUAUUGGAGUUCUUUCUUAUCUUGUUAACUUUGUACUUUCUUAUUUAGUUUUGAUAGUUAAAUUUCUUAUUUGGAUGAUAUUUUUAGGAAUUAUGUUGAACUAAGUUUUUAAUCUAGAAUCACAAUUGAACCCAAUGAGUACUUUAAAUUUUUAAUAUUUUUUCUUGCUUAUGAUUGAUAGUGUUUGAGUUGUUUGUUUCAAUCCUAUUCUUAAUUCGUCUGAUUGCUUGAUGAUAACUUCAUCAAGCAAAAGAUAUUUGGGCUUAAUUUUGAUAAUAAAUUAGCAUAGUUCUUAUAGUAAUGCGUAAAAAUUAGUAGAUUUUAUUUAAUUAUUUUAAAUUAGUUAUUUUAGGUGAGUCGAUCUAAUCAUGGUUAAUUUUAUGCUUAAUAUGGUGUUAAUGUGGAUAAGAUGGAUUGUUAUUGAUUUAUUUGUACUUUUGUAGGUGUUUGAAAGAAGAAUUUUAGUAAAAGAAGGAGAGCAAUUUCAAGGUGUAGACUUUCACUACAUAUAUUUUGGUAUUUUAGCCAUAACUCUCUCUACAGAGCUUCAAAUGAAGUGAUUCUUGAACCGUUGGAAAGAUAAGAGACAAAUAUACGACUUUUAUGUUUACCACUUUACCCAGUUUGUCAUGGAACAUUGUCAAAAAUCUUGUCAAAUUUUAUAUAUUGUAGCAGUCCUAAAGCAAUUACAAUCUCUGUUAAUUAAUUGGGCAAGGUUAUGGCUCACAUAGUCUGAUGAGGAAAUCCCAACUGAAAUUGACUUCUUUCUUCACCCAACUUGGCCUAACUUCAAAGGUUAUAAAAACAACCUUUUAGAGGAGAAAAUGAGAGAACGAAGAAACACCUGAUUAACAGCUGAGAGUCAAACCACAAAGUCAUUGAAGCUGAAAAAAUUUUAAACGAUUCAAGAAGACUUGGAAGAUCAAGAUUAUAAUUCUUGAGUUUUAUCUUUUUUAUUAUUCUUUUAUUUUCUUAGUUUGUUUUUAUUGUUUAAACUUUAUUUGAUGAUGAUGUGUGACUUGAUUGGGAACUAAAUUUUUAAUCUAAGAUUAUGAUUGAACUCAUUAUGUAGUCUGAAUUAUUUAUCUCUCUUUUAAUUAUGUUUGAUAGAUUUAGGUUGUUUAUUUUAUUAUGUUCUUAAUGCUUCUAAUUACUUGAUCACUAAUUAGAUUGAAUUGGAAACCUAAGUUAAACCUUGACGAAGGAGAUUUUGGUAGACCUAGAAUAAAAUAGUGUAUGAUCAAUACACUUGGUUGAUUAGAUGGUUUGAUUUGCAUAUAGGGUAGACAUACACCUAUAAGCCAUAUGUAGCCAAAAUUAGAGCACAAACUUAAUGAAUCUUUCUUCAAUAUAAUUUGCAUAGACAUAUAGUAAAUUGAUUAAGAGAGGUAUUUUUAUGAGAAACUUGAUAGAGACUUGUAAAUAAUUUAGGAUUCUGGGUUAGCAACUUAAUCCAUUAAACUAAGUUAAGAGAGAGAGAGACAAUAAUCAGAUAAAGUAUUGAGGGACAUCAUAAUCUUAGGUCAGUAGUUGAUUGAAGUUUCAGUUUAGUCAUUUUAAUUUUUCUUUUUAAUAACUUUAAAAUUUGCUUGUUUGAAUAAAAUUAGAGUGUGUUAAUUUUAGUAGUUAAUAGUACGAAUUAAAACAAUUCUUCAUGGGAACGAUACUCUAUUCAUUACUAUAUAACUUUUUAACAAUACGUGCACUUGUGUGAGAAAUCAACAAGAAGUUUUUGGCACCAUUGUCGAGGAAUUGAUUUUUAAUUCUUUCUUGUUAAUUAAUAUGAAGCAUUCCUAGUCUUACUUCAAACUUUUCUUUUUAUUUUCAGAUACUUUUAAUUGAGGUGAUGAACUAUCAAUGGCCAUCUGAACAAUUUGUUCGUAUGAGGGUUGCUAGUGAUUAUACAUUGGAUGCAAUCAGUGUUUUAGCCACCCAAGUAGAUGCUUUGUCUCAGAAAAUUAACGCUUGGGGUGAUAAUGCUUUUUAAAAUGCUUUUGUGACAUGUGAGCUUUGUGGAGAUAGGCAUUCAAGUGAUUGUUGUCCAGCCUAUUACAAAUCAAUGCAAUUUGAUGGAAGCUUCGAUGGCCAACAAAAUAAGCCGUACUCCAACAAUUACAACUCAAGAUGGAAUCACAAAAAUUUUUCAUGCAGUAAUGAUCAUAGUCCUACAUAUUCAUCACAGCCUAUUUUCCAUAAUGGUUUCCAGUCACAAGUUAGAGCUCUUAUGCUAGAGAAAAACCCUUCAAUAGAGGAUAUGUCCAUGCAAUUCAUGACACAGACAAAUGCCUUCAUGACAAGGACUGAUGGCAUCAUUCAAAGUCAGGCAGAAUCAAUCUGAAAUCUUGAGACACAAGUGGGUUAACUAGCUAAUGUCAUUAAUAAUAGACUGUUAGCUUUAAAAUUAUUAUAGUUUUGAUUAUGACAAAAUGAUCAAAUUUGCUUGAACAUUAUUUGAGAAAUCUUUGACAAUUUCUUGAAAUGAUUUAACUCCCAUACAUUUGUUCUUACAUAGACACAAGCUUGACUCUUGAAGUUAUUGAACUACAUCUAUAAGCUUGUAUGACUUAAGUAUAUGAGUGCUUAUGAUUCCUAUUCAUUAAAGUCUGAUUUAAAGAUUAAAGGAAAAUCUAGAUGCACUCAUUAAGGGGGAGUUUUGAAUAUCUUGUUUAAUGAUGAAAAAGAUAAAGGAGAGAAGGAAGACUAAAUCAAAUAGAGUUAAAUAGGUCUUCAUGUUUAAUUUAUGUGUGUGAUGCUUAGUUUUGGUUUUGUUGAAUAUUAUGUAAAGAAAGUAGAUACAUUGACUAAGGGGGAGCACCUCAUUAUGCAUAAAGAUUUGAAGCCUUUAUAUUGAACAUAGACAUUGCAUUCUUAAUUUUGGAGUGUUUUAUGACCAUAAAAAAUAAGAGAUAGACAAUGUUGAUUCUAUAUGUUUUUGAUGAUAGCAAAAUAUUCCCAUUCAUUGAUGACUAAUUAUAUUGUUUAAGUGUGCAGGAGAAAGCUUAAAUCAUUAAUAUUGUUGGUAUUUGUAAGCAAGUCAAGAUGCUUGUUUAGUUGCAAGAUGGGUUAAUUGGUUAAACAAGCAAAGAAGAAAGAGCUACAAUUGAGUCACAAAACAGAAGCCUCUUAGUUGGAUGAUGAUGGGAGUUAGUUAGCUAAAAUCGAAUCAGAAGUUGGCAGGCUUAAGAGUAUUGAGAAACAGAAAAGACUUAGUCGACCAAGAAAUGGGUUAGUCGACUAAAAGCAUAUUGCCAGAAAUCUAGACUUAAAGAUAGAAACAACUUAGUCGACUAAGAAGGAAGUUAGUCGACUAAGAGCUCACUGCUAAAAACUGGGAUAAAAAAACAAAGACAACUUAGUCGACUAAAAGCGCAGUUAGUCGACUAAGAUCAUUUUGUUAGAAAAUUUGAAUUGAGUACUAGCAGACAAAAUAACGGUUAGAAAUGGCUAGUUUCUGUCUCUAGCGGCCAGAAUUGAUUUUGCAAGUAUUUAAAGCCUCUUCAACAGUCAAAAACAAGAUAGAGAAGUCAUCCAAAGUGAUUUUGAGCUUAAAACACCAAAAACCUUCUCUUUACACUUGUAUUUCACUCCCAUCCUUUGAAAAAGUGUUUGAGCUUAGCUUUGUACAUCUUAGAUCAGCUAGGUGAUCAAUUGUACUUCAUCUUUUCUUCAUUUCUUGAUUACUUAGAGUGUGCAAGGCACUCUAAGGGAUUUAUUCAAUCUUGGAUUGCUUGAUUGAGUGUAUAGGUUCUAACUUAGCCUUGAAAAGUUAGUUGUUGGGUUUUGGUUUAUCUCGUGAAAAACCAUUAUUGUAGGUUAUGGUUGAGCCUUUGAAAAACCACUUUGGGUUUUAGUUGAUCUCAGUAAAAACCAUUGUGAAAGGUUUUGGCUAAGCCUGGUAAAAGCCAUUGUAAAGCUUGGUAAAAGCUUAUGAAUUUCACUGUUCUUAGUGGAUUGAUUGAAAAAUCCUUGGUUGAACAAUCAAGGUAGUGGAUGUAGGUCUUGGACCAAACCACUCUAAAUUCUGUUGUGUUAUCUAGUCUGUCUUUGUUCUUAUUUUCAUUCAUUCUUUUCACUUGCAUUUGUUCCCACUUAAAGCUAAUUUUUGAAAGAGCCAAAUUAUACUAUUCAUCCCCUUUUAGCACAUUUACUUGGGACCAACAAGUGGUAUCAGAGCCUAACCCUUAUUUUUAAGGCUUAACAUCCUUAGAGGAAAUUCAAAUGGCUCUAGAAAAAUUUGUUGAUGCUGGGGGUCAAUGCAUAAAUAUGCCUCCUCAAUUUGAUAGAUCAGACUAUCCUUAUUGGAGUACUAUAAUGUCCAUUUAUGUUAAGGCUUAUGAUUAUGAGAUAUGGGAUGCCAUUACUGAUGGUCCUUUCAUUCCUAUGAUCACAAAUUUGGUAAAUGGUGAGAAAACUCCCAAAGAUAAAAAUAAGUGGACAAAAACUGAAAUGAGGAGAGCACAAAUCAACUAUAAGGCCAUGCACACUUUCAUUUGUGCACUUGAUUAUAGAUAAUAUGAUAAAGUGUUCAUGUGCAAAAGUACCAAGGAAAUUUGGCAAAAAUUAAAAGAGUUAUAUGGAGAAACAAAGAUGCAAAUAGAAUUGGAAGACAACUCUUAUGAGAAUCAAUGCUCAACAAGCAACAUGGCAAAUGCAGAUAAGGAAUCAAACGAAGAUGAAUCCUUAAAUCAAAUUGAAUUAUGCCUCAUGGCUCUUGAAGAGAUAAAGGUAAGUUCUUUAUCUUGUGAACUUAUUUCAUAUGCUUUUGAUGAAUUGCAUGAUGCUUUUAAAGAUUUAGCAUUUGAGUUUGAGAAAAUGAAUAUGAAGCACAAGAAAAUUAUUUCCAUACUUGAUGUUGAGAAUGAAUUUUUGAUGAAAGCAAAAAUUGACUUGGAAAAAGAAAAUAAAAAUUUGGAAAAGGAUUUUGCAGCUUACGAAAAGAAAAUUGAUAUUUUGGAAAAAGAAAUUUUGAUGUGAAAAGGAAAUUUGAAGAUUUAUUAAAUGAGAAACAAAAGGCUUUCAUGAAUUCCUCAUAUUCCAAAAUGACCAAAAUCAAUCAUUGCACAUUUUUUAGUUAUUAUUCAUACACUUGUCCAAUUAAAUAAUGUUUACCUUAUAAAUUUAGACAAGUGUGGGUUCCAAAAGGAACUUUAUGCAACAAGACUAACUUUCAAGGAUCCAAAGCAAUUUGGAUACCAAAAAUCAAAUGAAAAAUGUCUCUUAUAGGUGUGCUAGAGCAAGGAGGAACAACUCUUGAAGAAUGAAUGCUCUCUAGUCACACAUAAAGGAAAAUGGGUGAUUUCUAUGCUAAAUUUUUUUUAAUGAAAAUCUUGAUUGCUUAUUUAUUGAAUGUUUCAUUCAUUUGGCUUGGUUUCUAAAUUGUUUGCUUUUCUACAUUGAAAAUUUUGGUUGCCUAUUCUUGCUUGAAUAUUAAGUGCAUAAUUCCUUGAGCUUUAUUGAUAAAUCUUGGCUCUGCAACUUGAUUUGAUAUGAUACAUGCUAUAAGUUGCAAGGAAGUAUGAAUCUAAAGAUGAAGUGUGUACUUAUAUUUGAUCUUGAAUAUAUCAUCAUCCUUAUUUUGAGAAAAUUGUUUUAUUAAGAUUGCUUGAUUAUGGAAAAUUUGUUUCUAUAAAAUUUCCUUUAUUUCCAUACUACUUUAAGGAAAAAUGAUUUUUGAGCAUAGUUUUGAAACAUAAAGGUUGGAUAAUGUGAUAGAAAUAUGAGCAUACUUGAUGACUUACACUCACAUCUAUUCAAGUAGCCUAAAAUAAGGAAAGUUGAGUUAAAAAAAAUCGUCCUUGAUUUCCUUGUGGCUAACAUAAGUUGACCAUUUGAACAAUCUUGAUUUACAUUCUAGAACUUGCUUGAAUAGUUCAAGAUGGUUGACAAUGAGGUUGAAAAUUUUGACUACCAUCAUUGGUACUUUUAAAGCAAAAUGAGCUUAUAUGAGAAAAAUGUUGCCAUCCUUAAGUUUAUAAUGAUUUACCAAUUGGACAAGUUUGUUUCAUGAUGAAAGUACUUAUUGACUUGUUCUUAUUGGAUGUGCAUACUCGCUUGUAAGCUUGAAUGGUCAUAAGGUCAUUUUUGGUACAUGAUUGUGAGAUAUUUGCACAUGACCCUUUACAUGGAUAUACAUGAUUCAUUAUGCCUAUUACAUAUUUCAUAAAUCAUUUAGAGCAUAAUGAAACAAAAUUGAGUGACAUUGAGCUCAUGAUUUUUCACAAAGCAAGUCUAAUCUUGAAUGUUUCAAGUUAAAAGUUUGCAAAGAAAGAUUAAAUCUUUAUCAAUUGAUUUUCUUGCNNNNNNNNNNNNNNNNNNNNNNNNNNNNNNNNNNNNNNNNNNNNNNNNNNNNNNNNNNNNNNNNNNNNNNNNNNNNNNNNNNNNNNNNNNNNNNNNNNNNNNNNNNNNNNNNNNNNNNNNNNNNNNNNNNNNNNNNNNNNNNNNNNNNNNNNNNNNNNNNNNNNNNNNNNNNNNNNNNNNNNNNNNNNNNNNNNNNNAGAAUACUUAUUGACUUGUUCUUAUUGGAUGUGCAUGCUUGCUUGUAAGCUUGAUCGGUCAUAAGGGCAUUUUAGCACAUGAUUGUAAGAUAUUUGAAAAUGACUCUUGACAUGCAUAAAUAUGAUUCAUUGUACUCAUUACACUUUUCAUAAAUCAUUUAGAGCAUAAUGAAACAAAAUUGAGUGACAUUGAGCUCAUGAUUUUUCACAAAGCAAGUCUAAUCUUGAAUGUUUCAAGUUAAAAGUUUGCAAAGAAAGAUUAAAUCUUUAUCAAUUGAUUUUCUUGCAAAAUCUUUUUAUUCUCUUUGAUUGAAAUUCAUUCAUUGUUUUUGAUGAUAUAGCAUGGUUGAGCAAAAUUGAUUUGAUACAUGAAUUGCAUAAAUCCCAUUUUGCUUGGUAUUUCUCUCAUGAUUGGUGAAAUUGAUUGAAAGGGAUUUCUUAAGCAUGAUUUCGAGUGUGAUAAUUUGGCAUUGAUAGCAUUUUUCAAGCAAAGGAACAAAUCUUCUUGUAAUGCUUGAGGCUAUAAUGAUUUCAAUGAUAUAAAUCAUGAUCAAAUGUGCUUUAUGUUGAAAAUGCUAUUAUAACUUGAUCUUAUUGCAAAUGAAUGCUUGAAUGACCUCAAGGGCAUUUUUGUUCAUAUGUUGGAAAAUUGUUAAAAAUGUUAAAUUUGAUGCUUAUUAUGCUCAAACAUUGUUUAAAUGAUUGUUGUACAUGUUAUAAGUCAUAGUCACGCAUCAUGAUGUAAAUCGAAUAUGUUUGAGCAUAUUAGAGACAUGAUUAUUCAAAUGAGCAUUUCAACUUUUUAGCACUUGUGAACAAUGAGCAAUAAAAGUCAAAAUUUGAGUUCACAUGUUUUUCUUGAAGGAUCUUUGAUCAUACACGUCCAAAAUGAUGUUCUAAACAUGGUUGAAAUGAAAUUCUAAAUUGUUCUCACACAAAUCCAUGUUUUAAGAUCAUUAUACCUUGGAACAUUGCAUGUUUUGCACCUUUUUCUGGCUUUUCAAUAUGCAGGAAUCAAGCAUAAUUAACUACUUAGCAUAGCUAGUCGACUAUUGGAGAACAAAAUGCAAACAAUGCUGCUAGAAUGAUAAAAAGUGGACCCCAAGGAUAUGUAGUCGACUCUUGAAUGUUCUAAAGCCAAAAUGGACAGGUUUUAAGUUCCAAAAUGUCUCCUUACAUUACUUCUUGUCCUUGCAAUAUUUUCUUCCCUGAAUUUCCUUGUCAAAGAUGAUUCUUGACUCUUAAAAACUUGCAUUGUGAAUACUUUCAUGAUCAUUUGGUGCAAGCACCUGUUCUUGAAAUUGUAAAACUUGCUGAAAAAUGGGAAAUCCUUUUUGAUGACAUAAAUCUGUCUAUUCCCAAGCAUGGCACUCAUAUUGAUUCCAUAAAUUCUCAUGUAUUUACAAUGACAAAAUAGAAAUAUGAGAAAUUGUUCACCAAUGCUUGAAUUUGUUAAUCCGAUUGGAUUUUCAUGUGCAUAUAUAGAAAAUAUCUUCUCAUGAAAAUUGAAAUGUUCAAAUGCUAGUCUAGGAACAAUUCUUGAAAUAUAUUUUAUGUUUGUGCUCAAAUGAUUGUUUCGAAAUUGAUUUCUUAAUUAUGCAUACAAACUCAAUUAGGAUGAACUCAUUGAACUUAAUGAAAAUAUUCUUGGUUCAUCUACAAGACACAUGCUUAUAUGAUUUUUCUUUAUGCUUGACCUUAAGGUUUGAAGUCUAAGACUUAACUUGAGCUAUGCAUUUGAAUAUGAAUUUAAUUGUCAAGUUUGAUCAUGGCAUAUAUUGUGAGUUGACAUAGUUGAAAUUUAUUUUGAAUAUGCAUUUAAAUGUUAACUAUGUCUUCAUUGAGCCUUAAUGUUUACAUGAUCUAAAGAUUUUGUGUGAAUCCAACUUUGGCUUAUAAGUCACCAUAAACAACAUGACAUGUCAAAUAAAAUAUGGCCUCUAGCUUUAGUUAGCAAUGAAUGCCUAAUAUGCUUUGAUUAAAUAUCUUUUUCUUGAAUCUUGAUAAUUAGUAUUCAUUAAUGAUUGAAUGUUCACUUUGAAUAUAUUCAUGAGUUGAGUGCUUUACUUUCAAUAUUCUAUAACAAUUGAUAUCACUCAUGAAUCAUGAAUUAUUGAGAAAUUGCAUGUACUUUGAACUUCAAUGGUUGCAUAUUUUUUCAAUGGGCAUAUAUCUAUAUUGAACUCAUGCUUGCAUUUUGAUGAACAAAAUUGGAAUAAUGAUUAAGGAAGAUAGCCAUGCUAUUUCUUGUAAUCAUGUUUGUGCUUAUUUGAUCAUAACUUUCAUACAUGAUUGUAAUAAAUGCAAAAUGCUUUUAGUCAUGCUUCAUUAAUGAUGAUAUGCUUUUUGUGAAAGUUCUCCUUGAAUUGACAAUUUCAUAUAUAAUUUGGAGAAUACAUCUUUCUAUGCUUGCCUUAAAAUGACUUGGAUGAAUGACCUCUUGAAAAUGAUUUGGAAGAAUACUCGCCAAGAAUGCUUAAUGAUGAUAUUUUUUAAUUUCUCCUUGAGUUGCUAUUUUUGUAUAUGAAUUAGGGAAUUUCCUGAAAAUGCUUGAGUGAAACUUCUUGGCUGAUUGAUAUUGGGAAUAAAUAAUGAAUGUUUGAUGAUGAUUGAUAAUACUUGAUGAUAAUUGAGAAUAGUGCUUGAAGAAUAAUGAUACCUUAGACAUGCCUAGGAACUACUUGGCAAAUACUUCUUGAAAAUAUGAGUAUGUGAUGCAUAUGUUGAACAUCUAUUCAAAUGCUCAUACUUUUUUGGUUCCAUGAAUACUUGAGUAUUAGGGAAAUAAAUUGAAUAUCCAUAUGAAUGCACAUUUAUUCUAGGCUCAUGAUUUCUCUCCUAAUAUUUGAUAUAUUGAGGAUCUCUAACAAUUUGUGUUGAGCUUAUGACUUCUUAAGGGAGAAGGUUUAUGAGCAAAUUUAAUUUUAUGCAUAUCCUAAGGAGGAGAUUUUAAAAUCAUUUCAAAUGCAAAUUAUGCUCAUAGUUUUGUCAUAUCAAAAAAGGGGAGAUUUUACUUAUAUCUAUCAAUUGGUAUAUUGAGCUUUAACACUUGGUAUUGGAGUUCAAACAUGGCUUAUGUGCUUGUUGAACAUCUUUAUGAUCAUCUUUGUUGGACUUCAUAAUCGUUAUGCAUACAUUUUGCUUAGUAUAUAUUCAUGUGGUUAAGUGCAUAUAUAUGAUGACUUGGUGACUUUAUGGUUACAUAUUCAUGGUCUUCAUGCUUAUAUUCUUGAUAGAUUUUGCUAACCAUUAUUUCUUAAGCUUAAGCGUUUAAUGCUCACUCUUCUUAACCUUUUUGAUAUAACAAAAAAGGGGAAAAGGUUUAUGAGCAAAUUUAAUUUUAUGCAUAUGUUGAGGGUGAGAUUUUAAAAUCAUUUCAAAUGCAAAUUAUGCUCAUAGUUUUGUCAUAUUAAAAAGGGGGAGAUUAUUAGCUUUAAAAUUAUUAUAGUUUUGAUUAUGACAAAAUGUUCAAAUUUGCUUGAACAUUAUUUGAGAAAUCUUUGACAAUUUCUUGAAAUGAUUUAACUCUCAUACAUUUGUUCUUACAUAGACACAAGCUUAGCUCUUGAAGUUAUUGAAUUAUAUCUAUAAGCUUGUAUGACUUAAGUUGGAAAAUAAAAUUUUUUUAUUUUUUUAUUAAAAUAUUAUUACCAACGGAAUUUUUCAGCAGAAUUUAAGUCAUACAAGCUUAUAGAUAUAGUUCAAUAUUUAAAAUAAAAAAAUAUUUUAAUAUUUCGUCAAAAAAUUCCGUUGGUAAUAAUAAUAUUUUAUUUCUUUAUUAAAAUAUUUUUAAAUUUUUAUAAAUUUUAUUAAUCUUUUAUAAAAAAUUGAUAUUAUUAAAAUCAAAUAUAUUCAUAUGUGAAGUUUAUAAUAUUUAAGAGUUUAAUUAUGUUUUCUUUUGCUUAUUUUUUUACUUUUUUGUAAACUUUAUUGAAUCAUAAAUCAUAAAAUAAUAAUUUCAAAUUAAUUGAUUCUAUAACAUUAUAAAAUUGAUAAAAAGAAGAAAAUAAAUAUUUAAAUUUAAAAAAACACAUGAUAAGAUCUAAUAAGAAUACUAAUAUUUAAAAAAAAUACUAAUACUUUAUGUAUGUUUUAAUAUUAAUUAGUUAAUAUAUAUAAAUUAAGAAGAUAGAUAUAUAAUGAACUUAUUAAUUUAGUAAAUUUAAAAUAUAUUAGUUUAUUAUAUCUAUGUAUACAAAUUAGAAUGAUAGCUAUAUUAGACUAUAGAUAUAAAUGUGCAUUAUUAAAAGAAAAAAACUUAUUGUAUUAAUAUUAAAUUAUAAGUUAUAUUCUUUAACUGAUAUAACUUUAUAAGUUAAUAUAUAUGUAUCUAUAUGAGAUAUUUAAAUAUCCUACAUACAUAUACAUAUUAAUAUGUUUUAUAUGUAAGCUUAUAGUAAUUUUAUUUAUAUGACUAUAGUUAUUAGUUUUAUUAGUUAUUACCAUAUUUUUCAUAAAAUUAUAUUGAUUAGCAAUUAUACAAAUUUUGUAAUAUAUAUAAAAUUAUAUUACAUAAUAUUUGUGUCAUUAAUAUAUAUAAUAAAUUUAGUAUAUAACAUUAUGUUUUAUAUUGAGUAAUUAUUAAACAUUAAUUUAUUGAUAAAAUUCAAAAUAUUUAAAUUUUUGUUGCUAGGGUGACUUGAACCUUUGCCCUAAUGAAAAAUGAGUUAAACUUUAACCAAGUCUACCACCCAUCCAUUCUGAUUUUAAAACUCCCCAACUUAAUUUCAAACGAAUUGGAACUGCCAUAUAACUCAAAUGGAAAUUGGUGAUUAAAUAUGUAUAGUUUUUUAUUUAUUUAAAAUUAAGAACAUUGGAAUUCCAAAUUAAGACCAUCCCAUCGUACUAGUGGAGUCUUAAUCGAAAUCCUUAACCUAAGAAAAUUCACUCUGAAUUACGACUUCUCGCGUUCCGAAUGGACAUCCCAUCAUCCGUAUACAUUAUUCUUAUGAUUAAUAUUUAAAACUCAAUUUUCUAUGCUUUCUUAACUAUUAAUAUUGACCUAAAACAUAUAUUUUACUAUUAUAAUUAAUAUAUUUUUACCUCAUCAUUUGAACCCUUGUUGACAAAUAUUUUCUUUUUUUUAUUUUAUUAUCAUAGUUCUAUAUAUUUUUAUUUUACUUGUUUAUUUAUUUUUAAUUUUUAUUAAUCAUUUACUUACUCCCAUGUCCUUUUUCUUCUUUUCCUUUCUUUUUACUUUUAUCCUUUUUUCUUUUUUUAUUAUUUAUUUCUCUAACUAAACUAAAUCCAUUACUACAACCAUACUUUAUUUAGACAUUUAUUUUUUUUGUUUUAUAUGUAUGUUUCAUUUGCCAAGGUUUAUAUAUUUUUUAUAAAUAUUCUCCUAAAUUCAAAUCCUUUCUAUAACUAAACAUUUUUUUAAAAUAUAUAUUUUUACUUUAUUUUCUUUUUGCUAUUAUUAUUGACAUACUUUUUGUUUGCAUUAAUUUCCUAACUCUAAAAAUAUUACUUAGAGAUUUUUAGAAUAUUAUGCUAAAAUAAUUUGAACUCAAUCCUACACAAUUACACAGUAAUCCUAAGAACAAACAAAAUAUGUCAACCCAAGGCACAACAUAUCUAUAUAAAAAAAUAAAAUAAUAAAAAAAAGCCUUGACUUGACUUGGGCUUAAAUAGUGACCCAAGAAAAUCGAUCCACGCAGGAGCGCCCCAGGCUUGUCUCUACAACCCAAUGUGCUUCACACCAAACGCACCGUUUGGUGCUUAUGCGGUAAUUUCUCUAUCUCUCAAAACUAUGCCAUUUAAUAGCUACCAACCCUAGGUAUGAAAAACUCUCUUUUUCUUCUCUCCUUUCAUUUUCUUUUUUCCCUUUCUCUCUCUAGCCACAACCAGCCUUUCACUUCUCUCUAAACUUUCAGCUGCCUCUUUCUCCUUCUCUCUCACUUUCCCCUCCAUCGGUGGCUUGAAGCUCGGUCACCUAAAACUCUAAAUAUCCCUUCCCUCCGUCGGCAAUCCCUAGAUCUGACAAAAAAAAAAAACUUGAAUCUUUCUCUCUUCUUUUGUUACGACCCGAAACUCCCAUCGGGUCCGUGAUAACCGUUGCGAUGUCUCGAUAGGCACUCAUUACCCCGAAUGCCGAUCGGAACCCCGCAAGGCUUAGCAUCAGCCUCCUCAUCUCCCCGGUGAGCGACAGUUAUUAAAUCUUGCAUUUCAAGAAAUCAUAGGUCGUUUCCAAAUCAAAAUAAUAAAAUAUUAUUUUUUGACUCAUAUGGGCAUUUUCGUUAUUUUUCUUUGAAAAUACCGAAACCUGCCAAAAACAUGGUGUAAAAGCUAAAUAUGUUCAUACAUAUUUUAAAUCAAAUAACUAAAGUAUAAAAUUACUUUUACAAUGACACGUGGGCCCCCAACUAACCAAUAAGAUGCGAGUUUGUGAUCCUAUAAUUUUGACAACGCAAGGCUAACUGAAGUCCUUGAUGCAAUCGGCUAUCUACCGGCUAUCCUGAACCUAAAAUGUGGGGAAUUGAGGGUGGUGAGAUUAUAAAAUCCCAGUGAGUAAACAGACACCAACUAAACUAUCUAAAGGCGAGUAAAUGGAGAUAAUUAAAAAAUAAUUAACUUCAGCAAAUUUUUCACAUCAUGAAUAUUCAUUUCAACCAAAUAAUCAAUAUGGCUUGUGAAUUACUCAAAACUUGGCUCAUUCCAAAUCCUGUACUCGGUGACACCUGGACCAAGGGUAUCCAACCGAGUCCGUCAAGGCUGUUAAAAAUUCAUAUUUCGCAUAAAUCAUAUUUUUAUUUUGAAACAUAGCCGUUCCUUGGCGUUGGCUGAGUCUCACUCUCACGCGGUGGUGCACGUGAAGUGCACUCAAAAAGCCUACCUCAGGAGAUACCUUACGCGCCUCUACGAUCGAGGUGAGAAUAUAAAGGAGUUUACUGUGCCCCUCUAAUAGGCUGGCCCACGAAACCCCCCACCACUGCAGUAGCUAAUCUUUUAUCUACUACCUGAUUUAUAAAAUCCUUUUCUGCAUGACAUGGUAAUUUAUCGCAACCUAGCCUCUCAAGGCUAAAUACACAGUACAAAUAAUUCUAACACCAAAAUCAGUUUAGCCAUUCAUGCUCAUUUAUUGUCAUAAGCCAUUCAAUUUAAAACCAUAAAUUUACAACACAAGCAGGCAGUCUCCAAUUACUCUAUUUUCAAAACCAGUAUUCGAUUUUUCAGAAAAUUUAUAAAAUCAUUUUAUAAAAUCACAAUUUCUCUUAAAACAUAGCAAUUUACCAUUUAAACCCAUUUUNNNNNNNNNNNNNNNNNNNNNNNNNNNNNNNNNNNNNNNNNNNNNNNNNNNNNNNNNNNNNNNNNNNNNNNNNNNNNNNNNNNNNNNNNNNNNNNNNNNNNNNNNNNNNNNNNNNNNNNNNNNNNNNNNNNNNNNNNNNNNNNNNNNNNNNNNNNNNNNNNNNNNNNNNNNNNNNNNNNNNNNNNNNNNNNNNNNNNNNNNNNNNNNNNNNNNNNNNNNNNNNNNNNNNNNNNNNNNNNNNNNNNNNNNNNNNNNNNNNNNNNNNNNNNNNNNNNNNNNNNNNNNNNNNNNNNNNNNNNNNNNNNNNNNNNNNNNNNNNNNNNNNNNNNNNNNNNNNNNNNNNNNNNNNNNNNNNNNNNNNNNNNNNNNNNNNNNNNNNNNNNNNNNNNNNNNNNNNNNNUUUUUUUCAGUUUCUAUACCUCAUUUGCACCCAAAUUGACUUAAUGUUCCUCAGUGUGGUGUAAAUUAUCAGUCCCAGUAGCAAAUUACAAAAAUACCCCUAGUGGGUAAAAAUUCGUAUUUUUGCUCUGAAAAUUCUCAUUAUUUUUCUAGGCUCAUAAUUCAUCAUUAUUCAUCAUAAUUCCUCAAAUAAACAUCAAGAUCAGCAGCCAAUAUUUCCCUAAAAAAUUCAGCCAAUAAUGGUAAUGAAGGAAAAUGAAUUCUUUUCUUGUUGUUUUGUUUCUAAAUAUGCUAAACUAACUUAAAACACUAACAUAACUUAAAAUCAAAUUAAUCUAACUUCAUUCUCUCUCCAUACCCAUUUGGGCAGCCAUGAAUUCACCAUGAAAACAUGAAAUCUAACCAUGGAAAAUAAGAAGAAAUGCAUGGGAAAGGUAGAUCACAAGUCAAAACCAAGAAAUUUUACCUUUGAUUGCUUGAUUCCUUGAAAUCCACCAAUUUUCCUUUAAUUUUCCCACCUAGGUUUCUUGUUUUUUCCUUUCCUCCUUUUUUUCUUCCCUUUUCUUUGUUUGGCUGACCAUGUGAAAGAAAAUUGGCUGAUUUUUAUAUUUAUUUUAAAGUUAAAUAGUUAAUGAAUAUAAACUUGACACAUGUCACCUUAUUAUUGGUCCAUGUGUCAUUUCUUAACUAUUAAGCUUUCUCUCUCCACCACAUAUUAUUCAAGGGUAAAAAAUGAUGAUGGGUGAAGACCUUGUGCUGGAAAAAAUGCUCUGGGGGUGCAAAAUUACCGUUUUGCCCCCGGGGUGGCAAAAUUACAUUUUUACCCCAAAAACUGAAAAAAUUGCCCAUAGACAUAUUUUUCAUCCCUUAUACUCAUACCAUUCUCCAAUAAGUUAAAUGGGGCCAAAAAAAUAUUUUCUCAAAAUUCUCAUUUUGUCCCUAGAUGGCAAAUGACCAUUUUGCCCCUAGAUAAUGAAAAUUUCAAUUUGACUCCAAAUUGAUCCUCGAACUCCGAAUUACCAUUUUGAGUCAUCGAGUCAUCCCUGAACUGUGAAACUCUUAAUUUCACCUCAAAAUUCCUAUUUGAACUAGUUCGAGGCUUAAUCGACUUAAUGGUACCAUUAAGGGGAAUAUCGUCUUUUAACGAUUCCUCGAACUUCCUAAACAUGCAAACAUUCUAUUGAGCAUGUAGAUGACGUCGUAAUUAUUUUAUAGAACAGGGUUUGACAUCUUUGGCAGCCAGUUCUUGAUUGGUGCAAAGAGCUACUAUUUUUCCUACCUUUUCAAUGUUAGUUAUCCCACCUUCAGUCCUUAUCUGUUCCCUCUUUUUAUUUUAUUUUAUUAUUUUAAAAUUAAAUUUUUUUAAAUUUUAUUUUUAUUAUAUUAUUUGAUUAUUUUAUUUUAUUUUUAUUAAUUUUUAUUAUAUAUUUUUUUAUUUAGGGAAUAGGUGUCUGCAUUCACUUUUUUAGUGAGUUCUUGGACCAGAUCUUGUUGCUAAGCCUAUUUGUUGAGCGUAGAGUUCUUGUUUUACCGAGCAUAGAGCCUUGUUGCUAUCGAUUUACGUGCCUUGCUCAUUUUUUUCGGUGAGUGCUUGGAUGGGAUCUUGUUGUUGAGCCUAUUUACCGAGCGUAGAGUCUUGUUGCUGAGCCUAUUUGUUGUGAAUCUUGGGCCGGAUCUCUGGUGAGUUCUUGCUGCAUUUUUUGUGGGAAUUUUUAAUAGCACUUGAAACUUGGUAAAUGUAAUGGCUUGAGUGCUUAAGGCUACAUCAGGAUUUUUUUAUUUGUACUGUUUAUAGUCGACAUCUUUGAAUUUAGGAAAUGAAAAGAAAAACAACUUGAAAUUCGAUCUUUGUAGAAUAAUGAUGCAUAAUCUCGUUAUUGCUGCUUUUGAUUUCUCAUUAUUGCUGCCUUUGAUUACAACUGCUUUAGAAAUUGAAUUUGUUUUUCAAUUAUCCUAGGCAACAGAUAUAGCAAUAGGGUAAACACAAAUUUCAGUAAUAAGUUUGAGAGGGAACAUAUACAUACAACUUCUAUGAAAUUUCAAUUGUUCAGUGGUAAACCAACGGUUGCUGCUACUGCCUAAGCAUACUUCUCCAUCUUCCUGUUAGGAUCCACACCAAAUACUUAGACCUCACUAUUAUCAGCAUAGUACUCAAGAUUAGGGCAUGUGCCUAUGCCAAUUUACAGUACCUUUUUGGCCUUUUCCUCGUAGUUCCCCAAAGAGUUGUGACUUGUUAGCUGCAACCUUUGACAUAUAACAAAAUAGGUGUCAUUGUCAUGACCCAUUGCCAUCAAAACUGCAAAGAUGAAUUAAGACUUUCUUCUUCAACUAAUUAACAAACCUCUGCCUCAUAAUAUUACAUAGUGUAUGAAAUACUCUUUAACUUUUCAUUCUUUCUUUAAUAACAUAACAAUUUUAUUUAUAUAUAUAAUAUGGGUUUUUAGAUCUCUUCAAUUUGAUUGAUUUGACAUCAUCACAUGGUUACCACUGACUUAGUAUAAAAUUUGAUUUAAUAUUAGAUGUGAGGAUACUGGGAUUUGUUGAUGUUGCCAUAACCUUAGCAAAUGCUUAAUCAGAAUUAAGUGAUGUGAUUAAAACCUUUCUUCCUAAUUAGCUACUUCAAACUAUAUACAUGGGAAAUUAAAAUCAUUUAAGCAAAGAAGACUUGAGAAUUUUAAGUUUCAUAUUCAUUAAUUGGUCAAGUAAUGACAUUAAUUGGUCACUUCUAACGGACAAUUUCUUUAAACUGAAGAAGAUAUAAAUCAAAUAAAAUAAGAAAACAUUGACAAUUAUAUAUAAAAAUUUUAAAAAAUUUACAAUUUUUGUGCUCUCUAAAAUUUACUAUUUUCUUUUCUAUAUAAUAAUUCUUUCAAAUUAAGUAAUAAACAUAUCAAAAGUCCUUACUUUAAAAAAAUAGUAAUUCCUUUCCUACAUAAUUAUUUAAUUUUUUAAUCAUAAAAUACUAAUCUAAACUUGGGGUUCAAUUCAUGGUGAUGAUGGUUAUCCAAAAGGAAAAGCAAAAAAGUUUUGCUCAUUUUUCAAUCACUUGGUUGUAAUGGAUUUUAUACUGAUUAAUACAUAGAAAAGCUUGUGAAUAUGAAUUUAUCCAUUCGUUUAUAAAAUUACACUUAUUUACGAUCCUGUUUUUAAAUUUUUUUUCUUGUAUGGAAAUUUGAUUUACUAUCCUUAUAUGUUAAUUUUUUUUGUUAUUAUAUUUAAAUUGUUUAACUUAGUUUUGCAUAUUGGAAUGUGGUUGUUAACAAAUUUUAUUAUAAUCAACGGUGGAAAUUACCCUUGACUGUUAUAUUCUAUGACACUUAGGAUUACAAAUGACGGGAGAUCGAUCUUAGAUGUACCGUCGCUUAACUUCUGAUGGAUUCAUUAGAGAUGAAUUAGUAAAUGGAGUUAAUGAAUUCAUUCAUUUUACACGUUCUAACACUACAUUUAUGUGGAAGAAUAAAAUUAGAUGCCCAUGCUCUUGAUGUAGUAACAACAAGUUUCUAUGUGAGGAUAAGGUGACAGAGCACAUACUUAAUAGGGGUUUUACUAGUGCUUAUACAAUUCGCAAUUUACAUGGGGAACAUGAUGUUAGACAAUCAUUAAGAAGUAGAGGUAGAAUUGAACCAUAUGCUAGUAAUGAGGAAUAUGGAGAACCUAUAUAUGAUGAGGAAAUAGAAAAUCCAUAUAGUAGAAUGGUUAGGGAUACUAUGGGUCUGGAAGUUACUUUCAAUUAUGGUUGUGAAAAUGAGUCAAGGUUUGUGGAAGAAGAUCUAAAUCCAAAUACAUCUAGCUUUUACUCUUUGUUAAGUACUGUAGAGGAACCUUUGCGGUCAGGUUGCACAAAGCACACAACUCUUUCAACUGUCUCGCAACUUUUAAAUGUUAAGUCAGAAUACAAUUUGAGUGAAUCAUGUUUUGAUCAUCUGUUAGAGAUAACAAAGAAUAUGUUGCCUUCAGAUGAAACUUUACCUACUGAUUUUUAUAGAAUGAAAAAAAAGGUAGCAAAACUUGGAUUGGGAUAUAUCAAAAUUCAUGCUUGCAAAAACAAUUGCAUGCUAUUUUGGAUGGAAACUACUAAUUUUGAGCAUUGUAUGAUAUGUGGGCAUUUUCUAUUUAAACUGAGGAAAUCAAGUGUGAAAAGGUAGAAGAAAAUACCUUACAAGAUUUUACGUUACUUGCCACUUAUACCCAGGCUUCAAAGGCUUUAUAUGUCAUGCAAAACUACUGAAUAUAUGACGUGGCAUGUGCAAAACCAAAGUGAUGAUGGAGUCCUCAGACACCCUGUUGAUGGUGAGGCUUGGCAAAACUUCAACCGCACACAUGACUUAUUUGCAAUGGAACCUCAAAAUGUCAGACUAGGGUUAUAUGCUGAUGGUUUCAAUCUUUUUGGAUCGACUACAAAACCUUAUUCUAUUUGGCCAGUAAUGCUAUGUGUGUACAAUUUACCCCCAUGGAUGUGUAUGAAACAACAAUAUAUAUUUCUUAAUAUGGUUAUUCUGGGGAAGAAAAAUCCAAGUCAAAACAUAAAUGUUUUCUUGAAGCCUUUGAUACAUGAGUUGAAAGUAUUGUGGACCAAGGGUGUUGUAACUUAUGAUGCAUAUAGGAAACAAAAUUUCCAUAUGAGGGCAACAUUAUUAUGGACAAUUAAUGAUUUUUGGUAUGUUGUCAGGGUGGAGUACUCAUGGACGAUUAUCAUGUCCCUAUUGCAUGGAACAUUUUGAGGCUUUCAUAUUGGAUCAUGGUAGAAAACUUUGUUUUUUUUAUUGUCAUCGACAAUUCUUGCGAUAUAAUCAUCAUUUUAGAAGGCAGAGAGACAAAUUUAUUAAAAAAAGAGUUGAACAUCACUUACUAUUUCCUCGAUUAUCAGGUGAGAAAAUAUUGACACAUUUGAAUUCGCUUACUGAUCUCCCAUUCGGAGCAAAAUGUGAUGACCAGAAGAUUUUAGGUUAUGGUGUUAGUCAUAAUUAGGUGAAGAAAGGUAUAUUUUGGGAUCUUCCUUAUUGGCAUAUGCUGCUUAUUCGUCACAAUCUCGAUGUGAUGCAUAUUGAACGUAAUGUAUUCGAGAAUAUAUUCAACACAAUGAUGGAUGUUAAGGGAAAGACGAAAGACAACUUAAAGUUACGACAAGAUUUGAAGGUGUAUUGCAAGCGGCCAGAAUUGGAAUUAGUGGAAAAUAAUGGAAAAAUUUUCAAGCCUAAGGCUGCGUACACCUUAAAUAAGGAGGAAAUAAAAAAUGUUUGUUCUUGGGUGAAGCAAAUGAGAUUACCUGAUGGCUUUGCAUCGAACAUAUCUCGGUGUUAAUGAGAUUGAUUGUAAAUUUUAUGGGAUGAAAAGUCAUGAUUGUCAUUUUUUUUACAACGAUUGCUCCCAAUUGUCUUCAGUGAUAUGGUGCCUCACUCAAUUUGGGAUUCGAUUACUGGGAUAUCUCACUUUUUUAGGGAUUUGUGUACAAUGAAAAUACCUGUAGAUCAUAUGGAAGCUUUGCAAGGAAAAAUAUGUGAAACUAUAUGCAAACUCGAAAAGAUCUUUCUUCCCGGUUUCUUUGACCCUAUGGAGCAUUUGCCGAUUCGUUUACCUUAAUAGGCAAAGGUUGCUGGACCCGUCCAGUAUUGAUGGAUAUAUCCAUUUGAGAGGUACUAUAUUUGUUAUUUAUUUUCAAAUAGUUUAUUAGAAUAGUGUAAGGUACUUUCUAAGUUUGCUGAAUAUUGUGAUUUUUAGGUUUUCGUAACAUUUGAAGAAAAAAGUAAAAAAUCGAGCCUCAAUUGAAGGAUUUAUAUGUGAGGCUUAUAUUAUCGAGGAAAUCUCCUCGUUUUGCUAAUGGUAUUUUGAACCUGCUAUGCGAACAAGAUUAAAUAAAGUGCCACGUAAUGAUGAUGGGGGAGACAUGGACUCUCAGGGUCAUCUUUCAAUUUUCACUCAUCCUAGGCAAUCUUUUGGUCCAUUAGAUAAAUCUCAAUUUUUAGAUGAGGAUGAGUUUUAUACUGUUGAGCUAUAUGUUUUAAUGAAUUGUGAAGAGAUGGUCCCAUAUAUAAAGUAAGUAUCAUUCAACCAUAAACUCAAAUGAUUGAUCAUAAGAAUGAAUUUAAUCACUAAAUUGUGGAUAUGAUGAUAGGAUGUUUGAUGAAAUUAUCAAGGGAGAUGUUAUGCAUAUAUCGAAAGAUGAAUUGAAGAAAGUACGUAAUGCAAGAUUCAUUAAAUGGUUUAAAAAUUAUGUAAGUUUAUGUAAAUUAUAAGUGAACUUUGAAUAACAUUGAGGCAUUAAUUAUGUUAUUAUUAAUUUUUGAUAUUGUAUGUCAUGUUCGUAGGUUGCAACACGUACGGAUGAAAUUGACCCACGUAUACUUGAAAUCUCUUAUGGUCCAGGACGUAUGAUAGGGUGUUACAAAGGAUACUUUAUAAAUGGUUUCAAGUUUCACACCCUAGAUUAUGGCCAAAAUCGUAAGACAAUGAAUAGUGGGGUUUACAUAAAAGGGAGUUUUUACAAUGAUUAUGAGCAUGACUUUUAUGGUAUUUUAGUGGAUAUAAUCGAGUUGGAGUCUUUUGGAAUUGGAAACAGAGUUGUGCUAUUUAGGUGUCAUUUGUUUGACAGUGAAAAAGGUAUUAAGGUAGAUCCUUUGCAUGGUCUUGUUGAAUUUAAAUGCAACUCAAUACUUGCCAGUAAUAAACCAUUUGUUUUAGUAGCACAAGCUCACCAAGUUUAUUAUAGUAGUUAUCAAUCAAGGAAAAGAGAUCGACGAGAUUGGUGGGCAAUAUUUAAAACAAAAGCUAGGAGUAGCUAUAACAUUCCUAGUAAUGGAGAUAGAGAAAAUGAAAUUGAUUUGAAUGAAGAAGUAUACCAAGAAGAAGUGUCUGUUUCAAUGAAUGCUACUCCAUCAGAAGAACUUGAUAACUUGACAGUCUUAUAAAGUGGUGAUUAUGAAAAGGUUAAUCUCUUGAUUGAGGAUGAAGACGAUGACAUGCAAAAAGAUGAAGAUGAAGAAGAUGAAAUGGAAUGAGAUGAAAAUAAAGAUGACGAUGAAGAAGAAGAUGAACUUGAAGACGACGCUUCUGAAACUUUGAGUGAUGAUAGUGAUAAUAAAGAAGAACAUGAGUUUGAUUAUUCUGAAAGUGAUUGAUGAUGGUAGGCAUAUAUGAUAUUGGUUUGAUAUUUUUUGUUACAUGGUUGUAUAUUUGUUAAUUUUAUAAUAUUAAAAGAUCUUAACAUUAUGUAAAAUUUAAUCUAAGUUUAUAUUUAUAAAUGUUGAGAUUAAUACUAUAUAAUGGCUAUUUUAUUGUAUAAAUGAAAAAUCAUACUUGUCAUUGUUGUAAAUUGAUGGUUUCUAUACUUUGUUUCAAUUUGAUUGAAAAUAAUUUGUGUCUGAAUUUUAACAUUAUAAAUAUUAUAGGAACGAUGGUUAAAGGGAAGCAUUCAAAACCACGACCUAGAUCAACAAAUGCCUCUGAAAGUAUGUCUUUGCCUACGAAUGCUAGAGAAUUUGCUGAUCUAUCCAUUCAACAACAGAUGCAGCAGGAGUUUAAUGAUGUGCCAUUUGAGACACCUUCUUUGUUGGGUGCAUCUGCAGAGCAAGUAGAAAAUGAGACAUCUAUUCACGAUUCUCGUAGAUCCCCAUCUAUUGAUUUAGGUGCAAGUGUAGAUGACACAUCCUCAAUGUCAAAGGGCAAGGGGCCUAGUAUAGGACUAUAGACUCCUGUAGAUCCAUCAGAUAGAUUGCAUAUAACUCCUAUUGGGGAGAGAUAUGUUGUCUUAAGAUAUUUCUAAUAUUUGUUAAUGAAAUUGUUAUAUUUGUUAAAAAUUUUAAUAUAUAAAAAUUUUCUUUUAUAUUCUACAAGCACUUUUUUCGAGCGAGGGGUCACCACUACAAUCACAAGGAUCAUCGAAAAUCACUUCAAUGGUCCAUGGUCGACAUGGAGGAAAGUCCCUAAUGAUGUAAAGGAGUUAAUGUUUCAAAAAUUUCAAGUACGUAGUUUGUUAUUUAUUUAUUUAUUAUAACUUUAUGUUUUCAAUUAAUUUCUAUCAAUUUUUUUAAUAACAUUAUUAUUUUGCUAUAGGAAAAAUGUGUUUGGUCUGCAAAUCACAAUGUUUUGGUUCGACGAAUAUGAGAAAAAAUUUGUUCCGAUCGGUUAGGAGACAUGCUGUCAGAAGAAAGGAAUAAAGCAAUGAUAGAAGUCCAAACAAACAACAAUAGGGACUGCAAAGGCAUGUCAAGGGAAUCGAUCACGAAUGAAAUCUGGGAUCUCUUUAUCGAUACAGUAUGGGGUAUAGAAGAAUGGCAAGAGAAAUUGAGAAAAGCAAGGCAAAAUCGUUUAACGGCAAAAGAAUGAAGCAUCCCAAAGCACACUAGCAGUUUAGUUCCAUUUGUGGUUCAUGCAAAAAGGAUGGUAUGAAUUACUUUUACUUCACAUUUAUAUGUUCGGUUUUCUUUCAAACUAAAUUUAAAUUGUAUGUUUAGUAGUUUGACUUUGAUUUUUCCUUUCACGUAAUUUAUAUAUAUCGAUUAUGAUUGAGUAUAUAUAGUUGUAAAUAAAUGUAGGCAAUUGAGAUGAAACCAGAUGUUAGCUUUUUGGAAGUGUUCAAUCGCACUCAUAAGCGUUUAGGGGGUCAUGGUGAUUUUAUAGAUAACAAGUCCAAGUUUACGAGUGUACAUACCAAAUUGAUUAAUUUUAAGAUUAAAGUUGAUGACUGUAGUUGAAUACUAAUAUAAUUUAAUUUUUUUGUAGGAAAUGUAUAAUUCUGUACUAUUGCAAAAGUAUGGUGAGGAUUCAUCUUCUCAGCCAGAAUUCGAUCUGAAUGUUGGAUUGAAGCAAUUGAAGAGAUUGAGACUACACGUACUCACGUGUAUGGGUUUGGUACUCGAGUCCCUGCUACAGCUUUACUUACUGAAACACAUAGCAAUGUAGCAACAUUUGAGUCUGCAUGUGGCCCUAUGCCCUCAAACGCUACCAGUCUCGCAAUUGCAUUGGAAGAGAAAGUAGAAAAUCUUUCAGAAAACUUUGGUAAGAUACGUGAUAAAUUACGUGGAGAAAUACGUGAAGAAAUUAAAAAUGCAAUGGCGGAAAGCAUGAGUGAAUUUAUGAGACAUAUGGAAAGCAUGAUCAUGACUAAUGCACUUUCAAAACAAGGAAAUGCGGGACCUUCAAGCUAACAUCUGGACAAGCAAGAUCACAUUUCAUGAUAUGAUGUCAAUGAUUCACUGCUACACUUAGAUACUUUUUAGUGUAGCUGUUUAAUAACAAUUUUAGCUUUAUAAUCAUAUGUGUUGAACUUUUUUUAGAUAUUGUGUGUUAGGGUAAUUUUGAAUUGUUUGAAUUUGACUUUGAAUUUCGGUUUUUAGUAUGUGUUUCUUUUAUAUAAUAUGAAAUUCAAGCGCCGAUGUGAAUGGAUAUUUUAUUAUCGAAAUGGAAAUUGGUAUUUUUUUUAAAAAAGCAAUUUUUGGUAAUUUUUUUGGGAAAUUGGUAAUCUAGUAAAAUAAUUUCCGUUGGAAAAGUAUUUCCAACGCAAAAUUCCGUUGCAAAUACUCUUUUGAAUAUAAAAGAGUUCUGUUGGAAAUGCUUUUCCAACGGAAUUGUUUCCAAUGGAAAAUUCCGUUGGAAACCAAUUUCCAACAAAAUUGUUUCCAACGGAAUUUUCCGUCGAAACUUAUUUUCCAAUAGAAAAUUUCGUUGGAAAUUAUUUCCAAUAGAAAUUCAGUCGGGUACCCUACACUGAGCUCAUUUUUCCAACAGAAUUUUCCAUUGAAAAUUUUCAAUGGAUUUUCAACGGAAAGUCUUACCGACGAAAUUUUCAACGGAAUUUUCCGUUGAAAAUGCCUAUUUCCAAAGGAAUUUAGCCUUUUUCCAAUGAAAAAUUUCGUUAAAAAAGGCUGAUUUUUUUAUAGUGUUGUCUUUCGAGAAGAGCUACUACUGUUGGUUUUGUUAAGUGAUCAAUAAGGCUUCUAGUAGGUGUCAAACCUUUACCUUGAGUUGAACUCCACUGGUCUUGUCCAUUUGAUAUACUUUGAACUUUGUUUAUUUUUAUAAUAAGUGUAAUUUUUGAAAUUGCCAUGGGUGGCUUAUACUUGAUAUUUGAGAAAUGUUUUGCUUCCACACUUUGAGCCCGAGAUCAUGCGAACUAAUGUUUUGCAACUUGAUAUAUGUUUAUAUAUAUGAUUUCAUGGUGAUGCGUCCCAUGAAGUAUUUGAACAUUGGAUUCGAUUUAUUUGUUUUGAGGCUUGGAUUGAGUGGAACUUUCCCAUUAAACCCCUAUGCCGGUCAUGAACCUGAGUUUGGAUUGUGACAUGAUCUCUCUUUCUAUUUCAAACUCUUAAAUUUAUUGUUAGAAAAAUCUGUUAUCUUAUCAACAGUAUUUAGUUUGCAAGUUUGGGAAAUCCUGCUUCUCAAAAAUGAGGCAUUAUUUUAACUACAACUUAUCAUGGAAUGUGUAAAGGUUGUUGGUGUUGUGCCAGAAAAAUAGGUUGAAAAUGUAUCUCAAGUUUCACUUGCAGAAGAAACAAGAAAACGCUUAUGAUCUUUUCUCAACCCUACUGCAAGUUAUAGGUGUUCUGGUUGUCUUAUCGACAAGCUAUAAGUGGUAUUACUGAGGCCCUGGUUUUCUGGACAUUUUUUUAUUAUUUUGUUCUUAACUUAACAGGUGUUGUUUUGUUGGAACAAGGCACAUGUUUGGUGUGAAAGAUUGAAGGAUCUUAUUGGUUUUGAUUAAAGAAGAUACUUAACUCAAAAAGAAAAAAUUUCAAAAUGCUAAUUCUUAAUCUAGGAAGGUGAGAAGGUAAAAAAACUAGCUGAGCAAUACAUCGAGGUAGCCUAGCAAUAGGAAAAAGGCGAAGAUAAUUAUUUCCACUUUCAUCUAAUUCUUUAAGGAGCUAUUUCUUAAUUCUUUAGAGCCUUCAUCAUUUCCGUUGUGUUUUUAUUAGUAAAUAGUGGAUGGUCGAGAGAUGCGAUCUUACAGAAAGGUGGAAUAUCCAUUGUGUAAAUCAAGAAUAUGACAUGAACAAGAACAUGCAUUAUGUAAUCAAGAAUAUGACAAACAAACUUGGUUACUAGGCUUGCCUUGGUUGUAUAUUUUGCCCCCUAUAGUUCUUGAGAUUUAUAUUGAGCAGUUUAUGUUUGCCCAACAAAAAAGUUGUCAAGAAAAUAUAAAUUUGUUGCUGAGAUUUUCAAUAUUAAAGGCGAUGACAUGUGCUAUGCAUACAUUAUCAAAGCCAAAAAAAAAAAAAAAACUCAAUGAUUGCGGGUUUGUCCAUCUAGUGGUGAUUGUUAGAACAUUUUUUUUAAUUUUCUUUUUAGGAAUUUUGUAGAGAUAUGUGAAGCAAUUGUUUCUUUUGAUAGCUACUGGAAUGUACUUUUUUUAGAAAUGGAAGCUUAGUUUUCAACAAAAAGAUGCUCUUACAAGAGAAUUUAUUUGAUGAAAAGGUGUAUCUGAUGCCUUUCAAAAAACAAAGGUGCAUUUGAAUUGUAUUUUUCGUAAUCUCAAGUAUGUGAAUAAAGUUUAUGGUUAAAUGAAAGAAAUUAAGCUUUUAAAUGUAAGGAUCUUAUUGUCUUUUUAAUAAAUUUUAAUUAAAAGUUCAAGACUGUUACUUUUUAUAGGAAUAGUAGUAAAACACAAAGAUUUAUUUUUUCAAAACAAUUUAAAAAUGUUAUGUGAGAAAAUAUUAUACCACAAGAGAUUUACGUACACUUUACCUAAACAAAUCAAUAACUUAAAUUUAAAAUGAUUUACAACUGAAUAAUUUAAGUGUCAAACCUGAAUAACAUGAAAUGUAUUAAAACCUCAAAAGACCGAAAUGCAAAAGAAGAAAAUGACUUUAAUAGCCUAAUUACCACCUUUAACGGAUUGAGCAAUUGGACCCAUUUGGACUCGAUGAUGUGCGGUGGGGCUAGGCCUGCUUGCAUUGUAUACAUGGGGCCAACCAUGUCUUAUGGUUCAAGCCGAUAGCUGCUGCAAGGCAUUCCGCAUUUAUUAAAGAUAAACUUUUAAAUUUAUUCAUUUAAUUUUCAAUAAAAAACAUGUACUGGGGAUUAUUUUGAGUUUUAAAAAAUAUACUGUCUAUAUCUACAUAUUUGUUAGAUUUUGAUUUCCUUUGCAAAAGAAGCUUGAUCAUAAGAUUAAACUAAAACAGAGAUAUGAAAGCCACUAGGAUAUAAGAUACUAUUUUUGGAGAAGCUUUUCUACACUUUAUAAUCCUCAAGGUGGCAAAAACUCAAAAUACAGCAUAAGGAUUAUUCUUGACCUAUAUUAUACAGUGCCAAUUUACAUCACAGAAAACAUUGAAAACCUGGUGGCUGCACAAGCUUUUUGGACUUCACUUUGGAUCCAGCAUUAACUAAGAGAGUUUCCAGGCUUUACCACCUUUCAUAUGGAAUUUCUUUAGCCUUCCAAAGAACAUUACAACGACGAGGAUAAGCUUUCCCAUGUUACUCCACCUCCCUACAAAUCCAGCCCAUGUAUCUAUGCAGGAGCUUUCAGGUUUCACUUGUCUUUUGCAGCUAUAACCAGUUGAGAAACCAACAUUCCCGUAAGCGCUGCACAAUGAAUAUAUAUUAUUAUUUAUUAUUUAUUAUAUAGAAAAGAUAGUUUGGAAUGUACACACCAGAGAGAUAACAUGGAUUUGUCAUACUUAACAUUUAUGUUCAUUGUGAGGCAAACUUUUGUGCGAUGCCUCUAUUGCUAAGGGCUAUCAUUAUGGAUCCCGAAUGCGGUGAGGCCUCAUUUGCACAGUAGUAUUAAACAACUUGAAUAUUAUAUAUUUCAUGAUUGUUUAUUUAAUUACUUAUUUAUUAAAUUAUAUAACACUUUAUUUUUAUGUAUAUAUUUAUUAUUAAGCACUAAAAUUAUAAUAAAGAAGAAACGUGAGAGGAAAGUAAAAAAUGAUGUUAUUGUGCAAGGGUAUUUCCAUCACUGGCCUACAGAAAAGUGUAAAAAAGAAAAAGGCAAAACAAAACUCCAGAUGAAAUUGGGAAAAAAAAAAAGAAGAAGGGGCUAUUGCCUUAUUGGACAUCCCACUACACUUGCAGUGUGAUUGUAGUAGCCUAACUAUGCCGCAAAAAUAGCAUUGCCCAAGGGCAAGGGCUGCGGCACGAUGGGCAAUUUUUGUGCGAACCGCACCACAAUGGGGACCUAUUGGCGCUUUAGUUCAAUAGGCACCUAAUUAUUUUUUUAUAGCCACAUGAAGCUUGGAGGCAUUACAUAAGAGAUUGACAGUGGAAGGCAGGGAAAUAGUAGGAAUUUUUUAUUUUUUCUUGGAUAAUUUCGUACGUGUCGUUAAUUGGUCUUGGGAUUGAUUGGCUUGUGCACUUUUGGGAAGAAAGUGAUAUUUGGAUUUUGAAAAAUAGUUGUGGCUCUUUGGAAAUUAGGGAGAACAAAAUUGUUUUUGGAUUUUUUUAUUUUAUUUUUUGGAAGGCAUUAACUUUGAAGAUUUUAAAUUAAAAGAAGUUAACUUCUAUAUAAAUAAUAUUAUGCAUUAUAAUUUUGCAUUGAAGCAUUUAUAACUAAAUUAGUGUUACGUAUUUUUUAAUUUUAUAGGUAAAGUUUUAACAGUGCGUAUUUCUCCCAAAUUAUUUUGUUUGAUUAACAAAGAGAAUCUAAAAAUAGGUAAGCAUAAAGGGCCUACCUUAUCACUUCAAUGGCGAUGCUCAACACAUUGAAGUUGAGUGGAUCUUCCUUAAUCUUUUCCCUUUCGGUGAUGCAAAUCAGGAUGAUGAAGAUGGCCAAGUAUGAGAGCUGAGAGAAUAACAGACACUCCAAAAUGCUCCUCCCGUGAUUUUCACUUGCCUGGCCCUUCCCUGAAUUCUUUUCCUGAUAUGUAGUGGGUAGAAGGGAAGUAUAUGGAGGGAGAUACCUGAAAAAAUGCUUUAAAUUAUAUAAAUUCUUAACCAUAUGCAUACAACGAAUUAAAUAAAUAAAUAUAUACGUAUAUGUGUAUGCAUAAGUGUAUCUAAAUAUUUUUUGUACAGAAACGAUGGGGAACCUUCUUGUACACAGUGAUUGAGUAGGGGAUAGGGCAUUUUCCUCGUUGAACUCACUUAGACCGUUUGUUUGUCAGACUGUUAGCAUUUUCCUUUUAUUUAUCAGCACUUCCUGUUUGUGUUGAGAUGUAUUCUGCAAUUCCUUUUUGGCCCUUGUUAUGUCUCUAUACAAUUAGGGGCUUGCUCUAUUGUUGUCGCAUAUCUAGUGAUAUGUUAUCUAUGAACUAUGAACAUUUUUGAUUAAUUUAUCUAAUGAAUCUUCUUUUGGCUGCAAAAGAAAAGAAAGAUUCUGAUCAAGAUCAUUCCGAAAUGCAACUUAUAUCAAUGGUGAUAUGGUGAAUCCUGAAAGUGUGAGGAUGGAGGAUAGAACAGUUGGUAAACACGAUUUGUGGGGUCAAACAAGAACCGAUUCAAUAAACCACUUCAGUACUGAUAUGUCUAGUCAAUUUGCUUUCCACACAAUAUGCAAGCACCAAAUGCUAAUUGUGGAUCAGGAUUUCUGCUAUCCGCAGUGUAAAUACGAUGCAAAAAGCACCAAUCAUGGAGAUGCAUCUGGAUUAAAAUAUAUUCACCCCACAAUCAUUACUUUAGAGAACAAAAAAUUUGCGGGCUUGGGUAGAUUAGACCACUGACGUGACUAAGGGUAGAAACAGUUAGAAAAAUAUGCUUUCCUGCUAGGAUGCCACGCCUGUGCUUGCAUGUCAAUGUGUGCAGCAAAGCCUACUUGUGCAAAGCCUAGUCAACAAAGUAAUCAUAUAUAUAGCUAGUGAAUCUGGGGAAUGAAUUUAAUGCAGCCGGCACCGUGAGGUUGACGGGGAGUGAGGGACUAUGGUUACCUAGCUCCAGUUUUUUUAUGCAUCUACAGCUUUCUACAAGAAAAUAUUAUAAGCAACCAACCAAAUGUGACAGCGAUAUUUUCUCGUCAAAAUUUGCCACAUAUGAAACGAAAAUAGAACAGAGAGGAAGAGAGACUCACAUCAUAACAACAAAGAGCACCAAGAUCGCUGAGGAGAUGGUAGAAAGAUCAACUAUUGAUUCACCAGUAUGCCUUGAAUUUACCACUUCAAACAAAGAGCCUACGAAUUUCUGAUAUGAACUAAGACCAUCCAUGGCCUCUGAAUUCCAUUCCAUAGAGCAGAAUAGAAUCAACUGAACUAAUAUGAAGCCGAAUACAGUGGCAGCAAGAAGAGAACAAUGAACGCCUGACAGCAAAUGGCUAUAGCCCAUCUCCUUAUAAUUCUUCAGGAUGCACCCGAGCUCCACGCGUUUUGUGAUUUUCUCCAAAAGCCAUAUCAGGACUCGUAAGCAAGCGGGAUACAAUGUGUUGCCAAGAAGAAUUUGUGGAAUUAGAAGCAACAGCAAACCUGAAUUCUUCUUGAAGAUUAUCAUGUUCUCGUUUGUAGGCACAAAGCCACAGUUUGCAAAAGUAGACACAACAGUGAAAAUGGAAAAUGUUUUUAUCUGAAUCGCUUUGGUUUUGAGUAUAUUUCUUGCGCUUGGAACCAGGCUUACGUACAUGGAAACUAAACUAGAACCACCUAUAUGGACUACUAAGAGAUAACCUAAUACCACAUAGCACAAAUACCUACUAGCGCUGUAUUGCAGACUGUCAGUCAUAGAAGACAGUUUAGUGUCACUUUCUAAGUCAGAAUCAGGUUUAUCAUUCUCUACGGUUGAACAAGAAUCCGUACCAAAUUCGAUUUGAUGAGUAAUGCUUUUCGAGGUCAAGGAAUUGUUGGGGAUGCUAAAAAAUGUUAUAUUGUUUUCAGGAUGUUGUUUUUUAGGGAACCUGGACCUUGCCAGCAGAAGUCCAAGCAUGGAAACAAAGACCUCCCCACCUAUUAACAUCAAAGUAGUCAUAAUAAUAAGUUGGGUGUUUGAAAAAACCUCCAUUUCUACAGUUGACAUGCUUGAAACCGUUGCUGCAGACACAGAAGUGAAGAAUACAUCAAUAUUCUUAGGCCUAAAAGAGUCGGUUUUUGGCUUUGCUAUAUUCAGGGCCCCGUAGCCGAUUAAAGACAGAACUAUGAAAUAAGCAAGCUGAACCCAGAAAGGGUUCAGUUUGAGGAGCAAGAAACGAGAAGAGGACGAAAUCACACCAUGAUAGGAUUGUUUGAAGCAUGCGCCUUUGGUGCGUGAAUCGCCACAAAAACUCUCCAAUUUCCUACCAAAACAGACGAAGCUCCUCAUCUUUACCCUGAGAGAAAGUUGGCUGAUAACUUAUUGGAGGUUGAGUGUCGUAUUUAUAGGAGCUCUCACCCAACUUAGUGGGAUUUCUCUGUACAUGUGCCAAUCUAUUCAGCUGUGAUUUCAACGUGCGCAAAUACAUCCGUUCACUUCAAUCUCUGUAAUAAUUUCUAUCUACAGACAGCAUAUACCCUAUAAGAACUUCAAAAAAUUGAAUUUCGUGAUGGGUCCUUUCUCCCACUCUUCGAAUCCUUAUCAAAAGGGCUAUAGAGACCGCCACUUAAUACAGCAUGUUAUAAUUUUGGGGCCAGCAAAGGUGGGUACAAAUGGCUUCAUAAGUAUAACCUGUUAUGUCUUCUUAAGAUGAACAUAGGCUAAAAGCUCUGUUUAGCAUAUGAAAAAUAGAAGCUAACAGAGAGCAAGAGAAAGUAGACUAUGAUAACAAGGUUGUGUAUUGAUCUGAUUCAUUAAUGAUAAACAUAAGGCUUAUACACAAAACAUGCAUGAAGGACACUCGUACAACAGCAACACAAGUGUUAAGCCUAAUUUCAUGCACCUGAACACGUAAGGAACAAGGGUAACACAUAAGCAUUUUUCAUGACCAGUACAAUGAAGCAAACUGAUAUAACGUACAAAAGCAAGCUUAAUUAAGAUGCCGUCCACGUGCUAACUACAUACAAGUCCUAACUUCAUAACACCGAUCGUGUCGUUUUUCUUUUCCGUCCAGUUGCCGGGCUAUAGCUUCUACUCACAAGAAAUGGUUUUGUUGAGCUGAAAACUCCUGUUGGCGGUACAAGUUGGCAAUGGCAGUUAUUAGAGACAUAAAAAUAUGUUAGCUAGAUUCAGAUAAACUUAAUGUUAUCUCAAAAUUUGAAUGCCAUUGUGAUAUGUGUCAGGUGUUCAAAGGAAAGAUAAAUAUAGUUCUUUGGAUUGAACUCACAUUCUAGGGUUGUUCUCUUUAUUAAGAAUUCUCGAACAACAUCACAGUUUUUCACUAACAUGCAUGAAAGUUUUAAGACCUAACUUCCUCCUCUGCCUUGCUACUGUGCUAGCAUCUUCAACUCAAUUUCCAAUCUUUUAGGCUCCAUCACAUUUAUUGACAUCAGUAAUAAUUCCAACCACAUAGAUGAGACCAAGGCUAAUUACUUGGCCGAAGUUUUCUGGGUAAUUUUUUUGUUCUGAUUGUAUAAUCUCUUUUGUUGGAAUUUAACAAAUAUUUUAGACUUUCAAAAAGAAAUAUUUGAAGAGGCUAGCUAGACAGUCCAAGCCUGUCAGCUAUCUUCUCCACCAACCGCCAUGCAUCUGUUUAUUUUUAAAUGAGUCCGAUGAUGACCUAAAAUUUUUAGCUGGAUUUGACCCACAUUAAGAAAAUGCAUUAUGCUGAAACCAUUUAAAUGUGAACGAUAAGAUUGGAAAAUCAUGAUCUUCAAAGAAAUAAGACUCCGCAAUCACCAUGCAAUACUUGCUUAUUCUGAAAAUAAUCAUUAUUUAAAUGUAUAAUCAUGUAUAGUAUAUAUGAACAUAUUUAAAGAAAAAGAAAAUAUAAAUGUGCCACUGAUCUGGUAACGUAACUUUUCAUUUAAUAAUUAUGUGUGAGAUUUGACAUUCUUGACCACUUGACAGCCCUUGUCCUAAGGGUCAAAUUUUGAAAAAUCCCAUUGGAUUAUCCCCACAGUCAACCUUUUUAUUUUAUUUUUUUUCGAACUGCUGAGAAAUCUUGUAAACAUUAAAGAAGUUGAGAUCAAGUUGUCGCCUGGCACAGUUUCCACACUACUUUUUUUUUUUUGUUGAAAAGUGAAUAUUAUAUUAGAAAGAGUAGCAAAAAUACAGAGUAUGGAUGAGGCACCAACGUGCCUCCUGUUACAACAUCCUUUGCUAGCAAGGACUACCCAGCACCCCUUAGCAACUUCGCCUUAGGACAGAUUUUUUUUUUCUUUUUUUUUUUUUGAAAUGUAGUUUCCACACCACUAAGCAUCUCAUCAACAAAAUUCUUUAUCCUAUUGUUUUGGAAUGUGGGUCAGGAUAGAAUUCAUCACACCCAAUCUUUUUCUCUAAAGAAAUUUGUCAACAUCUCAAUAAAAAACUUCUUUGACCUCAAUUUUUUGGGAACAUUGCAUUCGAUAAAAUUGAUCACGCACAUUUUUCUUCUCUAAAGAAAUUUAUUGAUUAUAUGAUUAAUAUGGUGGCAAGUUUUUGGACUAAUUAGGACCAGAGCCGGCCCUUGGGUGAAGCCACCCAAGCAAGGGCUUUAGGUCCUAAAUUUGGAGAAGUCCCAAAUUUAGGAAAGAUUUAUAAUUUUAUAAUAAUUAUAAUAUAAUUAAUUAUAUUAAAAAUAUAUAAAAAUUAAAAAAAUAUAAAAAUAAAAAAUAAUUAAUAAAACUAUUUGUUCUCUCAUUUUAAAUUACGUGCCUAAUAAAUCUCAAUUUUUUAUCACUUCUUUAUUUCUAGAAUGCUAUUAAUUCUCAACUAUAUUCUCUUAUUUCUAAUCAACUAAUAGUCAUAUGUAUUUAAUCUCCAACAGUUAUUUUUUUCUCACUUAUUUUUUUUAUUUCCAAUCAACUCAUUUAAUGAUUUCCAACAACUAUUUUUUUUUCUUAUAUAUAAAACCAAUUUUUUUUCAAUGUAUAAUAUCUAUUUUUAAAUUCUUCUUUUCUCAUUUGCUCUUUCUUCCUUUAACUCCAAUUUUCUUCCAAAGAAUACACAAAAAGUCUGUUCUUUAAUUAUCUUCACAAAGUUGUGAGCCUCAUUUGCAGUUUGCAAUAAGCAUUCAAUAAUUAAGUACUAUUGUUCUAAUCUUUACAAAUUUUUUUGCUUUAAUUUAGAGUUUAUAUUAUAUUAGAAGAACUUGAUUAUAAAGUUUAAUUAAAAAUUUUACAUCUCAAAAAGCUAAAAGAAUAAAAUUUUAAUAAUUUUUUUUAAUUUCAAUAAAAAAAGCCUCAUUUGAAUAUUUCGUUUUAGACGUUUGAACUUAUUAAGCCACCUCUGAAUUAGGUGUAUCGUCCAGCUUGUCCACCAAUGGUUGCAAUAAAGGUAGUGUAUUGUGAAACUCUUCAAGUUAUCGAUGAAGGCAUUUAUCACGUGGUAAAGAGCCAUUUGGUCCAAAAAGACAUCUUGAUAACAGACAUUUGUAAGAGUUUACUCAUGACUCCUUCAAACAUGACAAGUUGCUUGUAUUCCAUUUUCUUGUUCUCAACCUUGAUUUUAAAUUACAUGAUAUGUUUCAAGUAUUUUAAGAAAAGAGAAAUAGAGUUUUUUUUUUUGGGAAUGGAUUUAGACAUGAUUCAAUUUGUAACUGAAAGAAAUGCAAUGGGAUGAAUUGGUUUUCCUUAUUAAAAUGCGUUUGAUGUUUUGGAUAAAGGCAAGUUAGGGGAAUGCAAUUAUGGAUGAGAAUGGGGGCAGGUAAAACCAUGAAACUCCAUUGACGUAGAACGUCUAGCAGAUGAUUUCUUAGAGUGGGAUGGGUCAUUUUGAGGUUGUUCAAUGAUACAAUUAGGGUUUUUGUAAUUUUAGUAUUUUUCUUAUUUAAUUAAGAGUCUUAUUAGAUAAUAUAGAUAUAAUAGAUUUUUUUAUCUUAAUUUACUUGGACGACAAGUAAGCAUAGGUUUAAGAAUUUACUUUUUUUGUACUCCAAGGAACUUUAAGGUAGAAUAUUUUCUUACUUAAAUUUACUUUACUUGCACUUUAAAUUUAGGUCAAGUAGGGUCAGGAUAUUAUAAAUAAUACCCUUAGACUUAGUUAUUAGAAAAUUAAUUUUUUUAGAAUCAUUGAAUCAUAUUACAGAUUUGCUUUUCUUCUAAUUUUGAGUUUAAGUUUCUGCAUUUGAAACUUGAUUAUCAACCUUAAGUUUAGUCGGGUGCUAGCCUUUAUUUCACUUUAACUUGCUGCAUUAGUUGGUAUCAGAGAGAGAAAAACUUGCCUAAUCUAAUAACAAGUGACCCAAUUAUGGUAGGCAGCAAUUCUCAUGGCGAAAAUUGUGGACCUAAGACCUUGUGAUUUGUUGUGUAAGAUCAAACGGUGGUGUUGAGAGUUUUAGAGUAACGAAUGGAUCUCAGAUUCUAGCAUUUGGAACGAUGCUUUGAAGAAAUUAUAUAUCGACUUGAUGCUUUAGGUGUAAAUGUCAACAGAAAUCGGAAUGAUGAAAGGCCACGUACUAGAGAUGAUGUAGCUCGUGGACAACUUAUUGGUAAAUUUGUUCCUGUAAAUGGGCAUAGACAACAAGUCUACAUGGAAGAUUUAAACAAAAAAGAUGAUUAUUUGACAAAACUUGUGAAACACGCUGGAUAUGGAAAGAAUGAUUAUGGUGAUCGAGAUAUCAGCGAUUUCAAAUUAAAAAUGGAUUUUCCUUGCUUUAAUGAGAGCCAAAUUAUUGAAGAAUUUUUGAAUUGGAUUGUGGAAAGAGAUAGGUUUUUCGAAUACAUGGAGAUUCCAAAAGGAAAAAAAGUGAGGCUUGUUGCUUGUAGAUUGAGAGGUGGAGCUUUUGCAUGGUAAGAAAGGUUGCAAUCUAGAAGAAACCCUAAAGGGAAAACACUAAUUGAAACCUAGUAUAGGAUGAAGCAAUUGUUAGAAAAAGAUUUUAUUCCACCUGAUUAUCGACAAAUUUUGUUCCAAAAGUACUAGAGAUGCCAUCAAGGUCAGUAAACUUUACAUAAGUAUACUGUAGAACUUAUAAGGCAGGUUGAGAGAAAUAACUUGAGGAAGAACGAAAGGCAAUAGGUUACCAAGUAUCUGGAAGGGUUGAAGCUUGUUAUUAUAGAAAAGAUAGAGGUACAGGUAUUGCAAAAUUUAUCUGAAGCACAAAAUAUUGCUUUAAAGGCUGAAUUAAUGGUGCAGGAAAAAAACAAACUUGAUUAUUCUCGCAAGAGUUACAGUAAGGAUAAUUUUAAAGCAUUCAACAUAAAAAAUAAAUCAGUGCAUGAUAGUUCUACACGCAAUAAUCAAUACAAGGAAAGAAAGGCAACUGAAAAGCAGAAGGUGACAGAUGCGAAGAAGGGGCAGAAAGCUGCAAAUCUCUAUACUAAACCAAUCCAAGGGAAGUGUUUCAAAUACUAUCAACCUAGUAAUUGAUCCAAUGACUUUCUUAUUAGAAAAGUGGUCCAUGUGGUUGAGCGAUAAGAAGAGGAUGAUGAGAUUUGUUGUGGUCCAGAUAGGGGUGAUGACAAAUAUGAGGAUUAUGAUGAUGGAACUAUGUAGUGAAAAGAAUGAUGUUGUCUCCAAACCAGAAGGAUAACACUUAGUGGAAUCAGUUAUUUCAAACUAGGUGCACUAUCACUAAUUGUUUCUUUUAUGUGAUUAUUGACAGUGAAAGUUGUGAGAAUAUUUUGUGAAAAUAUUCUUGGUAAGGAUGUUGUGGAAAGUUGGGUUCUUAAAGUUGAGAAGCAACCCAAUCCAUACAUUGUUGGUUGGAUUAAGGUAAUAGAAAAAAUUCAUGUAACAAAAUGGUGUAGUUACCUUUUUCCGUUUGCAAAUAUAAAGAUGAGGUAUGUUUUGAUGUUAUGGAUAUGGAUGCUUUUCACUUUUUAUUUGGUAGACCUUAGCAAUUUGAUGUUACAACAUAACAUGAUGGAAGAGAAAACACUUACAGAUUGGAGAAGGAUGGCAUAAAGUUUACUUUAGUGCCAAUGAAAAGAAGUUUCAAAACUAAAACUUUCAAAGUGGAGGGGCAGACUUUCUUUACCUUUACUCAUUCAGGGAAUGAGAUAGAGGUUGCUUUCAAGGAGUAAAAAAAUAUGCAUGCUCUGAUUGUAAAAUACAUGUUGUUAAUUGAAGAGGAUCAAAAAAUAGUAGAACAUCCAAAAACAGUCAACUAUUAUUAGAAAAAUUUAGUGAAGUGAUGCCAGAUGAUUUACUUGACAGUUUACCACAUAUGAGGGAUAUUCAACACCAUAUUGAUCUAAUUCCUAGUGCUAGUUUACCAAAUUUUCUCAUUACAGGAUAAGCCCAAAAGAGAGUGAGAUUCUCAAGGAGAAAGCGGAGGAAUUACUAUGCAAAGGACAUAUCAAAGCCUCAGUCUAUAUGCAAUUCCCGCCUUACUAACCCCAAAAAAUAAUGAGAGUUGAAGGAUGUGUGUAGAUAGUCGAGCCACCAAUAAGAUUAGUGUUGGAUACAAGUUUUCAAUGCCUAGACUAAAUGACAUGCUUGAUAGGUUACAUGGGGCUAAAGUGUUCACAAAGAUUAAUCUUCGUAGUGGAUACCACCAAAUUUGAAUUAGACUUAGAGAUGAGUGGAAAACAACUUUUAAAAUGAAGGAAGGGUUGUAUAAGUGGCUCAUGAUGCCAUUCAGGUUAACCAAUGCACAUAGUACCUUUAUGCAAUUGAUGAAUUAGGUAAUAAAACCUUUUAUUGAAAAAUUUGUCGUAGUUUAUUUUGAUGAUAUCUUGAUUUAUAGUCGAUCAGAAGGGGAACAUCUUUUGCAUUUGCUUGAGGUAUUAACAGUCUUGUAGGAACAUAAGCUGUAUGUGAACUUGAAAAAGUGCAAUUUUAUGACAAAUAAGCUAUUAUUCUUAGGUUAUGUAGUUAGUGCAGAUGGAAUUUAAAUGGAUGAGUAGUAAAUUCGAGCUAUUAGAGAAUGGCCUACCCUAAAAACAAUAAAAUAAGUAAGAAGUUUUCAUGGGUUGGCAACAUUCUAUAAGGGUUGAUAAAAAAUUUCAGUAGUAUUAUAGCGCCUAUUACAGAGUGCUUGAAGAACGAGAAGUUUUAGUGGAGUGAAAAAGUUGUAACCAGUUUUGCUGUGCUAAAAAAAAAGCUAUGUACCCCUCAUGUUUUAGUAUUGCCAGAUUUUGAUACAUUAUUUGAAGUUAAAUGUGAUGUUAGUGGUAUGGGGAUAAGAGUUGUUCUUUCACAAAAAGAGAAACCAAUAGCUUACUUCAAUGACAAGUUCAGUGAUGCGAGGCAUAAGUGGACCAUGUAUGACAAAGAAUUUUAUUAUAUUGUGCGUGUUUUAAAGAAUUGGGAGCAUUACUUGGUCAGGCAAGAAUUUGUUCUGUACUGAAAUCAUGAGGUAUUUAGGUACUUGAAUAGCCAAAAACGGAUUACUAAAGACUUGUAGGCCAAGUGGUCUCAAUUUUUGAAAAAGUUUCCUUUCAAGUUGAGAAAUAAGGAUGGAGUAUAGAAUAAAGUAGUAGAUGCAUUAAGUAGAUGUGCAGAUUUACUAGUGACAAUGAGACAAGAAGUUAUGGGUUUUGAUACAAUUAAUGAAUUAUAUCAUACAAAUGGGGAUUUUCAUGAUACAUGCGAGAAGUGUAUCACAAAUCAACCUGUUGAGGAUUUUUACAUUCAUGAUGGUUUUCUAAUAUGAGGCAACUAGCUUUACAUUGCUAGAUCUUUAUUGAGAGAAAAGUUGAUUAGAGACUUGCAUAGUGGAGGUCUUGCUAGUCAUUUAGGCUAUGAUAAGACGAUUUCUGUUGUUGGAGAAAGAUAUUGUUUGCCACAUUUGAGAAAGGUUGUAACGAGAUUUGUGCAGUGAUGUUGCAUAUGCCAAACCAUAAAAGGACAGUUUGAAAAUACUGGUUUGUACAUGCUUUUACUUGUUCCAAAAAAUAUUUGGUAGAAUUUACCCAUGGAUUUUAUGCUUAGAUUGCCUCGACCACAAAGGGGCAUGGAUUUUGUUUUUGUUGUUGUUGACAUGUUUUCUAAAGUGACGUAAUAUAUUCUUAACAAAAAGACUUCAAAUGAAAGUAGAACAGCCAAACUGUUUUUCAAGGAUGUUGUUCGUUUGCAUGGUGUGACUAAAACCAUCACUUUAGAUCAAGACAACAAGUUUCUUGACCAUUUUUGGAGGACUUUGUGGAAGAUGUUUGAUUCAUCCUUGAAUUACAAUAGCACAUCUCAUCGACAACUUGAUGGCUCAACUAAAUCAGUGAACAGAACCCUUGGCAAUUUGAUUCGUAGUAUUUGUGGAUAUAGACCAAAGUAGUAAGAGUUUGCAUUGGCGCAAGCAAAGUUUGCUAAUAAUAGUGUUAUUCAUAAUGUCACUAGAAAAUGCCAUUUUUUACUGUGUACACAAAGUUGUCACAACAUGUUCUUGACUUGAUUAAGCUACCUAAAGUUACUAAAUUUAGUGCAACUGCUGAAAAUAUUGUUAAGCUAGAUGCUCAAGUAGAGGUGAAACUGAAUUAGAGCAACCUAAUGCUAAGUAUAAGAGAGCUACAAACCAACAUCGCAGAAAGCAAAUUUUUAGAGUAGAAGAUCAAGUGAUGGCGUUUUUGUGAAAAGAAAGGUUUUUAGUGGGAACUUAUAGUAAGUUACAACUUAAGAAGUAUGGGCCAUACCAGAUUUUGAAAAUGAUCAAUGACAAUGCAUAUGUUGUAGAUCUGCCAAAUACAAUGGGAAUUUUCAAAACAUUUAAUGUGGCAGAUAUUUACUCAUUUCAUUCAUCAGAUGAACCUUUGUAUCCAGAUUUACAAGUUAACUCGAGAUUGAGUUUUUCUCAAGUGGAGGGGGCUAACGUAGAACUUCUAGUAGAUGACUUCUUGGGGUGGGCUAGGCAGUUUUGAGGUUGUUCAAUGAUACAAUUAGGGUUUUUAUAAUUUUAGUAUUUUCCUUAUUUAGUUAGGAGUCCUAUUAGCAAUUAUAGGUAUAAUAGAAUUUCUCUUUUAUUUUAAUUUGCUUGGACGACAAAUAAACAUAGGUUUAGGAAUUUACUUUUGUUGUACUCCAAGGAAGUCCAGGGUAGAAUACUUUCUUAUUUAAAUUUGCUUUACUUGCACUCUAAAUUUAGGUCAAGUAAGGUUAGGCUAUUAUAAAUAGCACCCUUAUACUUAGUUAUUAGACAAUUAAUUUUUUCACAAUGAUUGAAUCACAUUACAGUUUUAUUUUUCCUUAAAAUUUUGAGUCUAAGUUUCUCUAUUUCAUACUUGAUUAUCAACCUUAAAGGCUUAGUCGAGUUCUAGCCUUUGUUUUCACGCUAACUCGCUGCGUCAUCCAUCUACCACCAUUAAUCACAAUCUUGUAUUAGUGUAUGUUGGUUACUUUUGAGACAUAUAGAGCUAAAAUUUAAUGUGGAUGGGUCAAUUUGUGAAAAAUCAAGUUUAGUUGGAUAUGCCAAAGUCCUUUGUGACUCUCAUUGCCAAAGUAAGGGUGGUUUCUAUGGCCUUUUAUGUAUUAAGGUUUGUAACUGUGUUGAAUUGAUGGCUAUUUAUUAUGCUUUGAAGCUUUUUCUUCCACUUCUUAGGUUGGUUCUUUUUCUCUCGUAGUUGAGUCAAACUCCAAGGUUGCAAUUUCUUGGAUUAAGGAGAGGGUUCAAAAGCUAUGGAAUGUGUGGAGAACAUUCAACCAAAUUGAUUGGCUUUAUGCAACCAUUGGUCCUAUCUUGUUUGUACAUACUUUUAGGGAAAUGAAUAACAUGGCUAACUCUCAGGUGAAAUUUAAGAUACGGAUAGAGAGGAAAUGUUAUAUGCACAGUGGUGACUAUUAUUUGGAGUAAUUGAUGUUGUUGGUUGGUAGACCAUCACAGUCUCUCGAGCCGUAUAAUGGUGCUUUGGUCUCUACUUUAUUAGUGCUUGGUUUUGGCUUGCAGGCCUCAUUAUGGUGCUCAUGUGAUUCUAUUGAAUCUGGUUUGUCCUAUUGAUUGCUUGUAUUAUCAUCCAGGUGUUGUUUUCUUAAUGUAUUAUUUGCUCACUUUAAGGAACAUGUACUAGCAUGCAACCGUAAUGGCCUUAUUCAAAAAGAGCUGCUUUUUUUGCUCCACUGGUCUUUUAUGACCAUUUUCCUGGUUUCUUUUAAGGCACUGUAUUGUUCUUUAGUUUCUAAUAAAAUACCAUUCUUGAUUGAGAAAAAUAAAGAUAUAACUUUUCACCAAGAUAAAUUUAUAGACCUCACUUCUUACUACUGCCAAAAUACUAACCCUUCGAUGGAUGAUAGGUUGUUAAUAAUAAAUUCAAGAGAUAAUAACUUUUUAUUCAGGGUCAAAGCAUAUUUAUCAAUAAAAAUAAAAACAACAACAAUGAAUAGAUAAAUAGACUUGAAGAGAAUCCAUUACCAAAAGCUAUUUUUCUCUCCACCAAGCAUCAUCCAUAUGUAAUGGUUCAAUCUAGCAAUAGCUUACAUGGAACCAAGACAUUGAGUAAAUGAUAUAUGAUUAGCAUAACUAUAAUUAUAUUUUGGAACUUAUCAUUCCACAAUUUGAGCUAUGUUGGAAAUAAAUGAAUCACUCUUCUUUUAUUAUACUAGGUCAACAUGGUCCAACCACGUAAAUUUUUGUGUGUGUUAGUUUUAUUUUAUUUAUUUUACCAAUUAUCGGUUCAUAUAUACCAAUCUUCAAAACCGAUUAAAACAAAGGCUAAAAAAAACAUCUCACAAGUAAUUUUCAUUCAAGAGUGGAUAGGUUAAGGGAGUCAUUACAAAAAUUUAUUAAAGAGUCGGAGAACUCAGAGAUGACUAGAUCCCUCACAAAGAACUUAAGUCUCCAUUAAUGGGUGCAGAAGUAGCUUAUGAAAUAAUAAAGUGUUAGACACCUACUUCGCCCUACUUGGGCUCUUCUAUCAUUCAAUUGUACUACACAAUAAUAAAGUUGAAUAACUAGAAAAAUUUUCUUAUAAUAAUAAUAUAUGACAAUUUAUAAAGGAACAUUUACAUUAAAAGUAAACCAAUAAACCAAUAAAUCCAAGAACAUAUCAUGAUGUCAUCUCUGCUCUUUGGUUUGUAAAUCAACGACCAUAUGGUGAGAUAGGAAGAGAUUGAGAUGGCGAUGGUGGUAAAAUUAGAAAGAACUGGAUGGUGAGAAAAGGCUGGAUAGCGAGCUAGACAGACAACAUUUAAUUUAUCUAAAGCAUUUAAUUUAUUUGAAACGGUUUGAAGGGUAUUUUUGUCAAGUUAAUGGCAAAAGUUGGCAAAAAUAGUUAACUUUAUAUUGAAGGUUAUUUUUGAAAUGGGCCUAUGAGAUGGGCUAUUUCUCAUAAUUUGCUCUAAAAGUAACUACAACCUAAGCAUGCUUAGAGGGUGACUAUGACUGACCAAGACGAUGUUGCUAAGUAAAGGUAUUUUUGAUCUAAGGAAUGUUUUGUCUGUCGACCUUUUUGGAUGUAAAUUUUAGGGGUUAGGUCGUUUUCUGGUUAUAGAAGGGGGCUAUUUUUUGUAAUUGUAUGAGUAUUAAGGGUGGUGACAACUAUUAGACAGUAAUCUUUUGUAUUCAUCCAUGGCAGCAAUUCUAGGCCAAUAGUUUCACUUAGAAACUUAUGGGCAUAUAAUCUGGUUUGCUAAAUGGAAGAUCUUCUCCCACUUCAAAUGAAAUCAUAACUUUCAUUAAAAAAAAAAAAGAAAAACAACCUAAGCAUGCUCCUAUAUGCAUUGAAUUGCUAAUAAUGCUAAACAUGCAUUUUAUACAAUGCAGAGAUCAUUAUCUAUUUAGGUUUAUGCAACAAUUUGAAUAGAUCACCCAUGGUCAAUUUUGGCUCAAGGUGAUUGAAUUGGGUAUGAAAUUAUUGUUCCAUAUCUUAUGAAGUUUUGAAAAAAUUCACAAGUAAAUUGAUGUACCUUGUGAAAGUUAUAUUUGCCAAAAAUUUAUGAUACAGUCUUAUUUUCAAAUAAUCACUAGUAAAAGCCUCAUCAUAUUAAAUAGUAAAUUUGCCAAUAUGUUCCGUAAUGGGCUCGUUAACUUUUAUUAAAAAUAAAGCAAAUUAUGAAAUUUUAAACCUUCUAGGAUAUAAGGUUUCUAAUACUUUAGGUAGCCAAUUUUGUGAACACUAGGCUUGUGUACUUCCUUCAUGAUAUCGAUUUCUAUCAACCUAAACAAGAUCAAUAUUCUACGUUGGGGAAAGCCUAUUAAUAAUAUAAGGUCUCAGUUUUGUUUUUUAAGCCCCUGAAGACUAAUAGAGUUACUCUUGGCCAUGAAUCACUCAAGGUUUUUUACUUCUAUCUUAUUUUCUUCUACCUUAGGUUGCUCGUGCUCCCUGGCAUGGUUGUUGGACAAUCUGUCAACAAAAUCCUUAAAAGUUUCCCUAAUGAUCACCAUCUCAUUUUGAAGGACAUCAAAGUUGCUUUUAAGAAAUUAUGUCAUGGUCAUCAUGCUUUCUCCUAAAUAUUUAAAGCAUUUCAUCAGUUUCUCCUAUUAAUUGUCAUUAUCUCGGCCACAAGACCUAAUGUUUGAGCCAUUAGAACUACAUGUUUAGUAAAGAAGGUUGUCAAAACUGUUAGUGAAAGAUGCUUCCAAAUCAAGUGUUUAUAAUUCUUUUCUAUUUUCUUCUUUGGUGGCAUUUCCACUUUAGUCUGACUGGACUUGCCAAAAAAUAUGUUGAUUUCUCUUUCAUUAUGAAUUCUAAUAAACAUACUAGCUUUUUUAGACAAAAAAUAGCAAAGUAUGACUUGGUGACCUCCAUCGUUCAAAGUGACAAAGCUACUAGAAAUAACUUAAGGGGCAUCUUCAAUAGAUUAGAUCAAACGAUUUUGGCCUUUACAGGAUAUCUUGACCAUGGGUUCCUUUGAAAAUUUCAUAAAGAUUAAAGUAUCAAAAUGAUCAAAAUAUGAAACUAAUAAAUAGAAAAGCAAAGCAAUAACUUUGAAAGGCAAAAAUAUAACCAAAAUAAACCAAUUGCUCAAAUGAAUGACACUUAGGAAGUCAAGAUUUAUAGCCAAUGUUAUGGGCUUCCUUAUAUUGAGUGAAUGAAUGUUCAAGGAGUUUACAAAUAACACCAAAAUGUCAUAUGUUUUUUACUAGGAAUUUACAAAAAAGAAUUGUUCUCUAAAAGCUUAAAUAAAGAUUGCUAAUGCAACUAGGAUAUUAUGAUGAAAAACAAAGGGCUUAUUUAAUUUAGCUUGAGUUUGAGUUAUGCCUUUUGUGCUGAGAUCUGUGUUUUCUGUUUUGUGGCACUUUCCUAUAUUUAAAAACAUUCUGCCAACAACAACCUCUUAUUCUUUAGCAACCAUCUACAAAAUUUUCAUGCAAAUGAGCUUCCUUACGGAAUUUUACCUUUAAACUUCCCAUAUUUUAAAUUGAUCUUUACGCUUAGUAGGUUGACUUGGUCUUUCCCAUUUUCUAGAUACCAAUUUCUACCAAGUAGAUGCUGACUAAUCUACCUUCUAGUAACAUCUUAGGAAAAAAGAAAGGAAAGUGAGGAAAAGAAAUAUAUAUAUAUAUAUAUAAAGAUAGAGCAAUAAAGAGGAAUUAGAAUAAUGUUGAAUCAGGUAAAGGAAUGUAGGAAAAUGAUAUCAUUUUUAAGUAUACUUUAAUAAGCUGUUAAAGAAUGAUGGGAUAUGGCUUUGUUAAGGUCGGGGAUGUAAGUGUGAUGCUUUUUUUUUCCUUUUUGGAUCAAGGGAAUGCAUUGUCGGCUUUAAGCGAGGGAACUGAUUAGGGAGGGAAAGUUUGGUGUGAUAUUUUAAGGUAUGAGUGUGUAUAGGUUGCAUGACCCAAUUAGGGGAAUUCAUUUUUAACUAAUAUUGCAUUGAGAUUAUUUCUUAUGUGAAACUAGAGAGAUAAGGGGGGUGGAAAAGUCAAGUCCUUUUUAAGCUUUGGUGCUACUACUUCUAAUGUAAAUAUGAGAAACUUUGUGUUAAGUAGGACAAUGCACUAAUGGGAAUUAUCGAGAGAUCGAAGUAGUGUAAGAAAAGAAAAUUCUCAAGUAGAAAGGUCUAGAAAAAAAAAGAAAAAAAAAGGAAAAAAUCAAAGAAGGAAAGCAAGAAAGAAGAAAAAGUAAUAACAUCAUCAAUACGUGUAAAAGUUUCAUUAGACAUGUGCACAUUGUCACUAAUCAUUCUUUUGUUCUUGUGUGGUUAAUGUUGUUUUGUGUAUAUUUUUGGUUUUGGUGUCUUAUGGUGGAUAGUUGUUGCAAAGGAGUAUAUGUGGUUUUUUUAAGGGUUGAAAAGGGAGGAAUUUCAUAGGAAGGCACGAAGCUCUACGUUGAGGAGGAUGGGAGUGUACAUGGCGGGGUGUAAGGAUUCUGAAAGUAAAGAAUAUUGAGGAUUGCUUCAUAGGGAUGAGGGAGAUGUUUUGAAAUUUAUGAAUAAGGGGGUAUUGAUAACUCUAUGAUAUAGAGUUAUUUGGGCUUAAUUUUGAUAAUAAUUUAGCUUAGUUUUUGUAGUAAUGCAUAGAAAUUAGUAGAUUUUAUUUAAUUAUUUUAAAUUAUUUAUUUUAGGUAAGUCAAUAUAAUAUUAGUUAAUUUUAUGCUUAAUUUUGUGUUAUUCUUAUUAAGAUAGGUUGUUAUUGAUUUAUUUGUGCUUUUGUAGGUGUUUGAUGAAAGAAAAAUUUUAAUGGAAGAAGGAGAGCAAUGUCAAGAUGCAGACUACUAAUGCACAUAUUUCAAUAUUUUGGCCAUAACUCUCUCUAUAGAGCUCUCAAUGAAGCGAUUCUUGAACCAUUGGAAAGAAAAGAGAAAAAGCUACAAUUUCAUGUUCAAUACUUCACCCAGUUCGGCUUGAAAAAUGGUCAAAUAUAUUGUUGAAGUUGACAUAUUGUAGCAGUCUUGGAGCAAUUACGAUUUCUGUUAAUUAAUUAGGCAAGGCUGUAACUCACAUAGUUUGAUGAGGAAAUCCUAGCUGAAAUUGACUUCUUUCUUCACCCAACUUGGCCUAACUUCAAAGCCUAUAAAAAUAACCUUUCAUAGGAGAAAAUGGGAGAAUGAAGAAAAACACCAAAUUGACAUCUGAGAGUCAAGCCACGGAGUCAUUAAAGCUAAGAAGAAUUUACAGGAUUCAAGGAAAUUUGGAGAUCAAGAAUACAAUUCUUGAGUUUUUUUUUAUAUUGUCUUUUAUUCUCUUAUUUUCUUGAUUUUGUUUUUAAUGUUUAGAGUUUAUUCGAUGAUGAUGUGUGACUUGAUGAGGAACUAAUUUAUUAAUCUAAGAUUAUGAUUGAACUCAUUAUGUAGUUUAAAUUAUUUAUAUAUCUUUUACUUAUGUUUGAUGGAUUUAAGUUGUUUAUUUUAUUCUGUUCUUAAUGCUUCUAGUUGAUUGGCCACUAAUUAAAUUGAAUUGGAAACCUAGGUUAAACCUUGACGAAGGAGAUUUUGGUAAACCUUGAAUAGAAUAGCGUAUGAUCAAAUACACUUAGUUGAUUAGGUAGCUUGAUUUGCAUAUAGAGUAGACAUACACUUAUAAGCCAUAGAGCACAAACUUACUGAAUCUUUCUUUAAUAUAAUUUGCAUAGACAUAUUGUAAAUUAAUUGGGAGAGGUAUUUUUAUAAGAAACUCGACAGAGACUUGUAAAUAAUUUAGGACUCUAGAUUAACAACUUAAUCCAUUAAACUGAGUUAAGAGAAAGAGAAAAUAAUCAGAUGAAGUAUUGAGGGAUAUCAUAAUCUUAGGUCUGGUAAUCACUCAAAUUUAAUAAAGUAAAUUUGCAUUGAUUUUAGAUUAGUUUUAGUUUUAGUUAUUUGUUUAUUAGUUUCAAAUCUUUGUUUUUAAUUGUUUAGAUAAAAUUAGGGUAUGUUAAUUUUAGUAGUUAGUGGUAAAGAUUAAUUCAAUUCUCUGCGGGAUCGACACUCUAUUCAUCUCUAUAUUAUCUUUGCGAUACGUACACUUGCGUGAGUAGAAAAUUGAACAACAUGUAUUCAGUUUGUAAAGAGAUUUAAGGCCAAGUUGAGGAGUGUGAAGACUAGCUUUUUAGGAUCAUUGUUUCUGGUUUGCUUUUCUUUGAAAGCUUGACAAGGAUGUGAUCAGUGGGUUAGGUUGUUGGUGGCUAUUGAGUAUUAGGUUGACUAGAAUUCUAAAUCUUAUUUAACUAGGAUUCUUAUUUGUGUACAACAUUGAAUAGUUAUAUGGUUUUAAAGUUCUUGUUCCACAUCAAGUCAUAAUCCCAUUCUACUUCAAAGUUUAUAUUAUAAAAGUCGAUCUCUAGGCUUUGGAAGAGUAAGUAAUGCUUUGGGAGCUCUAGAGAAGAAUACCUUGUAACUUUGUCUUUUGCUUUAGGUGAAGUUAGAGUGGUUUAGGUGAGUACUCUUGGGAAGUUAUUGAGAGAAGGUGUGCAAAGGAUCUUGGGUUGGUUUGGAGAACCAUAGAGGUCAGUUUAUUGCACUUUAAUUUCUCAAUAAUAGAAGAACGGUUUCACUCUUUGGAUGUAGGUAAGAGCAAACCACAUAAAUUCUUGUAUUUUUCUAUUUGCUUGAUUUCUCUAGGUUUUAUCUUUGUUGUUUCUUGGGUGAUUUUCAUAAUAAAUUGGUAUCAGUGUUUCGAGUUCAAUAAAUCAAGAUUCAUCAAGAAUGUUGAAAAUUACUAGUUCUACAAAUUUUAGGGUUAUUGCCUUUUAGAUUAGCUUUUUAGGAUUGUUGCUUCUAGUUUGUUUUUCUUUGAAGGUUUGACAAGGAUGUGAUCAUUGGAUUAGGUUGUUGAUGGUUGUUGAGUUUUAGGUUGACUAGGAUUCUUGUUUGUGUACAAAUUUGAAUAGUUAUAUGGUUUUAAAGUUCUUGUUCCACAUUAAGUCUUAAUCCCAUUCUACUUUGAACUUUUAUAUUAUAAAAGUCGAUCUCUAGGCUUUGGAGGAGUGAGUAAUGCUUGAAAGCUCUACAGAAAAAUACCUUGUAACUCUGUAUUUUGCUUUAGGUGAAGCUAGAGUGAUUUGGAUAAGUGUUUUUAAGAGGUUAUUGAGAAAAGGUGUGCAAGGGAUCUUGGGUUGGUUUGAGAAACCAUAAAAUUCAAUUUAUUGUACUUUAAUUUUUCAAUAAUAAAAGAAGGAUUUCACUUAGUGGAUGUAGGUAAGACACGUGAAUUCUCGUGCUUUUCUAUUUUUUUGAUUUCUCUGGGUUUUAUCUUUGUUGUUUCCUAGGUGAUUUUCAUAACAAACUAGUAUAAGAAUUUUGGGUUCAGUAAAUCAAGAUUUAACAAGAAUGUUGAAAGUUACUAGUUAUACAAAUUUUAGGGUAAUUGCACUUUAGGAUUGUUGCUUCUGGUUUGCUUUUCUUUGAAGGCUAGACAAGGAUGUGAUCAUUGGGUUAGGUUGUUAGCGGCUGUUAAGUUUUAGGUUGACUAGAAUUCUAAAUCUUAUUUGACUAGGACUCUUGUUUGUGUACAACAUUGAAUAGUUAUAUGGUUUUAAAGUUCUUGUUCCACAUCAAGUCCUAAUCCGAUUCUAUUUUGGACUUUUAUAUUAUAAAAGUCGAUUUAUAGGCUUUGGAAGAGUGAAUAAUGCUUUAGAAGCUCUAGAGAAAAAUACCUUGUAACUUUGUCUUUUGCUUUAGGUGAAGCUAAAGUAGUUUGGGUGAGUGUUCUUGGGAGGUUAUCGAAAACGAGUGUGCAAGGGAUCUUGGGUUGGUUUGGGAAACCAUAAAGGUCAAUUUAUUGUACUUCAAUUUUCCAAUAAUAUAAGAACGGUUCACUCCGUAAAUGUAGGUAAGAGGCCCAACCAUGUAAAUUCUUGUGUUUUUCUAUUUGCUUGAUUUCUUUAGGUUUCUUGGGUGAUUUUUAGAACAAACUGGUAUUAGAGUUUCGGGUUCAGUGAAUCAAGAUUCAAUAAGAAUGUUGAAAGUUACUAGUUCUACAAAAUUUUUAAUUGAAAAGUUUGGUGGGAAGACUAGUUUCACGUAAUGGCAAAUAAGGAUGAAAGAACUUUUUGUGCAGCCAGGUUUGAUGAGCCCUUUGCUAAGAAACAAGAAAGGGCAACCAGAUGACAUGAAGGAUGUUGAAUAGGCAGAGUUGGAGCAAAGGUGUGUGAGCACUAUUUGGCUUUGCAUUGGAGAUAGCAUGUUUAACCAUGUUAUUGGUGAGGAUUUUGCUCCAAGGUUGUUAGCAAAGUUGGAGAAAAUUUACUUGGCAAAAGUCUUUUCAACAAGUUGCAGCUUAGAUGAAAGUUGUACUGCUUAAAGAUGGAGGAGAAUGGAGACCUCAUGAAGCAUAUGAACGAAUUCGACAGGAUCAUUGAUUAGUUGAAGAACGUUAACAUGAGAGAGGAGGAAGGGAAAAGACAUUGUUGUUCUUUACAUUCCUUCCAGACUUUAAUGAUGUAUUUGUGGAAUCCCUGAUUUAUGGGAUAAAUACAAUAAUUUUAGAGCAAGAAUAAACAAUGUUAAUGUCUCAUGAAGCUUGAAAGACAAGUAAGGAAGGGGAUAGAGAUUCAACUAGCUUGGCAUUGGUAAUUAAGGUUCGUAAAAGGAAGUCAACUAGCUUGGGAUCUAAGGGUGGCAAGUCUAGAUCUAGCAGUGUUUAGUGCUUUCAAUGCAAAGGGUAUGGACAUAUUAAAAUGGAUUGUCCUACAAAAAAGGAUGAAAGUAAUUAAAACAAAAGUGAGUGUGCUUUUGUUGUUGAUGGUGAUGAUGAUGAUUAUGAUGUCCUCGCAGUCUCAAAAAAUAUGGAUGCAAAUUCUGGUUGGUAUUUAAAUUCUGCUUUUAUCAUUAACAUUUGCAAUCAAAAGGAUUAUUUUGAUUUACUUUAAAAAGAAGUGGUCAAGAAUUUGACUUUAGGUGAUAAGUCAAUAGUGAAGGUCAUGGGUCUUAUAGUGGUGAAAAUCAAAAUGUUUGAUAGGGUUGUACGCUCUUUGGGUGGUGUGGUUUGUGUCCUAAAGAUGUGUAAGAAUCUAAUAUCAUUGAGCCUAUUAGACUCCAAAUGGUUUGAAUAUUCUACUUGUGAUAAAGUGAUAAAAGUCAUAUAAGGCGACAUGGUCCUGAUGAGGGGGAAUUUGCAUAAUGGUUUGUAUCGUCCAGAAUGGGAAGCCUCGAAGGGAUGAGAAUAGUGCACAAGAGUUGGUAGUUACCAAAGUGAGAUUUAAUUUUAGAGGAGCUAAUGACAAGUUCCCAUGGUGUAGACGAUGGUGAAAGGAUAAAAAAAUCUUACUAGUGUUUAAUUGGAAAGGUUGUGAAGGUAUCUUUUCGAAGUCAAUUAGUGCCAUUGACUUGACAGCUACACAAGUGCAUUGGUCGUUUGUUGAAUCAAGUGUUGAAUCAUGUUUAAUUCAUUAUGUUUAGUCAUGGUAAUUUUGAAGGCCAAUGGUUUGGAAAGUCUUGUGCUUGGUUGAAGGUGUUGGAAAGUAUGUGGAGUUAUGAAGCUACAAUUGGGUGUGAUUGGUGGAAGAGGUUUAAGGAGUUUGAAUUCAAGUUAAAGGUGGAGAUUUGUUGAGUUUUAGGUUGACUAGAAUUCUAAAGCUUAUUUGACUAGAAUUUUUGUUCGUGUUCAACAUUGAAUAGUUGUAUGGUUUUAAACUUUUGGUUCUACAUCGAGUACUAAUCUCAUUCUACUUUGGACUUUUAGAUUAUAAAAGUAGAUCUCUAGGCUUUGGAAGAGUGAGUAGUGCUUUGGUAGCUCUUGAGAGGAAUACCUUGUGACUCUAUCAUUUACUCUAAGUAGAGCUAGAGUGGUUUGGGUGUGUGUUUUUAGGAGGCUAUUGAGAGAGGGUGUGCAAGGUAUCUUGGAAUGAUUUGGGGAACUAUAAAGGUGAGUUUAUUACACUUUAAUUUCUCAAUAUUGGAAGAACAGUUUCACUUCGUAGACGUAGCUAAGAGGUCAAACCACGUAAAUUUUUGUAUUUUUGUAUGUAUUUAAUUUCUUUGAGUUUUAUCUUUAUUGUUUCUUGGGUGAUUUUCAUAACAAUGGCUAAGCAGUUGGGGUGGAUUGGUUUUGCAAGUUAUGUGUGAUCAUAUCCUGUUGUAGUGGGAUUCUUCAUGGAUGGUAGCUGACCAGACGAGGCCAUAGUUGUUUUCUCGAAUUGUUGGCCCGAGUUUAAUUUUGCAAGCAUGGGAAGUUCCUGUUAUGAUGGGAUUGAUAGGUCUUAUGGUUUUUUUGAGGUCAAUCUCAUUGUGUUCAUGUUGUGUAGUAUAGGAAUUAAGUAAACUUUGCCUUUGAGAUAGUAUUUUAGCCAAAACCUUCUUUUGUACAGGAGGCUUUCUUUCUCUAUCUGUGCACCCAAUUGCCUUUUGAGCAGUUCGAUCUUUUUGUAAGUGUACAAGGUUAUACUCCGUCCAAAACUAGAUUUUUAUGUCAAGAGAAGUCUUUUAUCAUUUUGGUUCAAGAUUUAUUAUAGCAUUCUAGCUUUUAGUUUAAUAAUAAAAAUCAAUUUUCAAAAAAAGAUGCUGACAAAUCUCCAAUUGGAUGCUAACAUGUAUGUCUACUCAAAGUCCUAGACUCUAGGGCUGUUACAAAUCUUUUCUGCCGCAAGUCGAAAUCCCAUUGGUUCAAUCAAAAUAUGAUGUUAACAUGUACAUAUAUAAAUGUACAUAUCUAUAUAAGUUGCCCUUCUUUAUAGACUUGUUGGUAUAUAUAAGUUUUAAAUAACGUUGAUUUCUACGAUAAAAAUAUGAAUUAUACUUUUAUCAGAAUAAAAAAAAUAGAAAAAGAGUCGGUCAUCUCUAGAGACAUCUAGGUAAUUCUCAAAGGUUAUUUUCGUUAAUACAGUGAGGGUUGGGCUUGGCGUUUAGGUCCCCUCAAUGUUCAACUGUUAAUCCCCCACGAAUAUAAGAUACAAAGCCUUACACGAAGAUUUGAUUUUUAUUUUUUUAGUUAUCGAAUUGAGUAGGGAUUGCUUGAAUCGAAAGGGACUGAUAUAUAUAUAUAUAUAUCUUUAUAUAAUAAAAAGAGUAAUAAAGCCUUACAACUAGCAAAAGGUGCAAUGCUUUUAUACCCUCAUCACCAAUUUAUGCAUUAUGCCACUUGGUUGACUUUAGUAUUUAAAUAAUUUUGCAUAUGCCGCUUCUUGUACCGUAAACAAUUUUUAUAGCUCAAUUUGUUCGUUGCCCACUUAUGAAUACUUGUUGAGACAACAUUAAUUCUAUUCAAGCUUUCAUAUUUCAUUGGUUCAUCUGUUUGGGCACAAUACUUAACAUAAGGUCAAGAUAUUGUGUAGUCAUUUUCAACAAUCUCCAAAUCGUAAAACAACGCAAUUCCCUCUGCAUUUUUAGUGCUCGCCCAUAUAAAAGGAGCGAUGCCCCUCCCACUCAUUUUUCUUUUGUUGAACCAAAACAAUUUCUUAAAUUAUCUUCUUACUUCUUAGACACCAACCUCGAUCGUUAUCUCAGUUGAUAAAAGAUGACAAAUUUUUUGUAUCACCUAAAAAUCUAUAAUUUUAUUAAAAAAAUAAUUCUUAAAAAAUAUUUAUAAAUUAUUUAAAAAAAUUCAAGUAAUUUUUUUUUAUUAUAUUCAAUUAAGCUUUUAUUUUUUUAAUCAAUGAAUAACAUCAUUAAUCAAAAUGACACUUGUCAUUUUAUAUCAUAUGGUGUUAACGUGGCAUGUUAACAUGUCAUAGUAGAUAGUGGCGUUGCAUGAACACAUGGUCACAUGAUAUUUUCAUUCUCUACGUCAACACCACAUUAAUAACACAUGUAUAUAAAAUGACAAGUGAACAUUUUGAUUAAUAAUAGUUAGUCAAUUGUUAGACAUAAUAACCUAUUUGACCUAAAAUAAAUGUAUAAGAACUUGAUUGAAAGUAAUAGUAUAACAAGAUCUUAAUUGAAUUUUUUUUUGAAUAAUUCAAACUUGUAUUUNAAGUGACUAUUUGAUUAAUAAUAGUUAGUCAAUUGUUAGACAUAAUAACCUAUUUGACCUAAAAUAAAUGUAUAAGAACUUGAUUGAAAGUAAUAGUAUAACAAGAUCUUAAUUGAAUUUUUUUUUGAAUAAUUCAAGAAUUUUUUAAACUAUUCUGCCAAAAAAAGAGAGAGUGUCCCAUAUGCCAAAACCCUCAUCACCAGAUGUUUGAAAGGCGAAAAGUAAAUGUAGUAGUUACUAAUUUGCAAUAUAAUUUUUCUUUAGUAAAAAGUAGAAUAUAAAUUGCAGAUUUUAGUCAAUUUUGGUUAACUGUGCAACAAAAAAUUUGCUUUAAAUUCAGUUGUCAUAAAUUUGUGAUAGUUUUCCGUCGCCAAUUCAUUAUAGAUUUGUUGGUUAUUUGUCCCAAAUCCAUAUGAAAUUUUCCAUUGCUUCAAUUAAUUGCAAACUUCUGUGACAAAUCAUAUUAUUUUUAAUAUUAAUUUGUAUUUUUUGUUAAAGCAUUUUUGUCCUUCAAUUUUCAAUAAAAUAAAAAACCACGCUUGUCCUUUUUUUAAAAUUGCAACUACAAAUUUACUUCUCUUUCUCUCUCUCUCACACACACACACACACAUAUAUAUAUAGAAUGGAUCUUUUUUUUGCUUAAAACAUAUUUAAGAUUUGAAAUUAAUAAAAAGGUACUAACAACAAAUUAUGUAAACAAAAUAUAUUAUUUCUUCAAAAUAAACAUUAUAAUUUGUCUGAACAAAAACAUAAGCAUAUCAUAUUGGUAAUAUAAAAGGACAAAUAAGUCUCCAGAUCUAUAUUCACAUUAUUAUUUCACAUCAAUUAAAUAUUUAUCGUAACGAUUUAUAUGUAUUAUAUAAUUAAUUGUUAUUUUAAUUUUUUUAAUGUACAUAUUAUUAAUAGUUAGGAAAUAAUUAUACAUUUGUAGUUUAUUGCAUAUAACUAUGAAUGUUAUUCAUUACUUGUAUUGAUCUUAUCAUUCUUUAUUUUAUUUAAUAAAUUUUAAUAUUAUUCUUGCAAUACUUUUAUCUUACUUAUCCUUCAAUUCCAUCUUCUGUUUUUUUCUUCUUUAUUUUUUUUUAACUUUUGUUAGUGGCUAAAAUGGAGACGAGCCACUUUUAUUAAAGCCCAAAUAUAUUAAAGCUUAGCCCAGCAAUAUUUCUUUAUAUCAUCCGGAUAGCAAACCUUUUAUUAGACCUAAAAUCCUCACCGACCACAUUAAAAAGAGUGGAAAGCAAUAACUCAGCAAUCAAAACACUAAAACCUAGUCAAAUAGCCCAACAAUCCUAACUUUAGGAUUAUUACAAUUAGCGGUAAAACCCCUAUUAAAUACCAACAAUGACAUUCGCACUAGCCAUAACAUUUGGCAACUGAUUAUUAUCACAACCUAAGACCUGGCCUCACAAAUCAUGGCUUCAUAAAGGUCCCAUAAUAUUACUUCGUAAUGAUAUGGAAAGAAGUAUCAUAUUCAACUCUCUAGCCACAAAAGCAAUAGCAAGGUAACUCCAACAUUGCAAACCUGUUACGACCCAAAUCCGGUCCAUGAUCAAUGCAAGAGUCCAUGUGGAUAUGACCUAUCAGAUCCAAGCAAAUCUUGCAAAUUGAUCAUCAACAUCAUGAACCAUUCACAAUGUCACGACCCAAAUUUCAGGCCAUGACCGGCGCAUGGGCCCAAUGGAUGUAAUCCAUUAAGCCCAAGCAAGCCUAUUAAUCUGACAUGUUUAUCAUUCCAUCAUAAACUACUAAGUUGCAUUUCAUAACUUAGACUCAAAAUAAUACUACACAUUGCCAUCUCAUACUGGCAUACCAAACAAGUGUAUAUACAUUGUCUACAACAUCUAUCUUGGUAAUUUACAUUAGGUUCGUCUAUAUACACAAAAUAAUACUCGACUUUCAACGGAGGGACUCUGACGAAUGUACAGCUACUCAAUGCCAAGACACCUACCAAAAGAUGGAUAUAAGUCUACAAGGACACCUCGUCCUAGUUACCGAUUGCCUCGUGAUCUGAAAACAUGAAGUUGAAAACGGUGAGUAUAAACUCAGUGAGUGAACAAGGAAGGGAACAAGCAAUAACAAUGGAGAAUUUAAAAUCAUGAUGUACUUGUUUUAAAACAAUGCAAUUUAAUUUCAUUCAUAUUGAAAACCCUUCAUUUAAACCCUUAUAUGAUUAAUCAAUUAGUAAUGAGGAACCCAUACAUAACAAAUAAUUUUAAAAAAUGAAGGCUCCAGUGAUACACCAACAAGACAAAUGCGAAGACGAAUCUUCGUUGCAGCGAGAAUGAAUUUUCGCUGCAACAACGUUGGAAUUAAGUUAUUAGUCGAACGUGGGUUUCUCAACUGGUCGAGAGUUUCUCACUAAACCUCCUCAUUUUAAACUUAACUCAUUUAGUCCUUAAUGUUGAAAGUCUAUGCUCAGAUAUGGUAGCAACGAAGUUAAAAAUAGGGCAGCAAUUGGACAAGAUAGGAGACAAAAACAGAAGGUUUUUCGCUGCAGCGAAAUUGUAACUCGGAAACAGAAUGUUUCUCGCUGCAGUGAAAUUCAACUGAUGAAACAAAGAGUUUCUUGCUACAGCGGGAUUCCUUUUCGCUACAGCGAGAAGCUACAAUGACUAUCUCGCUGCAGCGAGAUUCAUUUUCACUACAGCGAGAACUAGUUCUAGUGAAAGGUCCUCAAACUCGAGAGUUUCUCGCUGUAGUGAGAAUGAAUUUCGUUGCAGCGAGAACAGAGCAACAAAAGAAAAGCUUCCCCUCACUCAACAAAAAGGCCAUCCUGCUAAACCAACAAAAUCAACAUACAACACAUGAAAAUUCCCAAAGUGCAAUGUAUCAAAUUUCUCAUAUAUGUCAAUCAUAUAUCACAUUCAUAAUCUUUCAUUUCAUAAGUCUAGAUAGGCAUAAUUACAUAGAUAAACAUCAACAUCAUCAUAAUCACACCCGGCUCAUGUACAUCCCCCCAGAUCGUGCACAUAGCCGGCACCAUCGUGUGCAUCCCCCCACAUCGUGCACAAUCAGUGCCAUCGUGUACAUCCCCCCACAUCGUGCACACGGGCACUAUCAUCAUCCAUCUCUCCCGCCACCAUCAUCACCGGCAUGUGCAUUCCCCCCCACAUCGUGCACAUACACGAUUACAGACAUUAUAUACAAUAUCAAUCAUCAUGCACACACACAUAUAUAUAAACUAUCAUAAUGUCAUAGUGCACGAAUCCAUAGCAAUCGCAUAUCACAAUAUAAAACCAUUUAGCAAAAACUUGUUCCCAAGGCACUUGUUUUAUGAAAACUUGAUAAUUCAUUCGAAUGGGUGGCAAAUACAUUAUAUUUCCCAAACAAGCUUUGAAGGCAGUCCACUCACCGAUUUAUUAUUGAGCCUUUAGUUGACUCUUCCCCUAAUUGUCCAUAUGGGAUGAUGGGGCUUCCUUGAAACCUACCAUCACAUUAACAUCACCAUUAUGUUAAUUCACAUACUAUAAACCCUAAAAGCUAUCUCUUAGCUAGCCUUCAAUUGCCACUUUAAAUGGUUAUCUAUGUUCACUAUCUAAAUCACUAUAAAAUGAAUGAACAUCCUCAACAAUAAAAUAGCUCAUAAUCUAAAUUUCUAGCCAUUAUCCACAGCUAAAAACCAAGCUUAGUGCAUCACUUACCCUAGGGUUCCUUUGUAGUUGAAUUCCCUUCCAAUAGCUUCCAAAUCAAUGGGGUAAUUCUCUCUUUCUCUCUCUAGAAUGCCCAACUAGUGAGAGAAAGUAUGGAAAUAAGAUUUAUCAAGGGUUUUGAAGUGAGAGAGUUAAAGAAUUCAAGGGUUCUAGUCAAAAGGGCUCAAAAGUAUGAAAACUAGGGCUAGAGAGAGAAAAUCAUGCAAGCUCCAUAUCAAGCUUCCAUGGAGGUUUUGAAGAAACGUGACAGGGAAGAAGGGAAGAAGAAGACAAGCUGUUGGAAAUUCAAGAAGCUGCUGGAAAUUCAAGAUAUUUAUAGGCCAAACUUAUCCAUUCCCUUAAAAUUACGAAAAUGCCCUUGACUAGUUAACUUGUUCUCAUGCAACUCUUUGUGCAAUCUUUUUACUCUUUUAACACUGAGACCAAGUUCAUAAUGGUCUAGACAUGUUCGGGUUUGCGAAACUUUUAAAAGUUUUGACUUGGGUGCAAAAUGACCAUUUUGCCCUAUUGUGAAAAUUAUUGUCAUUUCUAGUUUUCUUCAUGUUUUCAUCAGUACACAUCAUUUAUACAGUCUUAUGCUUAUUUAAACCUUAAAAUAUCAUAAAACUUUCUUCUAAGAGCUUAUUAGAGAAAAUGACGAAACUAUCCCUAGCUUAUAUUAUUACAUCUAUGCGUAGUUACAAACCUAUAGAGGUUGGGGUUUCACACAUAAUAUACUAGAUAAUAUCAACCAAUAAAUUACACCAUAGAUAUGUACAAAUCAUUUUCAUCAAAGUCUCACGUGGACAUUCUACAAACAUUUUCAUGUACUUGUACUUGUAUCAAACCAAAUAUUACUAUCUUGUAAGACAAAUUGGCAAAAGUGUGUAUAUAUAUAUAUUCACAUAAAAUCAAAUUUAUUACAUCUCAAAUAGUUCAUGCCGUAUACUAGCCUAAGUUAAAGUACUCAAAAUAUGUAAAGGAAAACAAACAAACUGACUCUACCAACAGAAUAAACUCAAAAAGGCUAAGGUCAAAGUAAUGUCAUAAACCUACCAGUGAAAUGAACAGAUAUCACACCAAGUGUGCUAAUCCAAACGAGUUAAGGAUCCAAAAACCUAAAACAUGAAUUUGAAAACAUGAGUAUAAAACUUAGAAAGCUAGGAAGAGGGGAACAAGCUACACCACAGAAGAGUAUUUUGAAAUAUCGUGACUUUAUUUGAGACUGUGCAUUUUAUCCUAAACAAAAUCGGAUACAUAUGCAAGUAAAAUCAAUGUUGAACAACAAAGUAUUCAACUUAGAUACAUUUUCAGUUAAAUAACGUCAAACAACAUUAAGUCACAAUAUCAUUCAUUUAGCCAAAUAUCAAGAACAUAACCCUUUAUCAACUUAUCAUUUGAUCAUCUUAGCCUUAUGAAGACCAUUUUAUAAGAACUAAGUCCAAUCAAGAGUAAACCAACCCAUGGAGUAGUGCCAAACCCCCACUGCCUAAGGUCUUGCUCAUCUAAAGCACAUAAUCACUAACAUCAUAAUCAUAUGAAUAUUAAGGGUCAUCCAGGACCUUAUCCAACAUGUGUCCCAAUCUAUCAACACAUGACUAGCGCCAUACUCCCAGCUAGCUAGGAGAUUCAACAUUGUGCACAAUGACUAGUGCAUACUGUCACUAAAAACAAGUCCUAAAUCAAGUGGCCACACUAAAAUUAUCAAAUUACAAAUCAUUGGGUGAAUGUAUUCACCAAUUCUCAUUUAACAUAUCUAGACGAGUAGCCAUACCACGUCACCCAACCGAGCUCAUUAUCCAUAUGGUGAUCCUUACCUAGGAUGCCUUUAAGAUUCAUCAACCAUGAUACAAUUUAUUCCACAAGGCAUGUAUAUGUAUGCAUAUCUUUCUAGCAAAUCUUUAUCACGCAACACAAUUUACUCAAGUUUAGACAAUAUGAUCAAAUAUCAUGUUUCUCCAACAUCAUACAAACUCACAACAUUAUAUAUAUUCAACUGAUGGUUAACAUGACUAGCAGCACAUCUCAUCAUACAAGAUCAAUAAACAUUAUUUUCUAACAAUCAUUAUCACAUGCAAUGGCUGUCCAAUUCUAAAUGACCUACUCAACAUCAUAUUUUUCUUGACAUUAUAAGUAUUUACAACUUUAUAUUCUAUUCAUAAUCAAUGCGUCCAGCAGCAUAGUUCAUCCAAAUUGCUCAUGGAUGGUCAACAAAGCAUAUUCCCUAUUAAUUUUUAUCACAUACAAUACUUUGCUUAAUUCUAGUCUACAUAGUCAAACAUUAUUAUUCCUCAACAUCAUGCCUAUCCACAACAAUAUUUUUAGGUCAAGUUGAAUAUGACCAGUAUCACAUUUUGUUUCAUUGAAUCAUCAAACAAGGCAUGUUUUCAAAUGAACGCUUAGUCUCAUGCAUUUACAUACUAGGAUAAGUAUUUACAUAUAAUAGCAUAUAUUACAGAGCUUUUGAAAACACACUUCAACACAACCAUUUUUCAACAAGUGAGACUCACAAAUACACAUUCAUAACCAGAAAACAUCAACUUUCAACGAACAUUUGAAAUCCCACAUGUUUAUGCACAUUUUGUAUUAAACUAGUUUUGAUGCAAUUAUGAAACCUCAAAUUUUCUGUAAUGAUUUAGAGUUUAAAUGAGUUAUGUGGAUGAUGGUGCUUUAUGAUAAAUUUGGAUGUUGGAUGAAUUUUUCCCAACUUUAUUCACAAGAAUUUCUCCUUCUGAUAUUGUUAUAAUGAUGAGAUAUUGAUGUAUAAAUAGAUGAUUGGAAGUGAAGGCCAAAGAAGGGCAAUUUUCCCAAGUCUGGGCUUGAAGAAUCAAUUCCAAGGCAAGAGAGGUCGAUCCCAAGGUGUACAUAAACCUUAGAUAGCUACUAGAAGUGUCAAGAAUCGAUCCCAAGCAAGGAAGGGUUGAUUCUUACAAGAUGGAAUACUUAGAAUAACUUCUGGAAACUCAAAAAUUUAUCCCCAAUGGUUAAAGGGUCGAUUCCAAAAAGUUAGAAUUUCAAAACAAGUUACUAGAACUCCAAGAAUUAAUUCUUGAGAGUUAAGAAGUCGAUUCUUGAAGGUCUAGGCAGAAAAAUAAACAUCAAGAAUCGAUUCCUGGGAAUUAAGAAAUCGAUUCUUGAAAGUCUAAGUAGAAAAAUAAGCAUCAAGAAUCAAUCCCAAGGAGUCAAAAAGUCAGUUCUCAAGCUUUAACAUGGAAAAAAUAUAUAACCCAGCUCGAGCCCUAAAAUUUAUUUUUCACUUCCAGACUCCAACUCGUCCCCAACAACAUCCAAACCCUUUCCCAACCUCCCAAGGCCCCAUUGGACAAGGAUUCAACCUUCCAACUCAAAUCUAAGAUAAGAUUUGGAAUUUUUGAGUUUAAAUCUCAAGGGUAUGACCUAACUCUAAGAUUUUACAAAUGUUAACCCAUUUAUUCCAUUUUUGAGCUAAGGAUUUUGGGAGUUUUGCUCUUCAAGGAGGUUGUGAAGGUAUGGAAAGUUAAGGUUGUUCAUUUAUGGAUUGUGUUUGAAGCAUAAAAAUAUAUUAAAACUUACAGGGAGUUUAUUCAAUAAAUCUACUAGUUUCAAAAAAGGGUUUUUUCUAGAAACUAGGAACUUAUGAUAAGAUUUAUUCUAUAGGUGAUUGUUGAGCUCAAGUAUCAUAAAAGGAGCAUGGUUUGAUGAAGUAAGGUUUAGAAGCCCGCUUUUGUCAAGGUGAGUGGAUCCACCACCUUUAAACUAUUUUAAUAUGUAAAGUUAAAAGAAUGAAUUGAAUGAUUUGAUGAUAAACAUAUUUCUUCAAUGACUUUUUACAAUUGAAAAUGAGUUGUGAUUGAACCCAAGUUUUGAAAAAACUUUUCAAAGUAUUAUGUAUAUGUAAAUACCCUACUAUGUAUUAGUUUUCAAUAAGGGGGACGAGUCCUUUCAAGUAUUUUGUACUAAAACUGCCACUUCAAUGAGAUGUGUAUGAAAUGCUUGAAGCAUACUAAAUUGGUGUUAUUACAUGAUGACAAUUCCACAUAUUAGAUGAGUCAUGAAUGACCACAUAAUAUAUGUGUAUUGAGUUAUAUGUGAUGCAGUUAUUGCAUACCACAUGAAUGAAAAUCGACACCUGAUGUGAAACAUGUUGUAAUGCAUGUGAGGUAGUUUUCCACAUACCCCUUUAAGAAAGAAUGAGUAUAUGUUGAAUGCUAUGAUGCUAAAUAUGUGAUGUAAAUUCAUCAUACUAUAUGUUAUGAGUAUGAGAGCACAUUAUGAUGCCUAAUGCAUGCGAUAUAAUUAAUGAAUGAUACUGAAUUAUGUGAUAACCAUUUGAUGAUAAGAUGUAAUGAGCUUGAUUGUUGCCCAUGGUUAUCAAGGGUUAUUCUAUAACAAAUCUUUUAAGGUAAUGAAGCAUAUGCCAUUACCAUUUUUUGAGAAAAGGAAUGAGGUAGUGAUUCCAUUCUAAUGUUACCAUAAGGUAAUGAAGGAUAUUCCAUUACCAUCUUUUAAGGAGAAAAGGGAAGUGAGGGGUUGAUUCCAUUCCCCCAUUUGCACACACUCAUGUCUAACAAGAGAUAUACCAUUAGGGCCCAUGGUUGACAGGGGUUAUUCUGUCACAAUGUUAUUUGAUGAAUGCCAAUGUUGUAGUUGAUUUUAUUUAAUGAAUAUGAUGUGUAUUAUUUCUAUUGGUAUGAUCCAUGAAAUGUUAGAACAAGGUUCCAAAGUCUAUUAUGAAGGUAAAAGGUAAAGUUGAUAUAUAAGAUUUGGAGUCAAAUAGUCUGAAUUCCUUGACUUUCAAGUGCAUGGUUGAUGAUCCCUAGAAGGUAAGUCUCGAUACCAUGGUUAUUUACUCUCAAAUUAGGUUUUAAAGGAUUUUGAGACUUCAAAAUGUUUGAGAAGUAUUUUCAAUACUAUUGAACAUGAUACCCAAUGAUUUAAAGGUUUGGUACAUAUUUCCAAAGAAAUUAUGAAACUUGUUUGAAAGCAUGACUAUUCUUUUACAAGUUCCUUAUGUGUACUUGAAGAUCAUACGUGCAUGGUUACAUAAAUGUUAUAUUUAUGCAAAAGCUUAACCCCUUGACUUUUCCCCUUCUCGUAUCCACUCAUGGAUUCUUUAUGACUCUCACAUUAGUUUUCCCUAUUUUGUUACAAAUCAGUAAUAGCUGUUAAGCACUCAUGUCACAAAAACACGAUCCAUUCUUUCUUCGGUAGGUGACAUAAUAGCCUCUUAAAGCUUACGGAGUCAGGUCAUGUUUCGCUUGUCGAGUUGGUCUUUAUAUUUCUGUUAUGAAUACUUGUUGAUAUUAGAAAUGUUAAGCCCUUAAAUUGCAAGCUACUUAUAUAAAAUUAAGUGAAUAUUACGAAUGAUGGCUUGAGAGCCCAUAUAAGCACCUAGGGUGCAUUUACAAAAUUUACAUGUAUUGUACAAGGUACAAAUAUUAUGAAUGAAAAACGUAUAUAUAGUUUAUGCUGAGAAGUCCAUAAUCAUGUAAUUAGGCCUAUGCAUGGAUGUUUAUGAUUAUGUUGGCUAAGGUCGUAUGCAUGUAUGAUGAUGUUGAUGGAAAAUGAGUCAAAUGUGAUUGAUUGAUAAUAGAAUGAUGUAAAGAGGCCUACUAGGUUCCUAGUGCCAGUCACGAUCCCUUCAAAAAUGGGAUGUAACAGUAACCCAUCCAUAAGUUCGAUUGACCAUUUCCUUGGUCAACUCUAACUUUCAGCUAGCUUUCCAAUUGGUUGUGGUGCAUCUUGGUGGCACCUAAAAAGAAGAAUUUGUGUCAUCAUCCACUCAAUCCAACCAACCAUAGCCUAAUUUGAAAAUUCCAUACGCAAACUUUUCUAGUUUUCACUAACUAGUUUCUUACUUCAAUUUAACUAGUCAACCUAGUCUUAUAUCAUUCUUUUUCACAAUUCCAUCAUCAUUAACAUGAAUUUCCAGCACCUAACUUAUUCCUCCAAAUCAUGAUUUAAUCUUUGAUUAAUUCACCUAAUGCCAACUUUCAUCAAUUUCAUACCAUUUUUUUAAAACUAGUCACCUAUUAUACUAGUUUAUUCAUAAUUAACUAAAUUCUCAUUCUUUUCAUCAUUCAUCAAUCAAACUUCACCACUUCAGCAACUAAUUCAUAUUCAAAGCCAUCCAUGGUCACAUUUAUGCUACACUUGUCUAAUCUAAUUACUUUGGUUGGCUCACUUAGUAUCAAAUCACACUAAUUUAAAGCCACUUUUAAAACUAGCUACCCACACCAUUAUUUAAAUCUUUAUAACCUCAAUUUAUAAUCCGUCCAUCCUCUUAAUGAUUCAUUAUCAUCAAAACAUCCACUAAAUUAUAUUCUAACCACCAUUUUCAGCCUUUAAUUAUUCAACCAAUGCUACGUUGUAUAGCCAAAAUUUCGAGUCUUUAAUCCUAGUUAUUUAUUUCAACUAAAUUGGCCAUACCAACAUUAAACAUUAAACGUUCUAUCAUUAAUUAAUUCAACUUAAUCUAAACAGCCUAAAUCAAUAUCUAAUUCACAGUUAAACAACCACAAAUGCCUCAAUUAAUCCCUACUUACUGUGGUGAACUUGUGAAGCAAUUUUCCUAGUAAAACAUUAAGGCUAACUAUUAGUACUAAUCAAAUAAUGAAAGAAUAAUCAUACCCAAUUCCUGAAAAUUAAGGUUUGAUUAUAACUUAAUCAAAAAUGAACAUUGAAGGUGGUGUGAGGUCAAAAAAUGGAGGAAAGUGGCUUUGGAGCUUGUUUCAAGAGAUUUUUGAAAGAUGAAAAACUUUCCCCUUUCUAGAUGUUUGACCAUUGCUUCUAGAAGCAAAAAAAUGGAAUUUUUCAGCAACAAAAUGUAAGGUUUUGAGAGGUUAUGGGAAAAGAAAGAAAUGAAUCCAAAAACAUUAAAUUUGGAACUCCAAUGAUGCUUUAAUGGUGUAACCAAAGAGGAAGAAUUAGAGAAAUGAAGAGAAGAAGAAGAAAUAGGGAGCUGAACAAAGGUAUGGGGCUUAGAGAGGGAGUGAGCUGAUGAGAAAAUGGGAGUUUUUUAUACCUAAGGUAGCCCUAGGUUGCACAUUUGACCAUAUGACCCUCAAUAAGUUGACUUUGAUUAUUUUCAAUGUCUUUCAUUUUUGACACUGUAAAAAAGGUCUAUAGUGUUUUUCCUUAAGCUACUGAUGUUUAGAGCUCCUCGAGCUUGUGAUAAGUUAAAAAUUUUGACUUGUGGUACAAAAUGACCAUUUUGCCCCUUAUGUAGAAAUUCUCUCUUUUUCAUUAUAAAUCAUUCUAAUUUACUUAGAAUUGAAUUUCUAAACUUACCUACCUAAGAAUUCAAUUACACCAAUAUGCUCAAUGAUAAUCAAAAGGUCCAUUAUUCUUUGCCUUAGCCUUCCUCACUCCCUAAACUUCAUAAAUACUUUUCACGAUUUACAACAACAUUUGAAAGUCAAUCUAUCAUAACCACCCAAUCACCAUCGUUAUCAUUUAAGGGUUUUAGUUAGCUCAGACAAACAAUCAAUAGUAAAAUAUUCCCACUUUCAUUCUGGAAUGAGAAGGUCUCAACACCCUUGCUAGUCUUUAAUUGUUUCACCUUAUCUCGUUGACAUGUCAAACAUUUCACUACUAACUAGGCAACGUCCCUAUUAAUGUCACUCUAUUAACAGUGUUCUCCAAAUCUUUAGACAUCUUCAUACCACCAUGAUGGAUUGUAUAGUCAUUAUAAUGAACUCUUUUUAAAAUUUCUUUCUUCAAUUUCAAAUUAUGAAUAAGGUAAUUCUCCUCAACUCUUUUUGCAACCAUUUAACCACCUCAGACAAACUCAUAUAUUUUGAUAAUAUUUCAUCAUAGUUUUCAUAUGAUCAUGUUUCUAGUAAUCAAUUCAACAUAAUUGAAAUCCAAAUCUUAUACGAACCAUUGAUUGGACAUUCUAAAAUAUUCAACCUCAAUCUUGUCCCAAGGCAAAGAUACAAUAGAAAAAGUACAUCUCUCUUAGGAUUCCAAGAACUCUAAUGUUUGCUAAUACAUGAACCUCAAUCUUGAUUAACAAAUUCAUUACAAAAUCUUGAUCAAACAAAAUAUCAUUAAUACAAUUCAAACUUAUACAAUCACCAUUCUUUACCUACUGAGGUCAACAUGACAAAAGUGCCAUAAUUUCACAACUCAAUUCUACUCCCAAACAUCUUUACUAUCAAAAUUGCUACACAUACACCAUAUGCAAAUCAUACAACUCCAUUGUUUUAUAAGUCCUUCAUAAACUAUUCAUAACCAUUUAUCCCCUUACAAAAUCAACACAAUUAAUUAUCAAAGUUUUCAAUUUCAAUUCUUAUCCCAAUGCAUAAUAAAAUUACAAAAAUACAAUUUCCUACAAACUCCAUAUGUCUUAAUUAUGGUUGAUAACUUAACUUCAUAAGUAUUCUAACCUUAUACAACCAAUCUCCCCUUCUACGAGAUUAAACAUAGCAACUACAUCGCAAUUCCGCAAAUAUAUGAAUCAGCGAAGUCUCCAUAAUAAAAAUCCAUAACUGUUGCAUAAUACUGCACCAAUCAUCCUCCAUUUCAUAUUAACCAAUCAUUUAACCAAGUCAUAAAUAAGUCAAGAUUCAUAUUUUAAUCAAAUCAUGCUUUCAUUGCACACUAUAAUGUUUCACUCAAUAUAUUUUCAAACACGACUUAACUUCCAAUUCACAUAGCCUCGUAAUAACUAUUACGUUUUCUUUGCCAUCGUACCAUGUGUCUAUAAAAUCUCUUAAUAGUUUACCUCCAAUUCACAUAAUGAUUAUAGCCAAAUUCCCUCUUAAUUCUGAGUAAUAGCAUUAGGAAAUUCCUUUAUUGCUUCACAAUAUCACAUGAAAUUUUCAUUUUCUUGCAUCUAGUAGAAUUCUUUCUAAUGGUUUAGUCACCUUAGAAUAUGUCAAGAUCACAUCAAAGUGAUAGGUCGCAUUUGUAAGCCUUACACCAUAAAAGCUCAAAAUAAGUCCUCGACUAUUCAAGUUAUCUUUAAAUUUCCAAUGUUAUUUGUUUACCACUUUCAUAGACAAAUUAUCAUAUAAGAGCUAAGCUUUUUAGAAAGCUUGAUAGUACCACGAAUAUUCAAAAGUUCUUAGACCGAGUAUGUUGCUAUUUACUCCAAGUCAAGUCAAAAACUAAUGACCAUAAGCAAAUCUACUUCAAAAUGAGUUCCAUCCAAUAUGAACUCCAAGUGAUUGACUUCAUGCCAAGAGUAUGGUUACCAACUCUAAUCAAUAGCAUCACAAAAUCCAUUACUAACUCAUGUUAGUCCUUGCCUUAUGGCACGUUCAAUUGCCAGUAAUUCUUUAAUCACAUCACCUAUGGUUGUGUCUUAACCAAAUGGUUAUUUCCAUAAUCUUGAGAACAAUUUUCGCAGACUUGUCUUUAGUUAUUUAUGAUCUAGCAAUUCCAUUAAUUCUACCAUGUCUACUAAGGUCACUAUGAUUAAACAUAUGUGGUAUCAUCAUUAUUCUAUUAAGAGCAUCCAUUCCUCCAACAUAUCAAUAACAACUUGAGUUCUAGGUAGCAUCCUUAUCUAGACAAGAGCAAACAUCCAUUAUAGAUCCCAAUCUCUAUUUCAUCAUUGGCUCAUGAACAACAAAUGGGAAGUUUUCUAUAACAGACAAACGAAUUUAUAUAGUCCCCCGUUCGUGAGUUGUGUCGCAAUACACAAUUCACAAACAAAAUUCCAUAUAAAGACCUACAUUCCAUUAACAUAAGAAAGAAUGCCUAAGACCCAGAAAACCUAAAACUCCUAUACCAUCUUUGUCAUGACACAAAUCUAGGCCAUGAUCGGUGUAACGGCCCAUAUGGGUAUGGCCCACUAGACCUAAACAAGCCUCAUAAAUCAAUCAUCAACAUCAUGAACCAUUCACAAUAUGCUAGAUAAUAUCAACCAAAAAAAUACACCAUAGGUAUGUAAAUAUCAUUUUCAUCAAAGUCUCACGUCUCAAUGUGGACAUUCUAUAAACAUAUUCAUGUACUUGUACCAAACCAAAUAUAAUUGUCUCGUAAGAAAAAUCGAAAAAAGUAUAAAUUCGCGUAACAUCAAAUUUAUUACAUCUAUGAAAUCCCCAUUUUUCUUGUAAAGGUAAAAUGGUGAUUUGACUAAAAAAGCAAAAUGGUGAUUCCUUAUCAAACAUUUUAUUUUAUAAUUUUUAAGAUAUGAAAAUGGGGUCAAGCAUAUGAUUAUUUUUUAUUUUGGGCUUAAUAAUAUGAUGAACACUGAUCUAUGAAUGAUUUGGUUUACUCAUGUGAUGAAAAAUGGAUUUACAAAUGAUUUGAUUUAUACAUAUGACAAACAUUGUUUAUGAAUGUUUUGGUUUAUUGAUAUGACGAAUGUUGAUUUAUGAAUGAAAUGAAUUCUUUAAUCUAUUGGUCCCGUUGGAGUGCUAGAAGGGGUGAAUAGCACUAAAAUUUUUUUGUUAGCACUUUAGAGCUUGUAAAGCUCUUAAUCAACUAGAUGAAAGGAGGAACUAGAACUUGUUAGAAUUACAAGACCCCAAGUAAAUAAGGGUAAAGAGAAAUGGACAAUGCAAGAGUAUUUAUAGUGGUUUGGUCCCUUUGACCUAUAUCUACUGCCUUGAUCUCCUAAUUAAGGAUUUUCAACCUAACUCCCCUAUACUAGUGGAAUUAAUAGCUUUCACUAAGCUUUUACAAGGUGAGCUUUUAACCUAAGCUCUAAUCUCUUACAACAAGCUUUAGAGUGCUUCCCACACUCUAAUUUCUCAACAAAGAGAAGAAAAAGAAGUACAACUAUGAUUCUUUAUAAUUGUAGAAAGAUUACAACCAAGCUCAAAUACUUUUUUUGGAAUUAGAAUAAAAGACAAUUGUUUUUGGUGAAAGAUAUUUGGCUUUUGUUCAAAAUGACUCUCUUCUUGUUUAAUUUUUUUCUUCGAUCGUUGGAGGUUCUUUUUAUACUUGUGGAGUUAGAUUUUUUUACUGAAGGUAGUUUCUAACAGCUAGAGACAACUCUGAUGCCAAUCUAGCAGUUAUUUGAUCCUCUAAUGUUUAAAUUCAAAAAGGCAAACAUAGCUCAGCUAACUAGUUAAAGGAAGCUCUGAUCGAUUGCAGCAUCUUUGUCUUGCACUGUCUUACUGUUGUAUACUCUAUGUUAACCAAUUGCAAGAGGUUAUAAAUGAUUAAGAGAUCUCUAUCUUCAGGCUUUCUACUUCAACAAACUUCCUCUAACUGGUUGACUCUCCCCUUAACUGAUUAAAGCUUUACUUCCUUCAACCUUAACCAAUUAACAUAAUCUCUAAUCAAUUAAAAAUUCUUUGAAUUUGCACUUCUUCAUUUUGACUCGCUUCAACGAUCAACUUCACUAUGAAUUUGAAUUUUGACGCUUGAAGAUUCUUCAAGCCUUGUGCUUUAACAGAUUAACCCCAUGCCUUAAUCGAUUAGCAUACCUUAAGUUUGCUUUGUCCAAUACUUCAUAAUCAGUUAAGCCUAAUGCUAACUGAUUAACUGAUAACUCUAUUAUAUAGAGUUAUUUUAACACAUUUUUGGGGCUUAAGUAGUUAGAUCUUUGAAAUUUUAGGUUCGGAUCGUAGCACUUUAGGUGUUUUCCUAGUUUAAGUUUGAUUACAUGUUGAGUAGUUAAUUUAAGUUAUUUUAGUUAAGUUUUAUGUUAUUUUGUUUUAAAUUGCUUUAAGAGUAGUUAUUGCUAAUUUCUCUUAUUGCUUUGGUACGAAAUUUGAUGAUAAAGGCUCAUCUGAUGAAAAUUAGUGCAAGUAUGCUAAUGGCUUUAUUAGUACAUGUUUUGAUAUUUUGACCAUAUCUCUUUAUGCAAAACUCCAAAUGAGAUUAUUCUUGAACCACUAGAAUUCUGAAAGGAAGCACACAACAUAUUUUCUCGAAAGCUUAAAGUUGCAAUGCUAGAAGAAGAGAACCGCAGUGCUACUGUAGCAAGAAUCCAGCACCUCGACGCCAAGAAAUCAAGGCCAUGGCGUUGGGCUAUUUUUCAAAAAUAAAAAUUUGAUGGGAUUUUGGAAAUUAGGUUACUUGGAGCAUAUUUGUGGGACAUUUUUCAGAAGUUUUAAGUGGGAGGCGACAAACAACAAUUUUGGAGAUUUGGAGCCAAGAACAAAGAAAGAAAACAAGAGAAUUGGAGGAAGAAUCAAGAUCACAAAGCUCCAACUAUUACUUUUCUCUCUUUACUUUUGUGUUUUUCUUAUUUUCUUUGACUUGGAUUAAUGGUUAAUUUUCUUUGGAUGAAGUUUUUAUUAGAUAUUAUGAGCUAAAUUUAUUUUUUUAGUAUUGCAAUUGAACUCACAUAUAAUCUAAAUUUUUAAUCUCUUUCUUAUUUAUCUUUAAUGGGAUUUGAAUUGUUUAUUCCAAUUUGUUCUUAGUGCUUUCAAUUGCUUGAUCACUAAAUAAAUUGAUUUAGGAACCUAAACAAACUUGGGAAAGGAAGUUUAGUGUAGACUAAAAUUGGGAUAACAUAUAAUAAUAUUAAUUGAUUUGCGUAUAAGAUAUGGAUAUACCUAUAGGCCAUAUGUAGCCAGAUUAGUGCUUGAACUUAAUGAGUCUAUUUUAAUUUCAAUUCACAUAGGGAUAUAACAUUUUGGUUAAAAUAGAUAUUUUUAUAAGAUGAGUCGGAGACCUUAUAAAUAAUUAAGAACUCUAGGUUAGCAAUUCAACCCAUUGAAAUAAAUUAAGGAAGAGAGUUAAAAUGUAGAUGAAGUGCGAGGGAUAUUGUAAUCUUAAACUUGUUUGAUUUGAUUUUUACUCAAGUUAUUAUUACUUUGAUUAUUAUUUUUUUUGUUUAAAUUUUGGUUAGUUAGUUUUAGUUAAUUAAUUCAUUUUGAUUGUUUGGAUAAGAUUAAAUUAUUAUAAUUUUGUACUUAAUAAAAUUUUAGAUCAAUUUUCUGUGAGAUCGAUACUCUACUUACUUAUAUACUAUCUAUUCGAUACGUAUACUUGUGUAGUAGAAUUUUACCUGACAUUAACAUUUUUUUGUUUUGCUUUAACUUAUAGCCUAGUCAUUCCUGAAAUGAUUAAGGCCUUUUGAUAAUCAAUUACAAAAGCCCUAUCUUCACUAACUCUUUCCAUCUUUCCUAUUUUAAUUGAUUAGACUAUUUAUUAUAUGUUCUUGUUUUUAAUCAUUCAUCUUAUUGAGGGAAUUAACUUUAUCCUGCAUGCUUAAAUAAUGAAGUUAGACAUUAAUGAAUGAGGAAUGUUUUGUUAUAUUCAAAAACAUAUGGAGUCAGCAUAAUCAUCUUUAAAGAAUGUUUUAAGAGUUACGUAAUGAUCCCUAGGAAGUGAGAUAAUCGACACGAAAACUAAUGCAAUAUAAUAGUUAGUAACAAUCAUGAGAAUGAUUAGUCGAUACAGUCCUUAUAAUGGGAUAUAAUAUUGACCGUAGCUAAGAUGAUGAAUGUCACAACCCAAUUUUUAGGCCAUGAUUAGCGCAUGGGCCCAAUGGACGUAACCCACUAAGCCCAAGCAAGCCUAACUAUAUGACUUGUUUAUCAUUCUAUCAAAGUUGCUAAAGUCACAUUUCAUAAUUUCAAUUCGAAAUAUUGAUAACGAUUACCAACUCAUCGUGGCAUUACCAAUCAAAAUAUACAUAUAAGGUCUAAGGCAUACAUCUUAGUACUUUACAUCACAUGUACGUAUUUACAACAAAAAUUGACUCUGGGCUUCCAAAGGAAUGACCAAGGUGAAGGUGCAGCUACGGAAUGCCAAGAUACCUACCAAGGAUACGAAUCUACGAGGACACCUCGACCUAGUUACCGACUACCUCUUGAUCUGAAAACAUGAAGUUGAAAACGGUGAGUAUAAACCUAGUGAGUGAACAAAGAAAGAGAACAAGCAAACGAUAAGGAGAAUUUAAAGAAAUCAUGAUGCAUUUAUUUUCAAAAACAAUGCAAUUUAGUUUAGUUCUUAUUAAAUCCCCUCAUUAAACCCUUAAUGAGUUAAUCACUUGACGAAAAGGUCCAUGCACAACAAAGGAUUUGAAGAGUGAAAACUUUAAUAGUAUUCAAGCAAGUCAAGUCAAGUAAAAUGACGGGUCCUCGCCACAAUGGAAAGGCAUUCUUGGUGGCUCAAAUUGUCAACUGGCCGAGGGUUCUUAGGUGGCUGAGGGUUUCUCACCAAACCCCCUCAUUUCAAACUUAAUUAAUAAAUUCCUUGAUGUUGGAAGUCCAUGCUCAACCAUGAUGUUAAAGAAAUGGAAAAUGUGGCAAAAACCAACAAAGUAGCAUGUUGGACAGAAAGUUUCUCGAUGCAGCGAGAAAGCAUUCUUGCUGCACCAAGAUUCAACAGCCAAAAAGAAAGUUUCUCGCUGCAGCGAGUUAUAAGUAGUAGAAACAGAAUGUUUCUUGUUGCAAUGAGAAUAAAUCUCACUGAAGCAAGGAGCUUCAGCAACUUUCUCGUUGUAGCGAGAAUCAAGCCAAUGUAACCCUCCAAACCAGAGAGUUUUUCACUGUAGCGAGAAAUAGGACAUCAACAACAAAUUUUCAUUCUCUCAAGGAAAGGGCAUUUAGCUACAAAGACAAAAUCAACUUGAACAUGCUUAGAAUUUCUUAAGGUUUAACAUGCAAGAUUCAUAUGUAUUACAACCAUAUACCAUACUCAUGAACUUUCUAUAACACACAUAUUUAUAUAUAUAUACACAUCAUCAUGUAUACCAUCCCACCAUCAUCAACUCAUGUGCACUUCCCACUAGCACAUAGCUAGGUCAUCAUCAACUCAUGUGCACUCCACACCGCACAUAGCUAGAUCAUCAUCAGCUCAUGUGCACUCCCACAGGCACAUAGCUGCGUCAUCAUUAUCUCAUAAAAAAAAACAUCCAAUGCAUAUUAUACAUAUCAACAUAUUGUGAUAACACAUGAACCAUUAUAUGGUACACUUUCACAAGAUAGAAACAUUCACCAAAAGCUUGUUCUCUAGGUAGAUUUUAAGGAAAAGUUGGAUAAAAUCAUUCAAAUGUUUUGUGCAAAUACAUUCACAUUCCCAAAACAAUUUUGAAAUGCAAGUUUACUCACCGGUAUUCCUUUAAUCUUUACUCAACUCCAACUUCCUCUAAUGGUCCAAAUGGGGUGGUGGGGCUCCAUUGGAACCUAUCAUCACAUUAGCAUCAUCACCAUCAACCCAACUUGGCAUUAAUACUAUUCCAAAGCUAUUUUCUAAAUUGAGUUCUACUAGUCAUUCCUACUAGCUUCCAACUACCAUUAAAUGGCUAUUAUUUGCACUACUCUAGUCAUACUAAAAAUAAUUAUACAAUCUCAACAAUAAAACACUCACAAAUCAAAUUACUAGAUAUUAUCAACAACUAAAAAUAAAUUUUAAUUCAUUACUCACCUUGGUAGCUUUGUAAAUUUGAAAUUUUUUUCAAUAAUUUUCAAGCUAUUAUAGAAACUCCCUCUUUCUCUCUCUAAAACACCUAGCUAGUGAGAGAGAAUAUGGAAGUAAGACUUUUCAAGGGUUUUAAAGUGAGAGAGUGAAAGAGCACAAAGGUUCUAUGAAAGGGUACACAAAAGCAUGAAAAGUGAAGCUAGCUUGAGAGAGUUAUGGAAGCUUGAAGAGAACUCCCAUGGAGGAUGAAGAAACGUGAGAGGGAAGAAUGAAGAAAAAAAAGCUGCUGGAGUUUGAAGAAGUUGCUAGAAGAAAAAAAUAUUUAUACCAAUUUCCACUUAUAUUACGAAAAUGCCCUCAACAAGUUAGCUUGUUCUCCUCCAAUCCUUUAUGCAAUCUUUUUACUCUUUUUACACUGAAACAAAGUCCAGAAUCGUCUAGAAAUACUUGGGUUCAUGAAAACUUAGAAAUUUUUUACCUUGAGAUGAAAAAUGACCAUUUUACCCCUACCAUGGAUGUCAUGACCCGAUACUCCCCUCGAGCCCGUGACAACCACCUCGACGUCCUGAUAGACAUUCAUCGCCCUAAAUGCCAACCGAAAUCUUGCAAGGCUUUAAUAUCAGUUUUCGCACUACCCUUGUGAGCAACAAUUGUUAAGUAUCAUGUUUUGAGAGAUUAUAAACUAUUUCCAAAUCAAAACAAUAGAAAAAUAAUUUUUUCUCACAAGGGCAUUUUGGUCAUUUUUCCUUAAAAAUCUCAAAACUAGUUAAAAAUGUAGUAUGCGAGUGGAAAACACAUAUUUCAUAAUCAAAAAUAAGUUUAGAUGUCUAAAACAUUCAUUUAAAAUGAAAUUAUGACUAUUUGAAUAUAAUAAAAAUAUUUAAUAAAAUAUUCUAUUUUCUUAUAAAACAAUAUUUGUAAAGUUACUGUUAAAUAAUUUUUGUAGCGUAAAAGCUAAAUAAAUUCAUACAUACUGUAAUACAGAUAACCAAAGCAUAAAAUUUAAUUUACGGUGACACAUGGGCCCACGAACGACCAAAAGUAUUAAAAGCAAUAAACCUACAGUUUUUGAGGAUGCAAGUCCAACUGUAGCCCUCAUCAAAGUGAGCUAUCUACCGACUAUCCUAAGCUUGAAAGGGGUGGAAAUGAGGGUGGUGAGAUUAUAUAAUCCUAGUGAGUAAACAGAUACCAUCUAAAAUAUCUAAAGUUGAGUAAAUAGAGACAGAUAAAAUAAUUUAACAUACUAUAAUUCAUCACCUUUCAACUCAUUUCAACCAAAUAAAAUCAAUUCAUAUAAAUCAAGUAAUCAACAUGGCUUAUGAAUUUCUUAAAACUUUGGCUCGUGCCAAAAUCAUUUUCAUACUCAGUUAUUAGGGAUACCUUGGCCGAGGGCUAUCCCAAUCGAGACCGCCAAGGCUGUUAAAAAGUUAUGUGCGCAUAAAUCAUGUUUUUAUUUUGAAAAUAUAGUCGUUCCUUAGCGUUGGCUGAGUUCACCUUCACGUGGUGGUUUGGCGUGAAGUGAACUCUAAAGUGUUAACCUCAGAAGUUAUCCAACCGCGCCUCUCAUACUGAGGUAUGAAUAUAAUAGGAUUACCGUGCCCCUCUAAUAGGCUGAUCUACGGAACCCGUCCACUGUAGCGACUAAACCCACCAUAUAAUAAAAUUUGCAAUAGCAUGACAUGGCAAUUCUUUUAUUUUACAGCCUCUCAAGGUAAAUUAACAGUUCAUACAUUUUCAACACAAAUACCAAUUCAGCUAUUCAUGCAAAUAUUAUCAUAAGCCAUUCAAUUCAAACCAUGAAUUUACAACACAUGAAAACAGUCUCCAAUUACUCUAUUUUCAAACCAUCAUGUCAUUUCAAGACAAUUUUAUAAAAUCAUUUUCAUAAAAUCACAUUUUGCUUAUAAAACAUAAAGAUUUACCAUUUAAACUUAUUUUUCAUAAAAUUACAAAAUCGGAUAAAAACCACUUUAGAUAAUUAAGACGAUAGUAAGGUUACUCACUAUUUCGGGAGUCAAAUUCCAAGUACUCCGAUUCUUGAUCCUCGAGUACUAUCUCUUUACUUUUGCCAGAAUGCUCACCACCUAGACAUAAUGCACAAUAAGCCAUUUACUACAUUUGUGCUAAAUUAUUAUAAAACCAAUUCAGGCUUUAUACUAAUGCAUGAAAUGGAAUGUAAAAUACUCGGGUAACUAUCUAAAUACGGUGUUCUACACAAAUUCAAUUCUGUACCUAAAUAAAACAGUAUUGGCCUAAUUCGAUCUAUCACUAGAUUAAUUGGCCAAUAUGUCCAAUUCAACUCUAAAUAAUUUCAUUUUUCUCCCAAUGCUCCAAAUCAUCAAACACAAAUCAAAUAACUUGAAAUAUGGCAAAAUCAUCCUCACAUUUUCUCUUGGAAAAUUUGGCCAUGGUGGGUGCAUCAACACUAUGAUUUUUCCUACUUGAUUUUCUCACCAUAAUUCAUCAUUUCCUCAUCAAUUCACUUGAAAUAAAAUCAAAAUCAUCAUCAAUAUUCCACAUGGAGAAUUCGGCCAAUGAUGGGUGAUGGGAGAAUAUGAAUUUUUCUUGUUGGUUUUUCAUGCUACAUAUCAUUAACUAACUAAAAACACUAAAAUAUCUUAAAAUCUAACCAAAUCAAUCAUCAAAUCUUCUCUCUCUAAAUUUGGUCAGCCAUGAAUCCUUCAUGAUAUCUUGUGAUUCAACCAUGGAAAAUGCAAAAUAAUGCAUCGAAAAGGUAGAUCACAAGUCAAAAUCAAGAAAUUUUACCUUUAAUUGCUUGAUUACUUGAAUUUUCACACUUUUCCCUUGAAUUUUUCCACCUAGGGUUUUUGUUCUUCUUUUCUUCCUUUGUUCUUGCUUUGGCAGGCCAUAUGAAGAGAAA
rnacentral:lncRNA from 1 species